GAUUUUAGGACAAGAAUUUGGAGCUUUGGAAGCGUUUCUAGAAAGUAGGGAAAUGUAUCCUCAAUCUUAUUGUUGCCAAGAUCAAUAACUUGCAACAUUGUGCAGUUGAUGAUAGACGGUGGUAUUUUCCCUUCUAAUUCAUUUCCAUUGAGGUUGAGAUAUUCCAAGCUAUUAUCCUUUGAAAAUGUUGAAGGGAUAGUGCCUUGAAGAUUGUUCAUGCCUAGAUGCAAUAAGAGCAUGCUGCUGAAGUUCCCAUAAUGUGUAGAACCACUCAAGCUGUUGUUGGACAAGUCCAAGACCUGAAGGUAUCUCAGCUUGCAAAUAGAAGAAGAAAUCUCACCUGUCAAAUUACUAUUGGAUGCAAGAAUAAGGGUUGUCAAGUUCUCUUGUUUGAAAAUUGAACUUGGGAUUGGACCACGCAAGUGGUUAUUGCUCAAAUCAAGGAAUCUCAAAGAAUCAUGUUGGAGUUCACUUAUAUUACCUAUGAAAUUAUUGUUAUGAAGGUCAAGAUAUUGUAAAGAAGGAAGAGCAAACAAAAGGGAUGGUAUUGUUCCAUUGAACAAGUUAUUGGAUAAAAAUAGAUAUUGUAGAUUUGAAAGGGUAUUUAAUUGAGAAUGGAUUGGGCCUACUAGUUGAUUAUUUGAUAAAAUUAAAUAUGAAAGAUUGACUAGGUUACCGAAAGAAUCUGGAACUUGACCCAUAAAUUUAUUGAAAGAGAGAUACAAGUAUUGAAGAUGUACAAGGUUUCCUAGUGAUGAUGGGAUCUGACCGCUAAAAUUAUUACCUGAGAGGUCUAAAGAGAUGAGUUGUGUGAGAUUACCAAGUGAUGAUGGGAUCUGACCCCUAAAAUUAUUAUAUGAGAGGUCUAAAGAGGUGAGUUGUGUGAGAUUACCAAGUGAUGAUGGGAUCUGACCCCUAAAAUUAUUACCUAAGAGGUCUAAAGAGGUGAGUUGUGUGAGAUUACCAAGUGAUGAUAGGAUCUGACCGUUAACAUUAUUAUGUGAGAGGUCUAAAGAGGUGAGUUGUGUAAGAUUACCAAUUGAUGAUGGUUCUAGACUCAGAAUGUCAUUCCAAGAGAGAUCAAGUGAAACCAAUUUGGAGAGGUGAGUUAUUUCUGACGGAACUUGACCUGCAAAGACUGAGAAAUUUAGGUUAAGAAGUGUCAGGUUGGAAAAGUGGCCAAAUCGAGAAGAAAUAUGGGAGGUGUUGAAAUAAUUGGCAGAGAGGUCGAGCUUUUGAAGAUGAUGGAGGGAGAAGAGGGUGCUAUUGGAAUGGAGGGUGCCAUUAAGCAUGCUGCAAGAGAGGUCCAGUCCAGUAACAUGCCCGGUUUUCAUGUCACAGGAGACCCCAUCCCACAAGCAGCAGUCUGUACCCUCUUUCCACGACUCUGUCUUGGGAUGCUGGCAAUCCUCCAAAGAAGCAGAGCUACUAAUGGAAAAGGACUCUUUGAAUUGGAGCAAAGAAAGGCUUUGGUGAGGAGCACAGAAAUGAGAAGAAGAAAUAGUUGAAUGGAAAUGGAAGAGAAACAGAAUGAAAGAGAGAGAUGAAAUAGGUGGAAACCCCAUGUUUGGCUGGCCUUACAGGAUUCAAAGUAUAUUUGGGAGAGAUGAGGAAUGAAGAAAGACAUUAUUAGUAGUAUUUAUAGACAAACUAAUCUUAGAUUGUAUACUGACUGACAUAGGAUGUGAGUGAGUGUUGGAAACGCGGCAAAGUAUAUUAAAACAAGAUUCCUUGUUGACUUCAAAUUGCGCAAACUGAAUUGUUGUUUCUUGGCAAAGUAAUAAUUACGCAAAGCAAUGACUUUGUGUGCGCUCGGUAAUUGAAUGUUCAGAGAUGUUUUUCCAAAUUGUAUUUAGCAAUGAGAUUUAUGAGGAGAUUGCUUUGCCCACUAAAAUGUAAUUUCCAAGAAAUUCAAAGCCACAAAAGCGGAAGAAAACUUCUUAAUAAGCCACAAGUGGGCUUACAGAGUUAAAGAGUCAUCCUCACCUAUUAUGUCCACGUUCUGGCAAUAGCUUGUUUGAAUAAAAUUUGCUUCCUCUCAUGUAAUUAAUUUAAUUUAAUUAAAAAAAUAUAUUUUUAAAAGUAAGAUUCAAUGAAGAUCGAAAUAAAAAAGUGUGAGUGUGUUAGAAACGCGGCAAAGUAUAUUAAAACAAGAUUCGUUGUUGACUUCAAAUUGCGCAAACUGAAUUGUUGUUUCUUGGCAAAGUAAUAAUUACGCAAAGCCAUGACUUUGUGGGCGCUCGGUAAUUUCCAAGAAAUUCAAAGCCACAAAAUCGGAAGAAAACUUCUUAAUAAACCACAAGUGGGCUUGCAGAGUUAAAGAGUCAUCCUCACCUAUUAUGUCCAUUUUAAAAAAAAAAAUCACAAAUUUUUUUUUGUCAAAAUUAAUAUUGAGUUAAUCUUUGUCACUUUCAAAAAAAAUUUCACAAAAAACAAAUACAAAAAAAUAAUAAAAUAUUAAUGAAUAAAAUUAAAAAAAUAAACUUUAAAAAAAUUAAUAUUGAUUUCCUAACUAUGCUUUAUUUAGUAAUAUGUUGUUUUUAAAAAUAAUUUUCUUACUUAUCAUUCUUUCAAUUUAUAUAUUUGUUUUAAUUUAAGCAUAGUUAAUUUUAAUAUUAAUAUACAUGCUAGGUUUUUUAAUUUUAUAUCAAUUGCAAAUUUAAAUAUAUAUUUAAUAUGCAUGUUAUUCUAUUAAUUUUUAUUUUUUAUGUUGAAACUACUAAUGGAAAAUUCGAAGGAGAGAAAGACUUUGGUAUUUUAAUAUCUAAUAGUAUUUUAGUUUUAAAUCCUUGAUUGGAUCUAAUCUGAUAUGACUUAUUAUAUUCGAUAAAAACCCAAAUCUAUCUUAGCUUUAUAAAAAAUAUGCACUUAUUUUAUUUUACCACUUCACUAGGUGUACCAAAAAUCCAAUACACUGUAUCACACUGAAACCAAUAUAUAUCCAUCAAGACCGUCCGAUCAAUUUUUAGAUCGAGCCAAGCCAACCGUAGUUGGAUGAUCAAUCCAGAAGUAAUCCAGAGGGUUACAAGCUUCAGGGGCACCAACUCACCAUACUAACAUCCGCACUAUAGCAAAUCUCAAAUCUCAAAUAUUCUCUCUCUCGUAAGAGUAAAACCCAUGGAAAUAUGUAAGGUUCUAUCAAAUUGACUUCAAAUGGCGCAAACUAUAUUGUUUAUUGGCAAAGUAAUAAUUACGCAAAAUAUUAGCUGUUUUUAAUUAAAAAUGUAUUAAUGUGAUGAUUUUUAAAAUUUAUGAAUAUGUGAGUGCGCGCCUGGUUAUGUAAAGCGAUGUUUUUUAAUUAAAAAUAUACUAAUGUGAUGAUUUUUAAAAUUUAUUUUUAAUUCUUAAUAUUAAUUUAUUAAAAUCAUAAAAAAUAUUAAAAAAAUAAUAUUAAUUUUCUAAAUAGAUUAAAUCGUGUUUUAGAGGUUGCUAAUAUUUCUUAAAUUAAUUAAUCCUUUUAGUUUUAAAAUAACUAAAUAGUUAUUUGACAAAUCUUGAUUAGUAAUAUUUUGUUUUUUUUUUAAAUACUUUUCUUGCUUAUCAUUCCUUGAAUUGAUAUACUUUGAUUUUUCCUUUUCUAUUCUAAAUAAUAAAUAAUUUAAACUAUGGGAUUAUGUAUACAUAAUUGAAAAAAUAAAUGAUAAACAAAGUCAUCUUCACCUUCUUAUGUCCAAUCCGCAGCUGCACAACAAGAUUAAGUAACCAAUAAAUUCAUUCAGCUAAUAUUUUCACACCAGGAGAAGUCCUUUAAUUCACUAACACAAGUGCUAAUAAAUAAGGUAGUUAAUUGUGAAAUUUUUAUAGUAAGAUAAAAAAUAAAAUAAAAUCGUGACAGCUUAAUUUGAAUGUUCAGAGAUGUUUUUCCAAUUUGUAUUUAGCAAUAAGAUUUAUGCGAAGAUUGCUAUGCUCACUAAAAUAUAAUUUCCAAGAAAUUCAAGCCACCAAAUCGGACGAAAACUUGCUAUGUACUGAUAGAUUAUUAUUGCUAUCAUUAACAAGAACAGGGGACUGUUUACUUAAAGAGUUAAACAAUUUAUAUGUUUCUCAGAAAAUAGCAAUGAACAUGUGCUAAUUAAUAGAUGCAGUUUGUGCUCUUCCUUUGCAGCUCGUCUUAUGGGAACUGUACGUUGCUGGGGACUUCUACCACUCGUCCUCGUCUUCUACAAGACUCCAUGCCAACAAAAGACAAUAAUGACUAAACAGAGGUGUUGAAAACACGGCAAUAUUAAUUAAUUUCCAAAAUUAACAUUUUUAUUGAGAUCAAGUCUAUGCGAGUGAUGUGCAGCAAGUCUAUGAAAAUCUGCUAAAAGAACAGCCAUUCAUAUGGAUUUUAGACCCGCUCAAGAUUCUUUAAGCAGGAAGGAAUGUUUCUUUUCAAAUAGUUAAUAGAAUUUUUAUAGUGGUGGUUUUAGCAUUGCGGGGGUUGUGGUGAUGCAUAUAUCCCUCAAUAGUACAUCUUAAUAUUAAUAAAAAAUUUAAACUUUCUUUUCACAUACCUUUUGUUCCAAAUUGGGUUAAAGAAAUAUUCAAUUAUGCAUAUUAAUUACCUUGCAAAACUGACAUUUUUGUUGAGAGUAGAUAAAAUCCCCUACAUGCAAGUCUAUGUGCUUAUAGGUACACUCUGUGCUCUUCCUUCGCAGCUCGUCUGAUUGGAAUUGUACGUUCUUCGGGACUUCUACCCUUCUAUGAAAUCUGGUCUGUACAGGUUAAUAAUUAAGGAUUUCCAUAGAGCAGAGCUCGGAGAAGAAAGUCUCCAUAUCCAUUUAAAUAACAGAGCCCUGUUUUUUGACAUUUAGGGAGCCUAUGCCAAGACCUCCUUGCUUCUUAUCACGCAUUUCCACACCAUAAGAAACGUCUGAUGAGUGCGUUUGUUACACUUUUUAAUAGUUAUUUAUGACUUACAAGUCAUCAGAAUUACUUUAUUUUGCUUGCAAAUAUUGCUGCUGUUGUGAGAAUCAGUCGAGUGUUAUUCUUUUAAUUCAUAAGAAUUGUUUUAAUUUGCUUGCACACUCGUAGAUUUGUACAGCAAUCUGUUCAUAACUCUAUAAAUCUUAAAAUACUCCCAGAAAAGGAGAUUGAUUUAAGUGAUCAAGAAUAAAAAAAAUGGACAAAUAAAAAAAGAACCCAAAACAUAAAUGAUUUUAUAAUUUCCAACAAGGGAGAAUCAAUCUUCUUUCAGAUCAAGGAAGUCAAACCCAUGAAACUCUUGGGCGAUGCCAAAUCCAAUUUCUUUUUUACGAUCGUAGUUUACUCACAGCUGAAGCAAGGGGGCAUGCAGAGUUAAAGAGUCAUCCUCACCUUCUUAUGUCCAUUUCAAUCCAGUCUCCAGUCAACACGUUCUGGCAAUAGCUUUAUAUUGAACAGUUGCUAGAAAAGAACAGACAAACAAUGGAGAAUUAAUGGAGUUUGAAGUUUCUUGCACUCAGUUAGAUGCUGUGGGAUUGGUCGUCCUAAAAGGUCUUUCUCUUUCAGCAUCAACAAGGGAGAACCACUCUUCAUUUGUUCUGUCCUUUACCUCCAAGGCAGAGUAAUAAUUACGCCAAGCAAUGGAGCACUAAUGACUUUGCACACAUAUAUAUUGUUUUUCACGACCCAAAAAGUCUUUUUUAAUUACCCAAAAGUUCCUAUCAACUUUUCCUGUCUACUUGGUUGGUCAUGUGAAUGAUGAGUGUAUUUUUUUAAAAUAUUUUUUUAUUAUAAAUAUAUUAAAAUAAUAUUAUUUUUUUUACAUUAACACAUCAUAAUUAUAAAAAAUCAUUUUAAAAAAUUAACUUAAUACUUUUUUAGAUUAAAAAAACAAGAUUAAGUAACCGAUAAAUUCGUUCAGUGAAUAUAUUGCAAUGAAAUUACUACUGGAUUUUUCCCUUCAUUACUUGAAAAAAAUUGAAGAUUAUAUCAAUUAUUUUUGACACACAGUGGAUAAAAGGAUGACAUUGAAAAAGUGAAGUGAAUCACAUUGCCAAUAAGGUAAUAGGACGCAAGUAUUUUCUAGUUUUCUCCGCAAAAAAAAAAGUUAAAAUUUGUACUUGUAAACCAAAAUAACAACCACAACAAUAAUAAUAUUAAUAAAAAACUUGCUUUAGGGGCUAAGUGGAUAAAAUAAAAAGAUCGUUGCUGUCUCUUUUGGGAUGCUAAGGAAUCGUGUUGGGGUGCUUGAAAGUGGAAACGAUGAACGAAAGUUCUGCUCGAAACCAAACUUGAAUAAAUAUGUUUAUAGCUUUGAAUGUUUAGACAUACUCCUUCAUGGUAUCUCUACUCUUUCAGAAUAACUUGUUUAGAAAUAAUAGCUUGACAAGCAUAUUUUUUUAUUAGAAAUUGAUUUUUUUAAUGUUUUCAAAUUAUUUUAAUGUGUUGAUAUAAAAAAAAAAUCUUAAAAAUAAAAAUUAUUAUUUUCAAUAUAUUUUCAAAAAUAAAAUACUUUACAAUACAAUCACCAUUAAACAGCCUCUAAAACUAACAUCAAGAGAGAGCAUGGUUAGCUAUUGAGACGAAUCCAAGCCCACUGCGGCUUAACACAGACAACACAUCUAAUAUAAACUAUUAAAAAAACUAAAAUAAACAACAACAACAAUGAUUUGUGUAAACAACAUGUAAAAUAAUAGCUUAGUAGAACUUAUUUAGCUAUGCUUUUAAAGGGCAUUGAGCUUCGAAAUGAGCUAAACUCAAUAUUAUCUGGAAUUGAUAUUUUGUCAAGCCUAGAAUAAUUUGGAUAUGAAGAUAAACUUCACUCAUACUUAAACAUUAAAUUAUCACCCUACUUUUAAACCUUUUAAAAAAUAUAUACUUAGGCUCAAAAUUAUUUUUUCAAAAUAUGAUGUGCAGCACGUCUAUGUGUUUAUAGAUAUAGUCUGUGCUCCUUCUUCGCAGCUCGUCUGAUUGAAACUGUAUGUUUUUGGGGACUUUCAUCCUUCUAUGCCUUGUUGGUUUAUAAUCUUAAUACUAAUAAGAAUUUCUAAUUAUGCUCUAGGGAUUGGAAUUUUAUUCAUAAUUCAUUUUUAAUUCUAUUCAGAAUCAAGGCAUUAAUUAAUUUGUAAUUUUUUAAAAAGUUUAGGGACUAAACUAUAUUUAAGGAAGCUCAAGGAAACUGACUUCUUUAAUUUUUCUCACUGCUGGGAGAAGCACUAAGGAAGCUUUAUGCAUGGGAGGGUGAAACAUCCUUAGCUGAGUGCUGACCGACCACAUUUUAAACAUAAGACCAUAGGUCAUUUGGUGUUUUUUAUGUAGAAAUUGAUUUUUAAAAUAUUUUUUAUUUAAAAAUAUAUUAAAUAAUAUAUAUUUUAAUUUUAAUUUUUUUUUUAACACCAACACUUUAAAACAAUUUAAAAAUAUCAAAAAAAUUAAUUUGAAACAAAAAAUAUUUUAAAAACAUAAUUGUACUGCAAUAUCAAAUACACUAAUAAAUAAGAGUAAGCGUUGAAAAUUAACCAUCUAGGUGGUGGCCCAGCGGUAAAAGCUUGGGACCAAGAGGUUUGCUCCCUCUGUGGUCUCAGGUUCAAUCCCUAGGUUGCUCAUAUGAUGGCCACUGGAGGCUUACAUGGUCGUUAACUUCAGGGCCCGUGGGAUUAGUCGAGGUGCGCGCAAGCUGGCCCGGACACCCACGUUAAUAAAAAAAAAAAAAAAAAAAAAAAAGAAAAAAGAGUGAGCGUUGAAAAUACGGCAAUAUUAAUUUGUGGAAAUCAUUGAUAUACUGAUAAAAUGAGUGAGAAUAAUACCUCUUUUAGGAUUUAAAAAAAAAAACAAAAAAGCAAAAAAAAAAAAAACUGCAAUAUGUAUUCCCAUCACUAUUUACAUAAAGUAAGGCUCCAUGACCCGAAAGUCUUCAUUGACGAGACUAUAUGUACAGGAACGACAGUAUUUGAUUUCCUAAUUACUGUUUACGGGUUGCUGAUUUUUCUUAAAUUAAUUCAUUCUUGUGGUCUUAAAAAUAAUUAAAUAGUUUUUGACAAAUCUUGAUCAUGUUUAAUUUAGUAAUAUUUUGUUUUUAAAUACUUCUCUUUCUAUCAAUCUUUCAAUUUAUAUAAUUUGAUUUUUUCUUUUUUCUAUUUUCAAUAAAAAAUAGAUAAAAUUAUAGUAUGAAAUAUAUAAAAAUUAUAAGUUAUAAAUCCAAUUAAAAAUAUAGAGAUUAAAUGUUUAGUUUAUAAAACCAUUAAGACUAAGUUAUCAUUAACCCAAAAUAAAAAGAAAUUCUAUUCAUGUCUAAUCUUACAUCAAAAUAUUGUAAGUUUUGUUAAUACUCUAUGUUAUCCUUUAUCUUUAAUAUAACAUGGAGUAUUCUAUUUUGAUAAUUCGAAUUUAUUGAAAUAAUAUUACUUUGAGAAUGUAAUUUCCAAGAAAACAUCGGAAGAAAACUUGUUAAUAAUUUACGAUCGUAGUUUACUCACAGCUGAAGCAGGGGGCAUGCAGAGUUAAAGAGUCAUCCUCACCUUCUUAUGUCCACUUCAAUCCAGUCUCCAGUCAACAGUUGCUAGAAAAGAACAGACAAACAAUGGAGAAUUAAUGUGGUGCUGAAUAUGGAAGUGAGGGUUGAAUGAUUCAAUUGCGAAUAUUUAGAUAUUUAGAUAUUGUCUGAUCUUCAUGUGGUGCUGAAUAUGUAACUGAGGGUUGAAUUAUUCAAUUGCGAAUAUUUCCACGCAGGGUGAUGUGCUCCCUUAAUUAGUUGAUGACUAAACAGGAGCACUGAGUGUUGGAAACUCGGCAAUAUUAACAAAAUUAACAUUUUUGUUGAGAUCAAGUCUAUGCGAGUGAUGUGCAGCAAGUCUAUGAAAAUUUGCUAAAAGAACAGCCAUUCAUAUGGAGUUUAGACCCGCUCGAGAAAUCAGCAAGGAAUCCUUAAUUUAGUCCACAUUUCAGCUGCACACCAUUCUAGCUAGAUCUUGCUGGAAAUCAGCAAGGAAAUCAACAAUUUAGUCUACAUUUCUAGUUGCACAUCAGCUUUAAAGGCUAUUAUAAGAAACUAGGUCGGUUAGUCAAAUAAAUAAAUAAAAUAAAAAUGGUUUGAAACUAGAUGGGAUGAAUAAGAAAUUAAGAACUAUUGAUUAAUAGAGAGGAUAAAUAGCAUCAUUAGACUCUUCCUCUAAAUCACCUACUACUAACUUCCUUCCACAUGAAGUACUUUCCCUUGUUGAUGGAGAAUUUUGCGUAGAAUUGUUUUUCAUGCGAUUGUUCAUUCUAAAAUGCAAAACUAAGAGUCUGUCGCUGAAGUUUCGUAAAUAUGCAUGGUGGUGUGGAACCGCUCAAACUAUUAUUUUACAAGUUAGACUUGAAGGAAUUUCAGAGCAGCGCACCGGAAAUUAAAACAAUAUUUAGUGAAUGUUUAGGAAUAACAUUAUACUGAACCAUUACAGGAAAACAGAGAAGCCUACUAAAACUGACAAAGAUUGGAGUUCCAAGAUUACCAAGUUAGUGUGGGAUUGGAAAGGUCUUUCGUUUCCAGCAUCAACAAGGGAAAACCAAUCGUCACUUGGUCUGUCCUUUUCCUCCUUGACCUCCAAGUCUUCGGAACCAGUGAGUGGUUCUGAAAAAAAAUUGUGUAAGAAAUGAAAUUUCUUGAGCACUACUAACAACUUAGUGCAGAGAUGUUUUUCUAUACUGCAUUUAGCAAUGAAAUUUCUGCGAAGCUUGCCUUGACCAUCAACAAGGAAAACGAAUGUUCAGGAUAUAUUGUAUAUGAAACUGAAUUCAAUUGCAAAUAUUUCCACACAAAGUAUGUCCCUUAGUUGACUGAACCAUUACCGGAAAACAGAGCAGCGUGCUAAAACUGUCUCUCUGCUACUUAAAACUUCCUUUGUAGCUUGUUUUAGGUAACGAUAUUUCUUACAUUAUCACGUGAAAAUAAUAUAAAAGCAAGUUAGAAACAUGACAAAAUUUUUAUUUUUUAUUAAAAAUAAAAUUUAAAAAAUAAGAAAAACCUUUGUAGCUUGUUUUGUGGUAACUAUACUCUUUUGUUGACAAUAUUUAUUUUUUAUCAAAUUUUUUAAAAAAAUAAUUAUCCAAAAGUUCCUAUCAACCUUCCUUGUGUACUUGGUUGGUAAUGUGUAUCAACCCAAAAAGUCUUUCUCAGCAUCAACAAAGAAAACCAAUCUUCAUUUUGUCAGAAAGUAUGGAACUGAGGGUUGAGUUAUUCAUUUGCAGAUAUCUCCACGAAGGAGAGCUCCCUUAGUUGAUUACUAAACAAGAGUAUAAUAUGUAAAAACUUGAUAUCAAUAUAUUAAAACGAUGUAAAAAUAUGCUAAGAACAUGAUAAUAUUAAUUUGUUAUAAAAAAUAAAUUUUAUAAAAUAAAAAACACAAGAUAUUAUUUUAAUUUAUUUUCAAACAAAAAAUAUUUUAAAAAAUAAUCUCAACCACACUAAAAUACUCUAAGAAUAGAAACACGGCAAUAUUGAUUUCCUAAAUGAAUUAAAUAGUGUUUCAUGGGUUGCUAAUUUUUCUUAAAUUAACUAAUCCUUUUAGUAUUAAAAGUAAUUAAAUAGUUAUUUUAAUCAUACUUAAUUCAAUAAUAAUUGUUUAAAAAAAAACACUUUUCUUGCUUAUCAAUCUUUCAAUUUAUAUACUUUGAUUUUUCCUUUAUCUAUUUUAAAUAAAAAAAUAAUUUAACAAUGAGAUUAUGUAAGCAAAUAAUUAAAAAAUAUGUAUACAAUAAAAAAUAAAAAUGUAAACCAUUUACCUGUAUUUAUAACCCCUGAAUCUUGUUAUGUUAAUGGAGUUGAGGGACUGGAAAGAUUUUUUUUUUCAUAGCAUUAAUAAAAGAUAAAUAUAUCUUACAAAACAUUAAGUAAUGAACAAAUACUCUUUGCACAAUAUUAAUGAGGGAUAAAUAUUUAUUAUAAAAUAUUAAUGGUAAUGAAAAUAUGAUAGGUUUUUAGAAAACUUUUAUAUACCUAGGGAUAUAGAAAGAUGAAUAUCCUUAACUUUAACAUUUUAUAUUAAAAAUCACAAGAAUAAACAAAUGAAACCUUGUAGUCUAACAUAGGGCCUAUAAUGAUCGCCAUACCCAAACCCACUUUGGCUUGGCACGAUGCCAAGUCCAACAGCGGUGGAUUCCAUAUCCGUUUGGGCUCUGCAAGUAGCUGAACUCAAGGGUGUGGGGUCUAGCAACUCACCAAAUGCUCAACAAGUAGCUAAACCUGAAAGUGUUGGGUUUGAUAACUCGUCAUACCUACGUCCACUUGGGGUUAUCGAGUACCUGAAUUCAAGAAUGUUGGGUUUGAAAGCUCGCCAAACUCGUGUCCACUUAGAUUAAGCGUGUAGCUAAACCUAAGGAAGUUUGGACUGACAACUUGUCAGAUCCAUGUUAAUUUAUGUUCAACACAUAGCUUAACUCAAUGAUAGUGGGUUUAGCAGCUCGCCAAAUCCAUGUUUGUUUGGGUUUAGUGCAUAGUUGAAUCAAGAAUGUUGGGUUUGAUAAAUUAUCAUAUUUAUUUUUGCUUGAGCUCACCAUGUAGCUGAGCCCAAGAAUGUUAGAUCUGGCAACUCUCCAUACCCAUGUCUGUUUGGAAGCUUGUUAGACCUAUACCCACCUGAGCUCUGCUCUUAACCAUACUAAAAGGCAUUGAGCUUGAAAACAAGCUAAACUCAUAUCAUUUGGGCUUGAUAUUCUUUGCUUGGGCACUCCGAGCUAGAAUUCCGGCAACAGCAAAAACAAUUCAUUGAUAAAUGAAACCUCCCAGGAAAUCGAAGUUCAUAAUUGGAGCUGAAAAAUCUGAGAAAUGCAAUUUGGAAUGCUUUCCACUCCCUUCAAGUUACUUGUAACACCACUUCUAGAGUUUCGACAACUCACUUCCUCAAUGGAAACACGGUGGUUUUUUUAUAUAGAAGAAACAUCUCGUCUAGGUAAUGAAAAGAUUAGCUGGUUAAAGUAAAGAGAACUUGUGAAGGAAAAAAUAACACAUACAGUACUCAAAAGUUGCACUAGAUUCCAUGGAGCACAAGAUCAGAAGAAAAAGAUCAUUGAUGGAUGAUGUGUGAAUCUUAGAAGCAGGCAUUUCCCUCAUCUGAUUAAGCCCACCUCUGGAUUUCGAGAAAGAGCUCUUGAAAAAAUGGGAAUGCUAUUUGACCUGUGUUCGAUCCCUUGGGAAACAUCAAUGGCCAGAAACAAUGAAAGGAAAGUUCAGCAGAGUCAGGAACUUUAUAGGAAAUCCGUUUCCUAUCCUCCUAGAAUGGUUGUGUAGAUGGAUCAGAUAGACUGGGUGUUCUUGAAACACUAUCCUUCCCUUUCUUGGCAUUUGAUCCCCAACUCCUCUAUCAUGUAUUUCCAACCAUCAAUAGGUCUAAAUAUGCGAGUCUUGAUAAAGAAAAUUGCUAGUUUAACUGGAAAGAGUCGAAAGACAUGAUGACUAGGCUGGAUAGUAUAUUCAUUGCUUCAUUAUUUAUCUUCUAAUUUUUUACACUUCAUAGAGGACCUAUAACAUGAGACUACCUGAAUAAGCUAGCAGAAAACAUUGUAUCACACUGACUACAAACAAAACGCACCUGAAUUCUUAGUCCAUACAAAUUCAAAAUAGCUUUUAGGGAGCUUUGUUGGAUUCUUUAAUGUAGAAGAAAGGUAGCAUUAUUGCUUCAUAAUGAUAAAGUGAAUCACCUCCAUUUUUAUUUCUAUCACCUUGUGGCUGUGGAUGGAUUUUCCGCCGCUCGAUCCACUUAUCAAUCAUUUCCUCUACAAAAGCCUUGGUCUCAGCGUUCUCCAUCCCCGUGGAUGAAGAAAAAUUCACAUCCGUUUCCCAUGAAGCUCUGUUCUUAACCAUCAGAUCCACCUACAGCAAUGCCGAUUCCCAUGCAUCAUUCCAUUCAUCCUCCUCUGUUUUGGUAGAGAAUGAUUGAAAAAAUGUUUUGGUAGAGAAUGAUCUUGUGUGGCUGGUGUUCUUCAGUUAGAUUGAAGAACAAUACUGAUACAAGUAACCAACCAUCUUGGCUUUUCUUUGCUUGUCUCCAAAUUUGAUGUUGCUGAUUUCGCAGCCUAAAAAUUCAUUACUUUCACUUGAAAGGAGCACAUGAAUAGCCAGUUCAAAGACCAGCGGUGGCACUGCUGCUGGGAUAAAGAGCAACUCAGGAAUCUGCCUAUUGUAUAUAGAUUUUUAGUUCCUUCAUUUUUUUUUAUGGGUAGGUCCUUCAUUUUUUUAGUAUGAUGGAAAAAAAUAAUAAUUUUAUUAAUGAUAGAAGCCUAGUAAAACUAAAACACUUUCCCUAGCUAUAUAUACAAUGCAAGAACCAUGAAGCACUCGAUUUUUCGGUCUACUACUGUGUGAUGCCGUCAUUUGUUUAGUGUGAUUUACAAAAAUAAUAAUUUUAUUAGUGAUGGUAACCUAGUUAAACUAAAACACUUUCCCUAGCUUAAUUAGCCAAAAAACAAGGCCAGCCAGCAUGCGUGGAUGCCACAGUGACCAUCUUCCACGGGCAGAUAGUUUUAUGACUUCCGCCGGCACCUGUACAUGUCAUGUUUUCUCAGCCCUCUUCACCAACUUUCCUUAUAAUGCCCUAAUGCAAUUAAUCAAGCCCUUUAUUUAGCCUUCUUUUUUCCUACACCAUCUCAAAAGGAUUUGAUGCAAAAAUAAAAAUAAAAACAGUGCCAUAUAUAUAGAAUCUGAAACAAAAACAAAAGGGAUUUAACCAAUCCUCUCAACUCGAAAUCUAACAUAGAGAGGAGAGGCAGAGGCAGAGCUAGAGAAUAGAUGGAGGGAGGGAGGGUAAAGAAAUGUUUUGUCUCAUCACAAGCAGUGAUGGGCAUGUUGAUGGUUCAAGUGAUGGCAACAGGAAUGCAAUUGCUUUCCAAAAUCAUAUUUGAAUAAUGGAACAUUUGUGCUUGCACUUAUGACCUAUAGGCAUAUAGUUGCUGCCGUUUGCAUGGCUCCCUUUGCUUUCUACUUUGAAAGGUAUGUCAUCUUUUCAUCAAUCAAUUUCGUCUCUGUCUUUGACACCUUUUUUCUCAGUUUCUUUUUAUUACUGCUGUGGUUGCAGAGGCAUGAUCAAAAGUAAGAUGAACUGGUCUGUUUUUUUCUGGCUUUUUGUUAACAAAAUACUGGUAGAUAAAACUAAAACAAAAUAAACUGAAAAAAAUCAAUAUUGAUUUCCUAAACAAUUAAAUAGUGUUUUAGGGGUUGCUAAUAUUUCUUAAAUUAAAUAAUCCUUUUAUUAUUAAAAAUAAGAAGUGAGAAACAAUAAUGUUUUAAGGAGAAAGGACUCAUCAUUGACAAUAAAAUAAGAUUUAUAUUACGUGAAAGUAUUUCAACAAGUAAAUUUCUUUCUUAUUUUAAUUUAAACAUAAUUAAUUUUAAUAUUAAUAUGCAUGCUAGGUUUUUUUAUUUUAUAUCAAUUACAAGUUUAAAUAUAUACUUAAUACAAAUGCUAUUCUAUUAUUUUUUAUUUUUUGUAUUGAAAGCAAAACUAAUGAAAAAUUACGAUUGUUUGAAUUGAAUGAGAAAAAGACUUUGGUAUGCUGAGCACACAAAUGAGAAGAAGAGGAGGGAGGAGGAGUAAUUUGAGGAGAAUAUUGAAGAUGAAAUUGUUGAAUGGAAAUGGAAGAGAAACAAAAUGAAAGAGAGAAAUUGAGAGAGGCACAGUGAAAACCCCUUAGAAAUUGAGAGAGGCAAUAUUAAUUUAUGGAAAACAUUGAUAUACUGAUAAAUUGAGUGAGAACUGAGAGUUUUUCCAAUAUUAAAAAAAAAAAAAAGCCAAGCACUCACGAGUUUUUCCAAGCUUUCAACCCAAAUGCAGGGAACUGAGAAAAUCCACAUUUUUCUCCACCAGAAUAGAACCACUGAAAGAAAGCCCACAGGAAACUUAAUGAAAAGAACUUCAUGAACCCAUGCACCUGUUUCCUGCAAGUUAAUGGUUUUCUUUUUUGAGUUGUUUCGUACUCAACUUCUAUCUAGUGCUAAAUCAGCAAGAAUCGGGAACAAGACUCAUGCUUACCUAGCCAUCUUGUCUCCUGUAGGAGUGUGGAACCCAUUGAUGAGAACUGCAGUUGCAGUUCCACUUGGAUAACUCAAUUUGUAAUCUAUUAUCAUGAUCUGGGGCACCAAAAAAUGCAAGAUCAGAGACCAAUUCAAGCUUCAUAAGUAACAUACAGAAGAAGUCGAGAUCACUGUCGAUUAAGAUUCAAAUUAAGUUGAAAACUUGCAAUCAUCAAUUCAUGAAGAAUUACCUCUAGAACACCAGCACUAAUAAAACAUAAACAAUCGAUUCAUCAAGAAAAUUGAAGAAAACAUAUUACCUUUCGCAGAGGAACUAGAGCAAGUAGCCCAACGAAGCUGCUUACAAAGAGGAAACCAGUCAUCCAACCAAUCCCAGGUUCCUUAGUGCUCCCAGGAGUAUUCCCCUCUGUAUCAACCCCAGCUUGCUCAUAUGUCUUCCUAUUCAAACCCAGUAGAUAAGAUCCAAAACCACCUGCAAUUCAAUAAACAAAUCACAAUUCGGCACACAUAUUAAAAAGAUUAGCAAAAAUUGUUCAAAAUAUAAACAACACAUGAGAUCAAAGUCUCAAACCUCCAACAGCAAUGCUAUAACAAGCAACAGCACAAGUUUGAACUAUGGUAUUCUCUUGUCGGGUAAAGGGAGCGGUUACAAUUCCAGCCUUUGAGAGGAGCUUAGUCCAUGUUCUGAGGAACACAAAUGCAAGAAGAGCAGCAGAGACAUUGAGAUUUGGGACUAGACCAGUGGUGAGAUUCAGCUUCAUGACUAUAACACUGUAUAUGAUCCCAAUUGCUAUGCUAGCAACAAUUCCCCUAACUGUAAUCUGUUUAGUCCAUGGAGCAAUCCUCUUGAUAUCCUCUGGCUCAUCUCUAACUUCUUCCAUGCCCUCUCCCCCAACCUUCUCAAUCUCUUUCAUUUCUUCCAUGUUCAUAUUCAUCACAAUCUUCUCACUAAUACAAUCAACAAACCAAACUCAUCAUCUUGAAUCCAAUAGAAUGAUUUAUAGAAGCUAAACACACAUCAAGAAAAUCUGAUAAAACUACAAAGAAUAAAAAAUUGAAUAAAAACAAAACGUCAUGAAUUAUAUUACCUGAUAAGCCUCCUCCUUUUUCUUGCUCCUCUUCUUCUUUCGACCACAGCUUCAAAAAGCACCCGAAGAAUCCAACUUCCUCAGUCAACUACUAACAAGUCUCCAUCAAUCAAUACAAGUAGAUGCAAGAGCAUAUAGCUUCCUUCAGAAAGACAACAAAACAUUCAAAUCAACACAUGGGCAAGGGCCAGCCUCUAAGUUGACUUAAGGAAACUCUCCAAGAAAAACAGACGGCAGCAGACGAACUUGAUUCGAGGCCUUCAAGAAAAGCCCAAAAACCAUAAAUAUUGCUUCUUCCAAAGCAAAAAUCAAGAGCAUUAAAUGUCAGGCCAAGAGAACAAAAACCCAAGCUUCUUAUAUGGCAAAAAAACACAGCAAUUGUUUUUCUUAUUUAUACUAAAUUUAAGCACCACCAGCCCACCCACCAGCAUUUUCUAUGUACUGCAAAGAAGUACAAGGCAAGGCUGCGUUGUAGUACAACACUCAUCAGAACUCCAACGAUGGCUGCUAUACAUUUGAACAGAUGUCAGGUUCAUAAAUUUGAUCUUCUCGUUGACUUAUUACCACCACUUUUCACCCUCUCUUCAUCCUUGUAGUACAGAUAUAGAGAGAAGAAAAGUGGGCAAUCGUAAGCAUAAAAUUGCUUAAAGUGAAAAGCAAGAAAUGGAACUGCUAACUGGAUUGAACUGGCUACUUCACUUGAAAGUGCCUUCCUUUACAGUCAUAACAUGUGUAUGGCAAGUUAAGAGUCAUUUUGAUCCCUCUACUCUUAUUUCCCUUAAUUUAUCACCUUUGUCUUCAUAUCACUCUCUUUAUUAUAUUCUUUAUUUUAGUCAACUGUAGCCUAGAGUUAGACACCUCAAUCCCAACCUAACUUGUUUGGAUUAGAACCCAAAGACUGCUUCGUUAAAGAUUGAGAUUUAUUUAAUCAACUAUUGUACUAUAAUAGGCAAUGACGUCGUUUUAAUACUAAACAUUUUCAAUAGGAUGUUCUCUUAUCCCACGCAUAAGAAAAAAAUGUUACGAGGGAUUAAUUGUUAAGGGGUUAUAUUGAAGAAUAAAAUAGUAUAAGGAUCGAAUUAAGAUAGAUGUAUAGUGGAAGGAUAAAAAAGACAACACUAGCAAGGCGUGUGGAAACAUGUCAAAGUCAGUUAAGAAAAGGAGAAAGGCCAGUUUUGAGGCCAAUAAUAUAGAAAUCUCAAAAAAAGAUUUGAUGUAAGAGAGAGAUAUCAUAUGAUGGUGGGGUGGCCCCAGAAAUGGUGGGAUGGUAUUCAUCGAAUGCUGAUUCUAUCAACCUUUAGAUGCGAUCACUGUUUCUGACCAUUAAUUUCUAGUUUAUCAAAUGAUGUGAUAAGAAUAAUUUUAAAAAAAAAAUUGUGUUUUGAAUUUAAAAAAUAAGUUUUUUAUGUUUUAAUAUAAAAAUAAAUUUUAAAAAUAAAAAAUAUAUUAUUUUAUAUAUUUUUAAUAAAAAUAUUUUUAAAAUAAUCUUAAAAUAAUAAUAGACUUAGGUUGUUAAUAUGAUUCUUUCAUGCUACUUGAAAUUUAUACAGGUUUAUUAUUAUAAAAUAUAAAAAAAUAUUAUUUUAAUAUAUUUUUAAAAAUUAUUUUAUAUUAUAUUCAAAUAUCAAACAUGUAUUGAUAUUAAUCUUGCUAAAUUUAAAAUAAUAUUAUUCAAGAUUGUUUUUAUAGAAAAAGUUAAAAGUUAUCAACUUAAUCGAUGAGUUUAAUAUCUAUAAGAAAUUAUUUUUAGUAAAUUAGAGUAGGUCACAAAAAAUUAGUUUAUUGGUAGAUGGAAUAAACUACACAAGAAUUUAUAAUAUGAUUGAUUUACUUCAUGUAAUUUAAAUUAAAGAAAAAAAACACACAUUUCCUCUGCCUCAAAAUAAAUGAAAAAAAAAUAAAAACGAAUUAUUGAAUUUCAAGUGAUUUUAUUUUUCCUAUUUUCAAACUUGGAAUGUAAUAAUUCCUCAUCUAAUUUUUUAAUCGGGUGCAAUAAUUUAUUAUUUAUCUCUUAGUUUACAAAAUAAAAUAAAACAUUUAUUUCAAAGCGUUGAUUUACUAAUUAAUUCAAUUGUUUUCUACUGUGAUCACUUUGAUUCUGGGAUUGAGAGUGAUAAAAUUAUCAUCGAAUUAAUUUUGAAAAUUAUCAUCGAAUUAAUCUAAAAAGGGAAUUACGUAGCGUGAGUAUAUUUUCUUAUCAAGAUUGAUAGUUACGUGCAUGAGGGGAACCCUCCCUUUCGUCGGGAGCACAAUCGUCCUUUCGCACCAAAAAGUCAUCAAAAAAUUAUUCCAAAACAAACACCACAGACUCCAAGAAGCCAACAAUUUUGCUGAGAGGAAUAGGCAAUAAAUAUCUCCGUUUAAAUCACCUUAAUUCAGUGGAAAAUUAUGUGCGCAUUAUUUGUACAUUAUUAAGCUAUGUGCAUGCAUCAGAGUGGUUUGAUUAACUACUUUACAUAAAUAAAAUGAAGAGAGUUCUUUGGCAUUUCUUAGAGAAAAAAAAAUUACUUUGUUAUGGGUCAUAAUUGUUUAUGAUAUUUGUUUUUCUCUGAUCCAAGUUUUGUGGAUACGAAGCAGAGAAGAUGUUGAAGUUACAUCUAGACUGUAAAAAUCAAUUCCUUGGUUAUUAAAACUCCAAAAAAAAAAAAAAGAUCACAGGUUAAGUUCUAUUAAUUAAAAUAAUAUUAUUUUAAUUUUUAAAAAAAAUUAACUAAGAUUUUAACUAAAUCAACUGAAUUAUGAACUAAUUCAUCAGGUCAUUUAAAUUAUAUUGGUUCAAUUUCUACGUAAUUUUUUUUAAAAAAAACCAACAUGAACUAAUCGAGAGUUUAAUAGCUUGUUACUGAUAAAUUAUGCCAUUUUACAUUUACUUAUUUUUUGGGAGUAAGAACUCAAUUUUGAAAGGGACGGUGAGUUUCAAUUUUGCACUUUCUUUUCAUCCAUUGCACUUUCUUUUAAACCUUUUAUUGGAACUCAAUAUUGGAAGGGACGGUGAGUUUUAGUUUUAAUUCUAGGUGGGCUCGAUUGGAUUCCUUUGUUAAAAAAAAAUAACAUGAUCGAUAUCUUCAAAAUCAACUUUAGUGAUGUUCAUAUAACAAUUUUUUUUUUUUUGUACAAUAGGAUGUUUGGAUAAGCUUUUGAUUGCACUAAAAAUAUUACAUCCAUGUUCGGACUUAUAUAUUUUUCAAGCAAUUAAUUAUUUUAUCGGAACAAUUCGAGCAUUAAAAUAUAAAAAUAUGGAGAAUACUUAAUAUUUACCAACAAAUUAAACUAAGCCUGUGAAAGUUCACUUUAUACGAAUAUAUAUAUAUGUUGACAAAUUAUUUGCCACUUGAGGUUGAAGAUCAUGUCGUUUAAAAUGAAAUUAACGCAUUAUAAGCUAAUUAUGUGGAUUCCAACUCAUAAUUAGUUUCAUGUUAAGAGCAUGAUUUCAUGUUUUACUUAAAAAACAUUUAUUAGCACUUAGCAGCUUAUUUUAAAAAAAAUAUUAUAAGCUUUUUUUAAAACAAAGAAUGGUUGAGUGGAGUUGGAGUUGUGGAGGUAAUGGAGAACCCUAAUUCUUCAAUUAUAUGGUUACAUGUAAUGUAAAAAGUUUAAAUUGAUAUAUAUGCCACUUGAAACUGAAGGCCUUUGCAUUUAAAAUUCGAGAAUCAAUUAUAUUGUGGAUUAGUGAAAAAAAUUAAAAGAAGGAGCAUUCUUGUUUUAGUUUCUUUCAUGUUAAAAGCAUUAAUUACAUGUCGAAAAAACAAAUCAUGAUUAAUUUGCUAUAGCAUACUUGUUUUAACAAACAAAAAAAUAGAGUUAAUCAUGCAUUGCAUGCGUGAAAAAAAAUAUAACUAUAGGUUCAAACCUAUGUAUCUCGUAUCAAUAUGUUAAAUAAAAAGUGUGGAAUAUAUCUCAUUUUGUCUAUAACUAGAUAUGUUUCCGUGUGUUGCUAUUGCAGAUUAAACAAUUUUUUUUAUGUAAAAAAAGUGAUGGGUUAAAAAAAAUCCAAAUCCCAAGUCAUUGAUUAAAUUGACAAUUUAAAUAUUUAUAAAAAUAAAAAAACAACAACAAAUAAAAAUAAAAAAAAACAUACUUGAGCCUAUUUAAAUUAACAAAUAACCUAAUGCUAAUCUAAUUGAAGGAAAAUCCAAGAAACCAAAAAAAAAAAAAAAAAGGGCUUAAAAAAGAAAGAUAAAAACCAAGCAAACCUAGACGAACCUCCUAAACCUAGUUUUAUCUAAAAAGUUAUAAUUUUUUAAAUCAUGAACCCGAGUUCAAUUAAAAAACUUAAAUGUCAUCCAAUUUAAUUUUGAAAGUUGCAAUCGUUGAAAAAACUAUUAAUAAAAAAUCUUGAAAAAACAAAGAAGCAAGAUUCUUAAUCAAACAAACUUUGAAGGAUGAAAACUAAAAAAGUAUAAUUUUUUAAAUCAUGAACCCGAGUUCAAUUAAAAAACUUAAAUGUCAUUCAAUUUAAUUUUGAAAGUUGCAAUCGUUGAAAAAACUAUUAAUAAAAAAUCUUGAAAAAACAAAGAAGCAAGAUUCUUAAUCAAACAAACUUUGAAGGAUGAAACUGAAAAACAAAAUUAAUAAAACAAAAAUUGCAAAACAAAAAAAAAAUUAAAAGAAUUAUGACUAAAUUUGACAUAAAAAUUAAAUGAAAUAAAAUGUUUUGAUAAAAAUCAAAUCAAAUCAAAUGUUUAGGGAUGAAAUUGUAAAAAAAAAUCCAUUAAGAAAAUAAUUAAAAAAAUAGCAAUUAAAAUAAUUAAACCAAAUUUGACAUAAAAAUUAAAUGAAAAUAAAUACAUAGGGGUGAAAUUGUAAAAGAGUAAAUCAAUCAAGAAAAUGAUUAAAAAACAAAUAGAAAUUAAAAUAAUAAGGAUCAAAUUUGACAACAAAAUUAAAAAACUCAAAUGACCAGAAAUAAAAUAAAAAAUAAAUCCAAUUAGAAAUAAUCAAUGUAAAUAAAAUAAUUACAAAUAAGAGAAGAGGGACUGAAUCAAAAGAAGAAAUAAAUUGAAGGACUGGAAUGAAUUUUUUUAUUGCCAGCAUGCAAUCCGAGAAAGAAAAAAAAGUAAAAGAAAAGAAAAGAAAGAAAAGUAAUUUCAGUCAAAUCACGUCAAACCACAAUACACGCGUCAUCCAAAGAGAAAAAGAAUGUCAAGAUGAAUCAAAUGAUGCUGCAGAAUCACGGCUGCAACCGCUCGAGUCAACCACGGGCAGUGCUAGAAGUUGAAAAUAUUGAAAAUGUCCUUUGACUAAACAAUAUUAACAAAUAAACCAUGGUGAAAUUACAACUAAGCCCCUGAAGCUAAGGUUAAAAAAUAAAAAUUGUAUUGACAAUGUAGUAAUUCAAUUGUUCUAUAAAAAUUAAAAAUACAAAAACACCCUUGUGCAUAAAGCAUUGAAUUAUUUUAUUCAAGGGUUAAAUUAAUGAUUUUUAUGUGCAUUAAAAAACACAAUUAUCAAAAUAACCCUGCACAAUUCUUAAAUGAUAUUUAUAUCAUGGUAAAAAUACUACCUUACCCUUGAAGUAAAGACAAAGGAUAAAAUAAUUAAGGGAUAAUAUAAUAAUUACAUUAUUGUAAUGAAUAAUAAUUUAUGUCUCGGAAGUGUUUUGGAUAAUUAUAUAAAUAUUAAAGUAUGUAUAUUAUAUAUAUAGCAGGGCAAAUGAGAUAUGUUUCCAUAUACCUUUUUAUUUUAAAACUACACAAAUUCAUUAUCAAAUUAUUCUAGAGAUUAAUUUCUUUUUGUCCCGUUUCAUCCCUACUGGCAGACUGUAAAAAAAUUGUAACCAAAAUUAUAAAAAAAUGUUAAAUAAAUGAUAAAUGGGUACAUAUUUGUUUUUUCUCUUGAGAUCAAGUUGUUCAAAGAAAAUUGAUUACCAGAACCACAUGGAAAGUCAAUUGUAAUUUUUAUUAUUUAUAAUAUGAUUUCUAUGGAAUUUUAGAAAAUUUCCAUACCAUAAAUGAUAUACAUUGGGUUUGGAAAAUAUAGCCUCGUUGAUUAAAAUUAAAUUUGGCCUUAUAUCAUUUCUUUUUAUAAAAGUAUUAUUAUUAUUAUUAUUGUUAUUGUUAUUGUUAUUACUAUUUCAUCACAAGGCUUUUAAAGAAACUUUAUUAAGACUUCGUUUGUUUGCUGGAAAGUAGUUUCUUUUUGAAAAAUGAAUUUAGAGAAAAUGAAUUAUUUUCUGAUAUUUGGUAGUGUAAUGAAAAAUAAGUUAGAAAAUACUUUUCAGUGUUUGGUUAUGUCAUGAAAAAUAAGUUGGAAAAUAACUUAUUAAUGAAUUUUUUUCUCAAGUUUGUUAAAAUAAUGAGAAACAAAUCUUACAAAUUAAAAAGUUUAAUGAGAAUGAAAUUAAAAAAAUAUAUAUAAUUUCAUUAAUUAUCUCAAAUAAAAUAAAUAUAAUUAAAAUAAUAAAGAUCAAAUUUAAAAAAUAAAAAAAAUGAAAGAUGAAGAAAUUAAAAUAAUAAUAAUUAAAAUUUCAUAAAUUAUUUUAAAUAAAAUAAGUAACAAUAAAAAUAAUAAGAAUUAAAUUUGAUAGAUAAAAAAUUUUAAUAAACAAAUGACAAGGAAAAAGUAAAUAAUAAUUAUAAAAAUAAGGAUUAAAGUUAAUAUAAAAAUUAAAUUUUAUGAGAUGAAAUUAAAAAAAUAAAUAUUCAAAUCAAAAUAUAUAUAGCUAUCAAAAAUUUGAGAACCAAAUUUGAUAUAAUCAGCAAAUAAUAUGACAUUUAUAAUUUUUUCACAACUUUUAGAAAGUAUUUUUCACCUAAAGUUUCUUGAAAAACAUGUUUUUAAAAAUUAAGUUUAAUUUUUUUUUAACUGCAAAGUAUAUUUUUUGUUAACCAACAUUACUAAUAAUAAAUAAAUACAAAAAAAUUUUAAAAAUAAAUUUUCAAAAAUUACUUUUUAAAAAAUAAACAUAGGCUAAUCCUAGAAGUAGAAAGAGAGCUUGGCUUUAAUGAGGCUUCUCCCCAAAAAUUCAGCUUGUCCUUUCCCAGCCCGACCCUAACCACCCAACAUAGCUCAAACCCUAACCGCCACCACCAGGUCUACUAGCACAUAAAUUUACGACACAACCCUAACAAACCACCCAAAAAGAACUCCAAUCCAAGGAGAUUACUGUACUUUAAACACAAAUACAAAAUCACAGGGGGUUUCGUCAGAGACCAUGUUUCUGCAAGAACCAGUGUUAUAUGUAGCAAGUGCAGCUUUAAGGUGUUUGGUAUUGUUUGCUGAGCUCCGGAAACCUGAUCCGAAUCGUGAAGCAUCAAAGGAAGCCCUUGAACAUAAGAAAGAAAUCACUAAGCAUUUGGGUCGUCCCUUUAUCCAAACAAACCCUUAUGAGGUGUGUGUGUGUCAAAGUUUCUAUUUUUGUUGAAAAGAUUGGAUUUUUUUUGCAUUUUUUGAUUUGGGCUUUGUUUUGGGUUUUAGAGGAUUAUGUGAAUCUUGGUUCUAGGGGUAAUUAAUGGAAUUUAGGUUUGUUUUGGUUUGUCGUUUUCUGGAGGAUUCUGUGAAUUUUGGUUAUAUGGUCAGAUAAUGAAAUGAAGAAUUUUGUGAAUUUGGAUUAUAGGGUUAGUUAAUGGCAUAUAGGCUUUGUUUUUAUUAUGUGCUAUUGGUUUUAUUAUAUGCUUGAAUUGUCAUUCAUCUGCAAAAGUUUGAGUUUUGUUUGUGAUAGUGGGGUUGAGGUUGAUAUUGCAAUAAGGGAUGUGGAUGGUUUAUUGUAGGGAAUAGGGAUUUGGGGGGGGGGUCUGGGUGUUUUGAUGUAGGUAGGUGCUUUAAUCGUUGUUUGGGUUAUGAGGGAGUGAUUGCUUGUGCCAAAUGGGAUGGGAUUAAGUUUCCAGUUUUGCUGUGAUGAAUUAAGUUUCUUUUUGGUAGUGGAAACUAAGUUCAUUUCAGAUUGAGUUAUUUGUUGAACUUUUGAACUGAUGGGUUGGAGCUUAGGCCUCUGGGUUGAUGAAAAGUUCAAAUUCUUGUGUGAAAAUGGAGAUGGGGGCCAUGAGAUUAAGAUUGCGAUGAGGGAUCUUGGUGGUUUAGUGGGUUAUUGUAGGGAAUAGGGAUUAGGGGAUUUGGGUGUUUUAGUGAAGAUAGGCAAUUUCAUCAGUUUUUGGAACGGUGGGGAGUGACUCGUGCUGAAUAGGGUGUGUUUAAGUUUCCAGUUCUGCUGGGAUGCAUGAAGUUGUUUUGUGUUGGUAGAAACUAAGUUCAAUUCUGAUUGAGUUGUAUAUUGAGCUUUUGUACUGGAGCGCUGGAGUUUAGGCCUCUGGGUCGAUGUUAUAGCAUGCUUGAAUUUUGAAUUUUGUGUGAUAAUAGGAUGAGGACCAUAAGGGUAAGACUUCAAUAAGGGAUGUGUGUGGUUUGGUGGGUUAUUGUAGGGAACAUUGAUUGGAGAAUUAGGGUGUUUUGGUGAAGAUAGUUGCUUCCAUCAUUUUUGGGGAUGUUGGGGAGUGAUUGCUCAUGCUGAAUGGGAUAUGAUUAAAUUUCAAGUUUUGUUGGAUGGAUGGAGUUAUUUUUGGUUGGUGGAAACUGGAGACCAAGUUCGUUUCUGAUAUAUUGGAACUUUUGUACUAUUGUGUUGACCUUGGGUUGGUGCUAUAGUACUGUUGUCAUUGUUUAUACAACCAUAAACCGUUAUAAUAUUUCCUGGUGUCUUCAAACGUGCCAUGUGUUUUCUAGGCUGUCUAUACUUUGUUGGCUGCUACCAUGCAACAAAUACUCAAAGUUUCUAACGUCAACUGAAUACAUGAAAAUAUCCAUCAAAUGGAGUAUAUUUGAGUCUCCUUCUAUAUCAUAAACUAAUGGCACAUGAUUAUUAGGUUCAUUUAUAUGAGUCCACCUUUUUUGAAAAUGAUACUAUGUGAACGCCGAUGGCUGCUAUGUUCAGUAAUAGCCUCGUGCGUGACUGACUUGACAGGUUCAUAGUUGGAAGAAAUUAAAUUUGAAGACUUGGCCUUGAACCAAUAUGAUUGCUGUAACUGGGAAACAUAGAUAUUAGUUCUUUCUAUGCCUAAUGAAAGUUGGAUGGAAAACCAAAUUUUCAAUUAUGAAGCCUUCUGAUGGCAAUUGCUUUGUGGAAGAUCUAAACUGCUUUGUAACAAUCAAGCCUAUCCUCUAAACACUAUCCAAUAUGGCCAUGUUCUCAUGUUGAAAAUAUAAUUGAUUGGAAUAGAGGCUUUAAAAUUUAUGGUCGGUUUAAUGGUUUAUCAAUAUGCUGCAAUUGUAUAUCUUUAUUUUUCAAUUGGACGAUUGGAAUCUAUCAAGCAAGCUUUGUAUGAACUGGUGAUUCUUCCUCUGUGGAAACCUGAGCUCUUCUCACAUGAGAAACUUCUUGGUCCACAAAAGGGGGUAUUGUUAUAUGGACCUCCAGGCACCGGGAAGACCAUGCUUGCAAAAGCUAUUAUCAGAGAGUUUGGAGCUGUUUUUAUAAAUAUGAGGAUCUCUAAUCUGAUGAGCAAGUGGUUCGGCGAUGCACAAAAGCUCGGUGAGUAUAGAUCGCAUUUGAAUUGCCUCUCAUGUGCUUGAGCUUUGCCUUGCAUUUAGCAAAACAAUGAUGAUUUAAAAUUAUUGCCUUGUUAUUCUAAAACUUGCUGUCACCCACCGACUAUGUUGAGUGAAAUUUAGUUUCACUUUGAUAAUGGAAGCAAGGUAGUACUUUGUGAACAUUCUCAACUAAGAUUGAACAUUCCUAACUUGUCCUUUUUGAAGAUCUUUAUUAGCAGCAAGAUUAUUUUGAAUGCUCUAUUAGCUUUAAAAAACAGGGCGCUGUAGCUUGCUUAUCUAAUGGAUCUUACUCCGAUGAAUGAGAUUGUGAAAUGAUCAAAAUAUUGGUAUUUUUGUUGCUGUGUGGUAUUUUUAUAUAUCCUGCAUCAGGGAUAUAACAGAAGUAACUGAAUGGCAUACACUCUUGCUAUUGUGAAAUUGGUCAUUACUGUAUUUUGCAACUACAUCUUUGUGUUGAAACCAUCCCUCAUUACAUUCUUUUCUGCACCUGAAUCCAAGCAAGGUUAAGCCCAGUUACAUGCAAAAUACAUUCUUUGAAGGUUCACUUGCAAAUAUUUCCACACAAGAGUGAGCGUCGGAAACACGGCAGUACUAAUUUCCGAAAUUGACAUUUUUGCAGCAAGUCUUUGUGCUAACAGAUACAGUUCAUGCUCUAAUUUGAACUUCCUUUGUAGCUCGUCUGAUGGCAGCUGUUCUCGGGGACAUCUACCCCGCUAUUAUUCCUUGCUGGCUUAUAAAUUUAAUACUAAUUGGAUCCCCCUUCGCAUGUACUGAUUAAUUAUUCUUGCAAUUAUUAGCAAGAAUACGUGACUGUUUACUUGAAGGGUUAAGCAAUUUAUAUGUUUCCCAGAAGAAGAAGAAGCAUUUCAUAGCUUAGAAAAUAGCAAUGAAUAUCUGCUAAUAGAUACAGUUUGUGCUCUUCCUUUUCAGCUCGUCUGAUGGUAAGUGUACGUUUCUGGGGACUUCUACCACUCGUCCUUGUCUUCUAUAAAACUCCAUGCCAACAAAAGGCAAUAAUGCAAUCCUUGGUACAGAUUUUUGCUGGAUAUUUCCACUCAAGGAAAGCUCCCUUAACUAGUUGAUGACUAAACAAGAGUAUUGGACAGAGGGAAACAGGAUCGUUCUCAGGUAUCAUUAGGAAUUGUUUCAAGGAGGAAAAAGUACAAGGUUAGGUUUCUUAAUGCCAGAGGCAGUUUGACAGAGAUGGAUAAGGAGGUUAGUGACAACUCUAUGGACUCUACUCUUGCCAAUGUCAAUGGAAGGUUGGAAAAUUUGGCAACUUGUACUGAACCCACAAUAGUCUAUAGCUCUGAACGAGAGGUGGCAGCUACACAUCACCUUGGCAAGGUUUUAGGGAUUCAUAGAGAUACAAAUGAUGGUUUGGUUGCUGAACAUAUUCGGAGGCAGAUUGAUACGAAAUAGAAGGAAUGGUUGGACUCCCUCCAAGUUCUUGCUCUGGUGCCCAGUUUAUGAGUUUUGUUCUAAUCUUAAGCAGAUGCUACCAUAGAAUUAUAGAGAUUUAGGCAGUCUUUGUAGAAGAGGGGCUGCGCAAAAGUAUGUUAGUUCCAGUGAUAUUGAAGCUUUUUGUUUCUUGGAAAGUAAAAUUUCUAAUUAUACGAACACCCUAGUCAAAAGUAUUUGGAGUGGGUCUAAACUGGAAUGGUAUAGUUUCUUAGCAAUUUUAGCAAUUUUAUUGUAUGUGUGUUAAGCAUUAUUGCAUGCAUCACUUAUAAAGUAUUUUUAUUUUUGAACAGGAUGUCAUAGCAUGUGAUGUUAGAAAUCCUGAACACAUAGAUGUGGAAUUUGAAUUAAUUGGAGGGUUGGAAUCUAUCCAGCGAGCUUUGUAUGAACUGGUGAUUCUUCAUUUGCGGAAAGCUGAGCUCUUCUCACAUGAGAAACUUCUUGGUCCACAAAAGGGGGUAUUGUUAUAUGGACCUCUCUGAUAAUGGAAGCAAGGUAGUACUUUGUGAACAUUCUUAACUAGAUUGAACAUUCCUAACUUGUCUUUAUUGAAGAUCUUUAUUAGCAACAAGAUUUUGUUGGAUGCUCUAUUAACUUUAAAAAACAGGGCACUGUAGCUUGCUUAUCUAAUGGAUCUUACUUUAAUGAAUAAGAUUGCAAAAUGAUCAAAAUAUUGGUAUUUUUGCGAAGUAAUUAACUAAGUUUUCGUAGUUGCUUUUUUGCUCUUAUUGAAGUUAUAAUUUGAUUGAUGUUGAUUCUCUUCUAUGCUGUUGCCGUUGCUGCUGUUUUUAGCCUGGCUUAUAAACUCCAGCCUACCUUUAUAUUUAUUGACGAGAUUGACAGUUUAUAUUUAUUGAUCUUGAGUUCUGCAUUAAUGCGGUGUUCUUAUGCAGUGACUUGCUAGAAUGUGUUUUAUGUAAGAUUUGUGAAAGUGUGAUUUAUUCAUGGGCCUGGCCUGGCCGGACUCAGUGACAAUAUCUUACAAAAAAAUUAUUUUAAUGUUUUCCUUAUCAAACAUUGUUUGUACAAACCUAUCUCACUUUUUUUUUUUUUUGCUUUAGAUAUAAACAAUGCUUUAGAACAUUGUUUGUACCUGUUGAGAUGGUUUUAUCACACUUUUUAAUAGUCAUUUAUGUCUUACAAGUUACCAGAAUUACUAUAUUUUACUUGCAAAUAUUGCUACUGUUGUGAUAACAGAAUCUGUCAGUCAAGUGUUCUUUUAAAUUUACUAGAGUUGCUUCAAUCUGUUCAUAACUCUAUAACUUUCAAAAUACUCCCAGAAACAGAGAUUGAUUUAAGUGAUCACGACUAAGGAAAUGAAGACAUAAAAAAAGGACCCAAAACAUAAAUGAUUUUAUAGUUAACACAAACUUGUUACAUGCAUGAAUUCUUUUUCAUAGAAGUAAUGUACACUUAACCUUGAAUAAUGUAAACUACAAAAUAAAAUAAAAAUCCAAUACUAUGAAUUUGCCACCCAAUUGUUGAUCCACUUGAUAUCUUGAUUGUACUGCAAAAUUAGACAAGUAAGACUAAAGAAAACAUAGCCUAAUAUAAACUGUGAACAUAAAAUUUGAAAACUCAAAUGCUUGCAAAACUUACUUGAAAAUAUCAAUUGCAUUAUUUAGUUUCUUCUAGCACCAUAUCUGCCAGCAUUCUUCUUUGUUUUUUUGCUCUGGAGAUUCCAUUUAUCUUCAACCAUCCUAAAAAACCAUGAAGGCUUUUUUGUUCUUAACACAACGUAUCCCAUUGCAACUCCAAACACAAACCCGCAUCCAUACCCCAUUGUCACAGCUUUCCAUCCAAAUCCUUCUCCAAACAAUGUUGAAUCAUCUCCUUCAUCAAAGCUUGAUGGCGGUAAUGAUGGUGCCUCAUCACCGUAACAUUUUUUUAGUACUUGAGAUCCACAUAAACCCAAGUUUCCUUCAAAUGAGCUUGCAUCAAAGGUGUUGAAUUGCUCUCCACUUGGUAUGGCCCUCGAGUUGGUUAUGUGAAAGGUUUAGGAUUGCAAGAAAUGUUAGACCCCCCAGCUGCGUUGGAAUUCUUCCGGUAAGCAAAUUUGAAGAUAGAUCUAAUGAUUCCAAAUUGGUCAAAUUUCCUAAUGAUGAUUGGAUAUGACCUGUAAGGGAAUUAUGAGAAAGGUUGAGCUGUUGGAGUGCUUUAAGCUUUCCUAUUAUUUUUGGAAUCUCUCCGGUGAAAUUAUUAUUUGACAAAUCAAGUACUCUGAUGGUACUUUGUAUCUUUGGAAACUCAAUUUCUACACCCUUCCAUGUCAUUUCUAUGGAAUAGACAUACCUAGAGUAAUUUGUUGUCCCCAUGUAAAUCAUGUUUUGAUCCGAGGCCAUCAUUGCUUCAAGACUAUUGAAAUAUCUAGUUGGCAAAGACCCACUAAAAUCGUUGUCAGAGAUGUCAAGAAUCUGUAAUUUAGAGAAGGAAUUAUGUGCAGUUGGACCCUUCACAAAACCUUGGAGUUUAUUGGAUUUUAGGACAAGAAUUUGGAGCUUUGGAAGCGUUUCUAGAAAGUAGGGAAAUGUAUCCUCAAUCUUAUUGUUGCCAAGAUCAAUAACUUGCCAUUGUGCAGUUGAUGAUAGACGGUGGUAUUUUCCCUUCUAAUUCAUUUCCAUUGAGGUUGAGAUAUUCCAAGCUAUUAUCCUUUGAAAAUGUUGAAGGGAUAGUGCCUUGAAGAUUGUUCAUGCCUAGAUGCAAUACAGAGCAUGCUGCUGAAGUUCCCCAAACAUAGCGGCGUAGAACCACUCAAGCUGUUGUUAGACAAGUCCAGGACCCGAAGGUAUCUCAGCUUGCAAAUAGAAGAAGAAAUCUCACCUGUCAAUUUACUAUUGGACGCAAGAAUAAGGGUUGUCAAGUUCUCUUGUUUGAAAAUCGAACUUGGGAUUGGACCACGCAAGUGGUUAUUGCUCAAAUCAAGGAAUCUCAAAGAAUCAUGUUGGAGUUCACUUAUAUUACCUAUGAAAUUAUUGUUAUGAAGGUCAAGAUAUUGUAAAGAAGGAAGAGCAAACAAAAAGGAUGGUAUUGUUCCAUUGAACAAGUUACCAUAUAAAAAUAGAUAUUGUAGAUUUGAAAGGGUAUUUAAUUCAGAAUGGAUAGGGCCUACUAGUUGAUUAUUUGAUAAACUUAAAUAUGAAAGAUUGACUAGGCUAUCGAAAGAAUCUGGAACUUGACCCAUCAAUUUAUUGGAAUUGAGAUACAAAGAACGAAGCUGUACAAGGUUUUCAAGUGAUGAUGGGAUCUAGCUAAAAUUAUUACUUGAGAGGUCUAAAGAGGUGAGUUGUGUGAGAAUACCAAGUGAUGAUGGGAUCUGACCGCUAAAAUUAUUACUUGAGAGGUCUAAAGAGGUGAGUUGUGUGAGAUUACCAAGUGAUGAUGGGAUCUGACCGAAAUUAUUACUUGAGAGGUCUAAAGAGGUGAGUUGUGUGAGAUUACCAAGUGAUGAUGGGAUCUGACCGCUAAAUUAUUACGUGAGAGGUCUAAAGAGGUGAGUUGUGUGAGAAUACCAAGUGAUGAUGGGAUCUGACCGCUAAAAUUAUUACCUGAGAGGUCUAAAGAGGUGAGUUGUGUGAGAUUACCAAGUGAUGAUGGGAUCUGACCGAAAUUAUUACCUGAGAGGUCUAAAGAGGUGAGUUGUGUGAGAAUACCAAGUGAUGAUGAGAUCUGACUAAAAUUAUUACGUGAGAGGUCUAAAGAGGUGAGUUGUGUGAGAAUACCAAGUGAUGGUGGGAUCUGGUCGAAAUUAUUACCUGAGAGGUCUAAAGAGGUGAGUUGUGUGAGAUUACCAAGUGAUGAUGGGAUUUGACCGCUAAAAUUAUUACUUGAGAGGUCUAAAGAGGUGAGUUGUGUGAGAAUACCAAGUGAUGAUGAGAUCUAGCCGAAAUUAUUACCUGAGAGGUCUAAAGAGAUGAGUUGUGUGAGAUUACUAAGUGAUGAUGUUUCUAGACUCAUAAAGUCAUUGUCAGAGAGAUCAAGUGAAACCAAUUUGGAGAGGUGAGUUAUUUCUGACGGAAAUUGUCCUGUAAAGACUGAGAAAUUUAGGUUAAGAAGUGUUAGAUUGGAAAAGUGGCCAAAUCGAGAAGAAAUAUGGGAGAAGUUGAAAUCAUUGUCAGAAAGGUCGAGCUUUUGAAGAUGAUGCAGGAAGAAGAGGGUGCUAUUGGGAUGCAGGGUGCCAUAAAGCAUGCUGCAAGCAAGGUCCAGUCCAAUGACAUGCCCUGUUUUCAUGUCACAAGUGACCCCAUCCCACAAGCAGCAAUCUGUACCCUCUUUCCACGACUCUGUCUUGGGAUGCUGGCAAUUCCAUGAAGCAGAGCUAUUAAUGGAAAAGGAUUCUUUGAAUUGGAGCAAAGAAAGACUUUGGUCAUGAGCACAAAAAUGAGAAGAAGAAAUAGUUGAAUGGAAAUGGAAGAGAAACAGAAUGAAAGAGAGAGAUGAAAUAGGUGGAAACCCCAUGUUUGGCUGGCCUUACAGGAUUCAAAGUAUAUUUGGGAGAGAUGAGGAAUGAAGAAAGACAUUCUUAGUAGUAUUUAUAGACAAUCUAAUCUUAGAUUGUAUACUGACAUAGGAUGUGUAAAGACGAAAUCAAAUCUCAAGUACAAGAGGGAGUGAGUGUUGGAAACGCGGCAAAGUAUAUUAAAACAAGAUUCCUUGUUGACUUCAAAUUGCGCAAACUGAAUUGUUGUUUCUUGGCAAAGUAAUAAUUACGCAAAGCAAUGACUUUGUGUGCGCAGAGAUGUUUUUCCAAAUUGUAUUUAGCAAUGAGAUUUAUGAGAAGAUUGCUUUGCCCACUAAAAUGUAAUUUCCAAGAAAUUCAAAGCCACAAAAUCAGAAGAAAACUUCUUAAUAAGCCACAAGUGGGCUUGCAGAGUUAAAGAGUCAUCGUCACCUAUUAUGUCCACGUUCUGGCAAUAGCUUGUUUGAAUAAAAUUUGCUUCCUCUCAUGUAAUUAAUUUAAUUUAAUUUAAUUAAAAAAAAUUAUUUUUAAAAGUAAGAUUCAAUGAAGAUCGAAAUAAAAAAGUGAGUUAAUCUUUGUCACUUUCAAAAAAAAUUUCACAAAAAACAAAUACAAAAAAUAAUAAAAUAUUAAUGGAUAAAAUUAAAAAAAAUAAACUUAAAAAAAAUUAAUAUUGAUUUCUUAACUAUGCUUAAUUUAGUAAUAUGUUGUUUUUUAAAAAUAAUUUUCUUGCUUAUCAUUCUUUCAAUUUAUAUACUUGUUUUAAUUUAAGCAUAGUUAAUUUUAAUAUUAAUAUGCAUGCUAGGUUUUUUAAUUUUAUAUCAAUUAUAAAUUUAAAUAUAUAUUUAAUAUGCAUGUUAUUCUAUUAUUUUUUAUUUUUUGUGUUCAAAGCAGAACUACUAAUGGAAAAUUCAAAGGAGAGAAAGACUUCGGUAUUUUAGUAUCUAAUAGUAUUUUAGUUUUGAAUUCUUGAUUGGAUCUAAUCUUAUAUGACUUACUAUAUUUGAUGAAAACCCAAAUCUAUCUCAGCUUUUAAAAAAAUAUACACUUCGAUUUUAUUUUAUGACGUCACUAGGUGUACCAAAAAUCUAGUGCACUGUAUAACACUGAAAGCAAUAUAUAUUCAUCAGGACCGUCCGAUCAACUCUUAGGUUGAGCCAUACGUAGUUGGGUGAUCAAUCCAGAAGUAAUCAAGAGGGUUACAAGCUUCAGGUGCACCAACUCACCAUACUAACAUCCGCAGUAUAGCAAAUCUCAAAUCUCAAGUAUUUUCUCUCGUAAGAGUAAAACCCAUGGAAAUAUGUAAGGUUCUAUCAAAUUGACUUCAAAUUGCGCAAACUAAAUUGUUUAUUGGCACCUAAUGAGUGCGCGCCUGGUAACGUAAAGCGAUGUUUUUUUAAUUAAAAAUAUAUUAAUGUGAUGAUUUUUAAAAUUUAUUUUUAAUAUUAAUUUAUUAAAAUCAUAAAAAAUAUUAAAAAACUAAUAUUAAUUUUCUAAAUAGAUUAAAUAGUGUUUUAGAGGUUGCUAAUAUUUCUUAAAUUAAUUAAUCCUUUUAGUUUUAAAAUAAAUAAAUAGUUAUUUGACAAAUCUUGAUUAGUAAUAUUUUGUUUUUUUUUUUAAAACACUUUUCUUGCUUAUCAUUCCUUGAAUUAAUAUACUUUGAUUUUUCCUUUUUCUAUUCUAAAUAAUAAAUAAUUUAAACUAUGGGAUUAUGUAUACAUAAUUGAAAAAAUAAAUGAUAAACAAAGUCAUCUUCACCUUCUUAUGUCCAAUCCGCAGCUGUACAACAAGAUUAAGUAAGCAAUAAAUUCAUUCAGCUAAUAUUUUCACACGAGGAGAAGUCCUUUAAUUCACUAACACAAGUGCUAUUAAAUAAGGUAGUUAAUUGAACCAUCUAGGUGGUGGCCUAGUAGAAAGAGCUUGGGAUCAAGAGGUUUGCUCCCUCUGUGGUCUCAGGUUCGAGCCCUAAGUUGCUUAGAUGAUGGUUACUGGAGGCUUACAUGGUCAUUAACUUCAGGACUCGUGAGAUUAGUCGAGGUGCGCGCAAGCUGGCUCGGACACCCACGUUAAACUAAAAAAAAUAAAAAUAAAAAUAAAAAUAAGAUAGUUAAUUGUGAAAUUUUUAUAGUAAGAUAAAAAAAAAUUAAAAAUCGUGACAACUUAAUUUGAAUGUUCAGAGAUGUUUUUCCAAAUUGUAUUUAGCAAUAAGAUUUAUGAGAAAAUUGCUGUGCUCACUAAAAUAUAAUUUCCAAGAAAUUCAAACCACAAAAUCGGACGAAAACUUGUUAAUAAUUUACACUCGUAGUUUACUCACAGCCUAAGCAAGUGGGCAUGCAGAGUUAAAAGAGUCAUCCUCACCGUCUUAUGUCCACUUCAAUCCAGUCUACAGUCAACACACGUUCUGGCAAUAGCUUUAUUGAACAGUUACUAGAAAACUGACAAACAAUGGAGAAUUAAUGGAGUUUGAAGGUUCUUGCCCUCAAGAUACUGUGGGAGAACUUGGAUGUAUAGAUAUUGUCCACUCUUCAUGUGGUGCUGAAGGUUCACUUGCAAAUAUUUCCACACAGGAGAGCUGUGAGCGUUGGAAUUAAACACGGCAGUACUAAUUUCCAAAAUUGACAUUUUUUCAGCUAGUCGUUGUGCUAACUGAUACAGUUCAUGCUCUAAUUAGGAUUUUCUUUGUAGCUCGUCUGAUGGCAGCUGUUCUCGGGGACAUCUGCCCUUCGCAUGUACUGAUAGAUUAUUAUUGCUAUUAUUAACAAGACCAGGGGACUGUUUACUUGAAGGGUUAAACAAUUUAUAUGUUUCUCAGAAAAUAGCAAUGAACAUGUUCUAAUAGAUACAGUUUGUGCUCUUCCUCUGCAGCUCGUCUUAUGGGAAGUGUACGUUGCUGGGGACUUCUACCACUCGUCCUCGUCUUCUAUAAGACUCCAUGCCAACAAAAGACAAUAAUGACUAAACAGAGGUGUUGGAAACACGGCAAUAUUAAUUAAUUUUCAAAAUUAACAUUUUUAUUGAGAUUAAGUCUAUGCGAGUGAUGUGCAGCAAGUCUAUGAAAAUCUGCUAAAAGAACAGCCAUUCAUAUGGAUUUUAGACCCGCUCAAGAUUCUUUAAGCGAAGGAAUGUUUCUUUUCAAAUAUAAAGUUUUUAUAGUGGUGGUUUUAGCAUUGCGGGGGUUGUGGUGAUGCAUAUAUCCCUCAAUAGUACAUCUUAAUAUUAAUAAAAAAUUUAAACUUUCUUUUCACAUACCUUUUGUUCCAAAUUGGGUUAAAGAAAUAUUCAAUUAUGCAUAUUAAUUACCUUCCAAACUGACAUUUUUGUUGAGAGUAGAUAAAAUCCCCUACAUGCAAGUCUAUGUGCUUUAGGUACACUCUGUGCUCUUCCUUCGCAGCUCGUCUGAUUGGAAUUGUACGUUCUUCGGACUUCUACCCUUCUAUGAAAUCUGGUCUGUACAGGUUAAUAAUUAAGGAUUUCCAUAGAGCAGAGCUCGGAGAAGAAAGUCUCCAUAUCCAUUUAAAUAACAGAGCCCUGUUUUUUGACAUUAGGGAGCCUAUGCCAAGACCUCCUUGCUUCUUAUCACGCAUUCCACACCAUAAGAAACGUCUGAUGGGUACGUUUGUUACACUUUUUAAUAGUUAUUUAUGACUUACAAGUCAUCAGAAUUACUUUAUUUUGCUUGCAAAUAUUGCUGCUGCUGUGAGAAUCAGUCGAGUGUUAUUCUUUUAAUUCAUAAGAAUUGUUUUAAUUUGCUUGCACACUCGUAGAUUUGUACAGCAAUCUGUUCAUAACUCUAUAAAUCUUAAAAUAUUCCCAGAAAAGGAGAUUGAUUUAAGUGAUCAAGAAUAAAAAAAAUGGACAAAUAAAAAAAGAACCCAAAACAUAAUGAUUUUAUAAUUUCCAACAAGGGAGAAUCAAUCUUCUUUCAGAUCAAUCAAGUCAAACCCAUGAAACUCUUGAGCGAUGCCAAAUCCAAUUUCUUUUUUACUUAGAUGCAUGCUAGAUUCAAGAAUAUAUAGAUCUGACAAGAUACUAAAUCCAACUUUCUCAAAGAAAAAUCAGCAAAUCUUUAUUUAUUAAUUACUAAAGACUCAAUAUAUACAAAGUGGAAUUCUAUUCAUGUCUAAUCUUAAUUACAUCAUAAUAUUAUAAGUUUUGUUAAUACUCUAUGUUAUCCUUUAUCUUUAAUAUAACACGGAGUAUUCUAUUUUGAUAAUUCAAAUUUAUUGAAAUAAUAUUACUUUGCGAAUGUUAGAAAUCAAACUCUCUUUUUUCCCCUGUAUAUCCAGGAUAAAUAUUUUAUUAUUAUUUUAAAUACAUUAAAAUGAUAUUAUUUUUUUACAUUAACACAUCACAAUUAUAAAAAAUCAUUUUAAAAAAAUUAACUUAAUAUUUUGGCAAUAGCUUUAUUGAACAGUUGCUAGAAAACUGACAAACAAUGGAGAAUUAAUGGAGUUUGAAGGUUCUUGCACUCAAUUAGAUGCUGUGGGAUUGGUCGUCCUUAAAAGGUCUUUCUCUUUCAGCAUCAACAAGGGAUAACCAAUCUUCAUUCUUCGAAUGCCUUCGCGUAUAUAUCCUUUUCCAUGACCCUAAAGUCUUCAUUGAUGAGACUAGUAUAGGAACACGACUGUAUUUGAUUUCCAAACAGUUUACGGGUUGCUUAUUUUUCUUAAAUUAAUUCAUUCUUUUAGUGUUAAAAAUAAUUAAAAUAGACUAGAUAUCAUGCUCUAUAGAGAUUACAUAUUAAUAAUUUCCUGAACCAAAACUUGUCUCCUAGUAUUGUUAGUAUAUAUAUGUUUGAUCUUUGUCACUGGGAGAAGCAUCAAACAAGUUUCCUUGGCUAGGUCCUUCGUUGACUAAAUCAAGAGUGAGGGAGUGAUGGAAACGCGGCAAUAUUAAUUCAUUAAUGGAAAUUAAACAUGGAUAAUAUAGACUAUGAAGUUAGAGACUCAAAUUUUCAGAUAAAGCCUUAAUUAAUGAAGUUAAGUUAGAUCUUAAAUCUACGAUGUGCCUUUUAAUCGGAGCAAAGAAAGACUAAUUUGUACAUCAGCACAUAAUUGUUAGUAUUAAAAAUGCAACAGAAACAUAAAUGAAUAAUAAAAAAUAAAGUAAAAAUAAAAUUGUGCAGAAUAAUGUCCCACUAAUUAAUUGUUGUUUCGAGACGGAUGGAAACCAAGGCAAAGUAAUAAUUACGCCAAGCAAUGACUUUGCACAUUUAAAUAUUACGUAAGUCAUGUAACCUUCAUGGCAAAGCAAUAUGGAGCACUAAUGACUUUGCACACACACAUAUAUAUAUUGUUUUUCACGACCCAAAAAGUCUUUUUUAAUUAUCCAAAAGUUCCUAUCAACUUUUCCUGUGUACUUGGUUGGUAAUGUGAAUGAUCAGUGCAUUUUUCUUAAAUUUUUUUUUUUAUUAUAAAUAUAUUCAAAUGAUAUUAUUAUUAAGAAAACUCCAUAAUAAUUUACACUCACAGCUGAAGCAAGGGGGCCUGCAGAGUUAAAGAGUCAUCCUCACCUUCUUAUGUCCCCUUCAAUCCAGUCUACAGUCAACACGUUCCGGCAAUAGUUUUGUUGAAACUAGAAAACUGAUAAACAAUGGAGAAUUAAUGGAGUUUGAAGGUUCUUUACCUCCAAGUCUUCGAUCUGGCAAUAGCUUUAUUGAACAGUGGCUAGAAAAGUACAGACAAACAAUGGAGAAUUAAUGGAGUUUGAAGGUUCUUGCACUCAGUUAGAUGCUGUGGGAUUGGUCGUCCUUAAAGGUCUUUCUCUUUCAGCAUCAAUAAGGGAGAACUGUCAAAGAACUGUCUCAACCCAAUAACUUAAGCUGUUAGGUGAGGUCUCAGGAUAUGAUUUAUAUUAUUCUCUAACACACCCCCUUAAGUGAAAGCUAUUUGGGCUUGAAACUUGCACAGACCCACAUUACUUUGUGCAUAAUUUUUAUCAAAUAAAUAAGGAUGGUAAGAUUCGAACUCGUGACCGCUUGGUUAUUAAAGCUUUGAUAUCAUGUCAAAGAACCAUCUCAACCCAAUAACUUAAUUAAACUGUUAGGUGAGAUUCCAGAAUAUGAUUUAUAUUAUUCUAACGAAUCUGCAUUUUGUGAACUGUCAUUGACCUCCAAGUCUUCGAUCGGAACUUAGAUGAAACCAAGGCAGAGUAAUAAUUACGCCAAGCAAUGGAUCACUAAUGGCUUAGCACACAUAUAUAUUGUUUUUCACGACCCAAAAAGUCUUUUUUAAUUAUCCAAAAGUUCCUAUCAACUUUUCCUGUGUACUUGGUUGGUAAUGUGAAUUAUCAGUGUAUUUUUAAAAAAAUAUUUUUUUUAUUAUAAAUAUAAUAAACAAUAUUACUUUUUUACAUUAAGAGAGAGCAUGGUUACCUAUUGAGACGAAUCCAAGCUCACCGGCGUAACACAGACAACACUCUAAUAUAAACUAUUAAAAAAACUAAAAUAAACAACAAAAACAACAAUGAUUUGUGUAAACAACAUGUAAAAUAAUAGCUUAGUAGAACUGUAUCUACUUAGGCUAUGCUUUUAAAGGGCAUAGAGCUUGGAAAUGAGCUAAACUCAUAUUAUCUGGAAUUUAUCUGGAAUUGAUAUUUUAUCAAGCCUAGAAUAAUUUGGAUAUGAACAUAAACUUCACUCAUACUCAAACAUUAAAUUAUCCACCUACUUUUAAACCUUCUAAAAUAUAUAUAUAUACAUGGGCUCAAAAUUAUUUUUUCAAAAUAUGAUGUGCAGCAAGUCUAUGUGUUUAUAUAUAGUCUGUGCUCCUCGUCUGAUGGAAACUGUAUGUUAUUGGGGACUUUUCCCUUCUAUGCCUUGUUGGCUUAUAAUCUUAAUACUAAUAAGAAUUUCUAAUUAUGCUCAGGAUCAAUCUGGAAUUUUAUGUAUAAUUCAUUUUUAAUUCUGUUGAGGUACUAAUUUGUAAUUUUUUUAAAGUUCAGGGACUAAAUUAUAUUUAAGGACGCUAAAGGAAACUGACUUCUUUAAUUUUUCUCACUGCUGGGAGAAGCACCAAGGAAGCUUUAUGCAGGAGGGUGAAACAUCCUUAGCUGAAUGCUGACCGACCACAUUUUAAACAUAAGACCAUAGGUCAUUAAUUUGGUGUUUUAUAUGUAGAAAUUAAUUUUUAAAGUAUUUUUUAUUUAAAAAUAUAUCAAAUAAUAUAUAUUUUAUUUUUAAAUUUUUUAACACCAAUACUUUAAAACAAUUUUAAAAUAUCAAAAAAAUUAAUUUAAAAUAAAAAAUAUUUUAAAUUUUUUAAAAACACGAUUGUACUGAAAUAUAAAAUAGACUAAUAAAUAAGAGUGAGCGUUGAAAAUACAGCAAAAUUAAUUUGUGGAAAUCAUUGAUAUAAUGAUAAAUUGAGUGAGAAUAAUACCUCUUUCAGGAUUUUAAAAUAAAAUAAAAAAGCAAAAAUAAAAAACUGCAAUAUGUAUUCCCAUCACUAUUCACAGAAAGUAAGGCUCCAUGACCCGAAAGUCUUCAUUGCCGAGACUAUAUGUACAGGAACGACAGUAUUUGAUUUCCUAAUUACUGUUUACGGGUUGCUGAUUUUUCUUAAAUUAAUUCAUUCUUGUAGUGUUAAAAAUAAUUAAAUAGUUAUUUGACAAAUCUUGAUCAUGUUUAAUCUAGUAAUAUAUAUAUAUAUAUAUUUUUUUUUAAAUACUUCUCUUUCUUAUCAGUCUUUCAAUUUAUAUACUUUAAUUUAGUAAUAUUGUUUUUUAAAAUACUACUCUUUCUAUCAAUCUUUCAAUUUAUAUACUUUUGAUUUUUUCUAUUUUAAAUAAAAAAAAUAGAUAAAAUUAUAGUAUGAAAUAUAUAAAAAUUAUAAGUUAUAAAUCCAAUUAAAAAUAUAGAGAUUAAAUGUUUUGGUUUAUGAAACCAUUAGGACUAAGUUAUCAUUAACCCAAAAUAAAAAGAAAUGUAUGCAGAUGUCAAUUGCAACUCGCAUGUCGGAGAUAAUAUUUACGACUUUUCUAACAUAGAAAGACUUUUAUGCCAUCAAUUUCAUGCAAAAAAAAAAAAACAUCAAUUUGCACAAUCACAAAUAACUAGUUUUUCAACAUCAAAACACAAUUCACAUAAACAACAUGUAACAUAUUCAAUCGUAAAUAAAAAUUUGACUGACGAUUAACACAACAUAAAAUUUUAUAAAAAAUUAAACUAACAAUAUCUAUUCAAAAUUUUCAUAGCAUAUAAUAACAUGUAACUAUAUCUAAUUCUAUCUAGCUCAUAGAAGGGUAUGGAGCACUCGUGUACAGAUUUGGAGCAUCAGCUUAACUCUUCUAACUUGAGGACAUGUUUGUCAUUUGUGUAGGUGUGACAUCUUCCAACUUGAGACAUGUUUGUCAUCAUCCUCAUAUUCCCCCAUUAACUACAACUCUAUCAAUAUGAUGCUCAUCUUCAUCAUACUUGGUUCAGAUCUUCCAUAGCAAUAUGGAGGAGAUGUCAUGCCCAAUAGAGGUUCCAUAUUAAUGAUUUCUACAUCCAACCUUGUCUAUUAACAUUACCACAUAACCUAAUGGACUGGCUGUUUGUGAUGAUCGUGUUGUUCUCUGAGAGUUACUUGAAAAUCAUGUCAACUCCAUACUAGAAGAGCUUCAUCAUCUAUGUUUACUAUUCAAGUAGAGCUCUAACAUAUUAAUCCCAUUGAUCCUCGCAAAACCAAACAUUGAUUUCACACUUUUAUCACUAUAGAUUGGUAUACCGACAUAACGAGCUUGACUAACCCUGAUUUGCAACGUCCUCCAAGUAAUUUCAACUUCUAUUUUAAACAUGUUUCAGCCAAGUCGAUCACAUAACAUUCUUGAUAAUUCAUAAGGGACAUGUUUGAUGUAGUAAUUAGGAAUUCAUGACUUCCUUUAUUAUAAGUGAUACAAUUGUCAGUAUUGAUAGUGAUACUACCAUAAAAGUAUAAUAUUUCUAAAUUAUAAAUAUUCUUUCAAAUAACACAACAAAAUAUAAUUAUAAUUUAUUAAUAUUUAAGGUUAAUCAAAGUUCAUCAAUUAUCAACUAAAAAUAUAACAAAAAAAAAGAAAGAGAUGAGUGAUGUAGAGAGAGAUGCUGUGGUGAGGGGAAGAGGGGUGGUUUUGAGAACUUAAAAUUCAAAAUGAGUCGUGGUUAGUUUUUUAAUUAUUUUUUUAGCCGUGUUACUUUACCCUUUAUUUUAAUGUGUAAAAAAACUCCAAUAAUUGAACUUUAGUUUUCGUAUAAUGACCGGCUGUAAUUUGGUCAAAAAGAAUUAAAGAAAAACAGCCUUUUCCUCGACGUUUGAAUUGGAGCAGCGAAAGACCGUGUUCAUGAGCUCAUAAUUGAGUUGAAGAGGAGAAAUUUGGGGAGAAGGAUCGAUGAUUAAAUUGUUGGAUUAAAGUGCAAGGGAAACAUAAUGGAAAUGAGAAAUAUUUGAGUGAGGGAUAAUGAAUAAAAAAUAAAGUGGUUCGUAGACUUAGCUUUCUUGACUCAAAACUCAGCAAGACACAAUUAUAUGCAUGAAAAAUAAUGCAGCACUAAUGACUUUGCCUAUAUAUAUAUAUAUAUUUUUUUUUCAUGAUCCAAAAGUUUUCAUUGACUGGGAAUGGGAAACACCACUGUAUUGAUUUACAUUAUAGUUAAUUGGUGUUUCUUUCAUGAAGAAAAUUAAUUAAUCAUAUUAAAAUUUAUAUUAUUAAUCAUUUGACAAGUGUUGAUCAGUACAAUAAUCGAGAAAUUAAGUCAUAAAUACAGUUAAAAUUAUAGAGAUUUAAUGUAUAGUUUGCAAAAACUACGUACGUACCGGGUUAACUUAUAAAGAACUCAAAUAAAAAAGAAAUUUAUGCAAAGGCGCUGGUCCCCUAGCUAGGUUUCAAGGAUGAAGAAGUGCUUCUUAGGACCCGUUGAUAGAAAACUGUAUAAAAGUGAUUGCAAUUACAGAGAAACAAGAUAUUAAGAUUUUAGACGAAAGAGUGAUUAAAAGAGAAGGAGGAGGGGUGAGAAAUGGUGGAUUGGUAUUUUAGAAGAAUUAAAUGCAUUAAUCGAGAUUAAGUCACGUCUUUGGAUGAUUGAGGAUAAACCCGUAUUGGUCUGGUGUAUUUAGAGAAAUUGACAUGGAUGAAUCUAAUCAAAUUCGAAUUUGAAGAUAAUGGAAGUAUAAUUUAUAAAAGGGUCUAAAACACUAAUCAUAUUUUAUUACUAAUAAUUUACUCUACAUUGUUUAAAAGGAUUACAAUUCUUUUUAAACAAUGUAUUCAUGUAGUAGAAUACAUUACAUGUUUUAAGAUUAUGACUCUUAAUCUUAAUAUUGUAUUUAAGUAGCCUAAAUGUAUAUAUGUAGUUAGUUAUUACUUUUUAGUGAUGAAUUUUUUUUAUUUUUUAGAUUGUUUUAGCAAUACUUUUAUGUUGACUUAUUAAUUUAUAUUAUGAGCCUUGAAUAUAUUGGUAAGUAUAAAUAUUGAGAUAUUGUUUGAUGAAUGACAUGUGAUCCAGGAUGAUUGGAUCAAAAUGAAAGUGGAAUGAUAUAUAAGAAGUGCUGUCGAUAACUUGGUACAAACAAAAAUAGAAAAAACUCUGUAAAUUUUUUUUAUACAAAAAUCUCUAAUUUUAGACAUAUUAUUCAAUACUUGACAUUAAUAAAGAAAUGUUUGAAAUUUCAUGAUAUUAUAAUUUGAGGAUGUUACAUCAUGACUUUCUCUAUUAUAAGUGAUACAAUUAUUAGUAUUGACAAUGAUUCACUAUGAAAAUAUAAUAUUCUUAAAUUAUAGAUAUUUUAUCAAACAAUACAAUAAAAUAAAAUUCUAAUUUAUUAAUAUCUUGAGGUUAAUUAAAGUGUGUUGUAACCCAUUUUUGGGUCCCCGCAAAAAAAAAAAAAAAAAAAAAAUAGCCAAAGAAGGUUAGAAAAAUAACAGGAGGCCGAAGCGCUCGGAAAAUGGUCAGAAAAUUGGUCAAGGAGCAUAAAGAUACAAAGAUUGGAUUUUUGACAAUAUAUUCUUGAAGGAUGAGAACCCUAUUGAGAAGGAAAUUUUGAAUUUUGAGGAGAGAAGCCCAAAUUUAGAUGUUUAUGGGUUUAAUUGCUUUUUUUAUUGGAUUUAUAGGGGAUUUGAUUGCAAGAAAAAUUGAUUUUUUAAGUCAAUUUGGGCUUCAAAUUGAAGAAAUUUAAGUUCUGGGGCCAAAUUAUAAUUUUUAGGAUUUUAUUAAGUCAAAUCAGGGGCUUAAUUGCAUAAAUAUUGAAGUUUAAUGGCCAAUUAGGGGUUCAAUUGUGAAAAUCCGAAACCAGGGACCAAUUUGGAAAAGACGCAAAGAUAGGGGGUGUAACGCCCGGCGAUUUUGUAAGCAUUUAAAAUUAAUUUCCUACAAUUUGGUAUGUAAAAAUAAGAGUUUUUUUUUUUUUUUUUUUUUACACUGUAACGGAAUUUCUACCGAAAUUUUGGCAGAGCCUCCCCUAUACCGGGAGGUCCCAAGUUAUCAACAACUCAUCCUAUACAUAUCUCAUGUUCAUUCCAUCAUCAACGCAUAUCCAUAUCGCAUUGCGACCACAAUUAUUAUUAAUCAUAAUAUUUUGCAAAUCUAGGGAUUCAUUUCGAACAUAUAAUUUACAACACAAAAUAAUAGUAAUUAACUUGAUUAAAAACAUUAAUAUUACAAGCAUAAAUUCUAAAGGUCUCUAUGAUUAAGAUAAAGGAACACUAACAUUGUUCCUGUCAUAUAAUUAUCUAAAGAAAAUACAACAACGUCCAUUUCAUCCCAGAGUCACACAAAAGAAAUAAGGAUGCUAACCCUAAGCCAUACAAAAGGAUUGGACAUGCUAAUUCCUUAAUUCAUACAAAAGAACUAGACACCUAGGACACUACUCCUGACAGGAAUGACAAAGACCUGCAACAUCAAAAUAAAGGAAUAAUUAUAUUAAAUAAAUGAAAUACAACCAGAUAAUGGAGGGUCACCACUACAUGUAACUACGCAUAUGUGUACUAACUCGAUAGGGCAUAAUCAUAAUUGAUCCGCAAAAGAAGAUCCUUUACUACAUCUAACGCCUAUCCUUCCACAACCUACUUAUGGUUUCCUUUUCGAUUAUCAUACAUUAAUUUUUGUCUGAUUUACCCUUUUUCUUAUCCGCCCCAAAUUCUGAGGCAAUCGCUGCCGACACUAAUAACUCCUACUAGUGUCAUUAGUCACCCUUACCCGGAUAGACUAAUCAAUUCCUUAGCAAUGCCGGCACCAACUUAAUCGAUCGAUGCCAUUGAGCUAUUUCCAACCCAAAAUAGUCAAUCAAUUGCUCUCCAUCACUUGGAGAUGUUUCCGGAAAUGCCGAUGCCAAGUUCUCUUGACAUCAUUAACUUCCUCCUCAGGAAGUUAAUCAAGUUAUAAUGGGUUUGCCGAUACAGACAUUAUUUGUUUAGUAUCAUUAACUACUCGUGAUACGAAUAGUUAAUCAAGCUCAAUAUUCAUUAUAUUUCCAUCAAGGUCAUGCCGAUGUUAACAAUAUUGUUAACAUCAUUAGCCGCCCCUAUUCUAGGUCGGCUAAUCAAGUCCAUAGGCGGCCGUUUUUCUUUUUCACAUAUACAUAAUAUAGACCCAUAUCCGAACUCCGCAUCUCGGAGUCUACGACCAAAAUUCAGAUUUCAAAUCCAUGUUUGUUUCACCGUAUCUUUCCUUUUUUUUUUUAGUCAUAUUCACCGGGUGGGCAUAUUCAUAUAAUAAUAUUAUUUCUCGUGCUUGCAGGCAACAUUCACAUAGAAUUAGUAUUUGUUUCCUUGUCCGUAGGCAACAUUCACAUUGUAAUAACAUUUCUUGCUCAUUGGCAAUGUUCACACAAUAAUAAUAUUUCUCCUGCUUGUUGGUAACUUUCACGCAACAAUAUUUGUACUGCCCGUAGGCAGUGUUCACAUAGCAAUAUUUCUCAUGAUACACAUUAGUACAAAAUACACAUAAUGUCUAUCAUAUAACUAGCAUUACAAGAAUUUAAACAAUUUAAAGAAGCAAGGGGGCAACCCUUACCUUGAACUCCUGUUGUACUUGCACGUGAGAAAUCCGGUCCCACUCUGUAUGCUUCUCCUACAUUCCAGUAGAACAUCCUGAAUUAGUACUCAGACCCCUUUUCUGAUUCAUUCAUCACAUGUAUUAUUUCACAUGCCCAAUUAGUUUCGAAAACAAGUUCAUGAAUAAGCUAUUUUUAGUCAUCACUUUAAUUCAUUAAAUCAACAUCCAUUCUCACUAAUAUUAAAUGUCCAACCAACUCUUUCUUCUACCUUGGCCGAAUAUAGACCUUAUUUCUACAAUAAAUCCUUUUGUGUUUAUAUUCAAGAUAACAUUAUCAAUUCUCAUCUAUAUUGGCAUGAUAUAAUAUAUUCCACAUAUUUCAAGUCAAAUAGUAUUACCACACAUAUUACAUGUCCAUCAAAAUGAUCAAGAUUAUUAUUAUUAUUAUUAUUUUGCUAGAACUAUUCAUUAAGCACAACAACUAGAUGAAAGAACUUUCUUCCUUGAUAUGGCUACUUGCUAACAAUUCUUGGUCAAAACUUCCUAAACACUCAUGUUAAAUUUUCUUUUACUCAAUACCAAGCAUUGCUGAGCAUGUCAAAUGCCUUAAACCAUAACCCUUCCCAUGUUGUUUUCUUUUUGCCGAACAUGCUUAAAUGAAUUAUAAUGAAUUUUCUUCAAUUCCUUUCAUUAUCCACUCUAAGCAACAUUACCUCACCUAAACAUUUUCAUAUGGAUAUGAUCAUUAAUAAUUGUCUAUCUAGAGAUGUUCACAUUACAUAUAUAAUUUUAUUUGUGCCUCUUGCACAUUUUCUUCUUUCAAACUAAUACAUAUACCCACAAGUAUAUUCUUAUGGUUUCUUACUCCUUUCAUUGAACAAUGUAUAUUAAGAUGAUAUCAAUACUUCCUUUAAAAUAUUGUCACUAAAUGUUUAUUUCUAUUCUUCAUACAAGGUUAUUCAAAGUAAUCAUUUCUAUUUUUCAAGCAACAUUCACCAAACCAGAAUUUCUGCCUUGAAUUUCUUCUCUUGGCCGAAACUUGUGCUCCAUGUCCUCAUUAGUUCAUUCAUUUAAAUCACAUCAUUUUCUUCAUUUACAAUGUAUGUUAUCAUACAUAAAACAUAUACCAAUCUCUCAAACAAGAAAUUAUAAGGGAUUCAACAUUUAUUCAUACAAUUUCAAAGAACAUCCACACUUUUAACCUCUGUUCCAGCCCUGUUUUCCUUAAAUAUUUGUUCAAGAUCAUGAAUCAUUGAUAUAUAUCUUCAAUUUUCUCCUCCCCCCUUCAAGUCCCCUUAUGGCCGGCCCUAAUCUAGGGUUUUCUCCUUAGUUUACAUGAAGUUUUUCUUACUAUACAUUCUUUGAAAUUUGUUCUUUCCUUUAUAAAAUUUAUUGUUCACAAUAUUAGUUUUCAAAACAUUAAUAUGCACAAAAAUCCUAAGUUUUCAUUUGGGUUGUUCACCCUUUUCAACAAAGCUCACUCAAGACAACAAUGGAGAUUGAAGGGUUUUUCUUACCAUAUGAAUUAAGCAAGGAUUAAGGAUGAUUUUUUUUUUUGACAACUCUAUACGUGUUCUUCUUGUUCUCUUCCUUGGUUGAUUCUUCUCCCCCUCUUUCUGCCUUUAGCCGUGAAUCUCUCUCUCUCUCUUUCUACAUCUCUAUUUUGUGGUCUUUCUCCUCACUUUCACUCUUCAUUCACUCUAGCACCGUAUGGAUGAAAUGCAAGAGAACACUUUGCUGGAUAUUUUGUAAGAGAGGGGGCUGCUAGGGGCUGUCUUGGCCGGCAAUAAUGGGAGAGGUAAAGUGACAAUCUUUUCUCCCAACUACUUGUACUCCCUCAUAAAUGAAAUUAGGCCUUGUUUGGUUUGGUUGUUUUUUUUUUCCAAGGCCGGUUAUUACAUUUAUUUUAGGUUGAUAACCGGGUCAAAUCUUCCCUUACAUGCUCUUCUCCAAAACUCACUCAUUUCACUUUUAUUAUUAUUUUACUCUUUCUUAUAUAUAUUAUUCACACUUAUUGACUGUUACAAAGUUGUUGUUGGGUGAAACUUUUAAAUGGGUUUCAUGUCAGGUUUUAUAAAAGAAAACUUCAUCUCUUAAAACUCGUCUUCAUUUUUGCUAAUAUUAUAAAUUUUAAUCCAAAAUUUAUAACGUUCAUUAUGACUUCCACCAUACUUUUAAAUUUAUCUAUAGAGCUUAUUCUCUCUCUUACCCGUUGUAUUUAUUAUUAUUUCUAUUAUUUAUUCAUUUCUUUUAAUAUUAAGUCUUCAUUACUCAUUGGGGUCAUUCUUUUUUCUUUUUUUUUCUUUUUUUUUUUUUCUGCGAUCCUAUGUUCAUGCGAGGGUUUACAUUCUUCCCUCCUUGUAAAAUUUCGUCCUCGAAAUUUUGUCUCUUGUUUAAACUUAACUCCAAAUUUAACUCAUUAUAUACUUAUCUCAUCCUCACUAUUUCCUUUCAACCAUGUUUCUUCUGUGUGCGUAGAUUUGGGCACCUAUAAGCAUCUACUUGCUCUGAUCUUGGUGUACGGGGUUUUUUUUUUUUUUUUUUUUUUUUCAACCAUUAUGAUCUCACCAUUACACCGUAAAGAACUUAAUUAAACUGUACUAUUAUGUGUUGUUUAUAGCAGUAAUCCUUAUGUAGAAUCCCACCAUUAAAGCUAUUAUCUUCUUCAUACGAUUAUAUUAGUAGGAUUCAACCACCAUUCUUACACUAACAAGACAUCAUUAUAGCCUUUAAUCGCACAUCAUCAUGCUAUUUAGCAUAAUCUCUGUUUGUCCGUAGCUUAUUUAUCAGACAAUUGCCUCAAAAUAAUGAUUUUUUCUUCCUCACCCCACACACACUCUCUUAAACAUCAAAAGGGGAAGGUCAUGUAAGGGAGUUCUGAUGGAGAAAACACAAGAAGAGGGGUGCUCUUGGGAGCUGUCUGGUUGGCCCUGUUUGGGAGAGGAAGAGUCAAUUUCUUUUGACUCGUGGUAUUUAUAUCUCCCCUUAAAUAAACCGAGGCCUUGUUUCAUCUUGAUGCACGUCGCUCCAGUUAUUAAACCCUUCUCAUACUUGUAAUAUUACUAUAUACGAUCAUCGUUGGCUUAGUUUUAUGUAGUAUAACGAAUCUUAUCCCUUUUUUUUUUUUUUUUUUAUGUUUUAAAUACUCUUAUCCGACACUCGCUGGUUACAUCCCGUGUCAUAAAUUUUCAUUUUCUUUUCUCUAGUCUAUUUUAAACAAAUUCAACAGCAGGUUUCCUCGUAAUUUCAACAUAUUGGUCCCUUCUAUAACUUAUUUUCCCACCAAUUGUGUUUUCCCACGGAACAAUUAAACACCUACUAACAUCAUUCCAUCCUAAUCAAUAUGGCUUAAACCUUUUUCUAUACCUCUACAGUCGAAACCCAAAUCAAGAACCAUGGGUUUCUCCUCUUCUUUCCUUAUCCUUUCCAAACCCAAUACAUGUUCAUUGCACUAUAUAGUGGUAUAGUAAUUUUAUUUAUUCAUUGAUCAUGCAUCACUCAUUCUAUAAAUUCCCUUCGAAGAUGAUACUUCAUUGGAAUUUAUGUUUUGACACUCAUUACAACAUGUAAUUCUAUGUUCCUUCUAGUUCGCAUCAUCCAAUGACAUGUAUUAUAUACGUGUUGUUAGAUUAACUAAGAAAAUAAUCAUGAUCGUGGUUGUUGUUGUUGUUUUUUUUUUUUUUUUUUCCAGAAUGUAAGUAUGUAUUAAGAUCAAAAGUAACCAUACCAGAUAAUUAGAAAGUUCAAGUUCAUAUACAUAUACGAAAUAUAAUGAAAACUAAAAGGGAACAAACUCCCAAUUAGAACAGAACCGAAUACAGCCAGGUCAUACAUGCAUUUGCCAACUAUCCGGGAAGCAGUGAAUGAGAAGCAAAUAUAUGGUAUUCAAUAAAAACAAAGAGGGAACAUGCUCCCAGCAAAAGGCUAGACACGCAAGGCCAAACAUCCCAUGGUGAGCAGCAAAAGGUUAAGGAAGAAACCAAACAAGGAUUGCAGGUGUUAAAAUUAACCCAAUCAGCAUCAGUAGACAAAAGUGAGGCAUUAUCCACAGCAGCAGCAACAACAAUAGAAGCUAGAGCAUGGAGCAAGUAAUGAACAACGCUGAGCACAAGGAAGCCCGACUACAAAAGAAGCAGCUAGAACACACGCAGAAAUGGAUGAAGCGGCCAUAUAAAUCAAUCCAGCAGCAGAGUUCUCAAAGCCGAAUGAUGAGAAGGCAGCAGCAAUCAUCACCUGCAACAGUUACCCCAACAGACCAGCAGAACGGCUGGAAGAUGAAGGGAUACCUAUGAAUGCUCCAGAUGGAGCGCCACUAGAACAAAACAGAGACAGCAGAAAUAUUUGCAAAAGGCAGCAAUAAUAGCAUGAUGCAGGCCCAGUGACCUGCACCAGCAGCAGAAAAAAUGGCACCAGUAGGAGACAGCAGCAUCCAGGCUAUAAAAGCCAAAGCUGACCAGGACAUCAGCAUCCCUACCAAAACAGAAAUGCUCCAGAGACCACGCAACAUGUGGCAACAACAGACACACAGGACUAUUAGCUGUCCAGCAUAUGAGCAGGCUCUCAUAUGCCAAUGGCGAAGGAAGAGUCAACCAGAACUACAUCAUUGAAAUAAAAGCAAGCCAUGCAGCUGCAGCAGAGGCCAGAGCAUAACCACAACAGCCCGACAAGAGUCAGUAGUAAGACUCUGCAUCAGCCAACAUUGAUAAGAAAUGAUUCUGUUCAUGAAAGUGUAAGACCAUAUAGAAUAAAACUUGAAAUUUGCGAAAGACAUCAGCAUCUGAAUGGCAAGUGCAUUCAACCACCAUUCUUUCUUUCUUUCUUUCUUUUUUUCCUGGUUCUGAGGUUGAUACUUCAAAAGGUAAGUUCAUCGUUUAUUCCAGUCAUAUGUUAACCUUUGCCCCAUAUCAAUAAUACCCGUAUGAAACUUUUACCAUCCAUUAUGUCCUGUACCUAUUUUAGAAUUCAUUAUAUUCCUAGUUACAACCCUUUUUAUACUACUCUUUGAGCAAGACUUGGCACAAUUAUUGCUUUAAGUAUGAAAUACCAGAAACAGGUCCACUUCCCAUGCACAUUUUGAGACACACCUUGAUUCAACUUAUUAGUCACAAUAACAUUUAUUUGUGCCUAGACAAUUAAGUAUUCACUGUAAUCUUCAUACAUUUUCAUUUCUCCCCAAUCCCUUUCAUUAGGACAUCUAACAUCGUAUUGUAUCACUAUUUCAUUGAUAUUCUGGUUUUGUUCCAUUUCAGGAAUUCCAACUAUCAUCUGUCACAUUAUCAAGCAAGUUUCCAACAUUUAACAUUUUUUACUGAUACCACCGUCACACAUUGAUAAUUCAUUUCUUUAUUUACCAGCUUCACGACAAUCAAGCAUCACUUUUUUUUUUUUUUUUUGCUAGUAUUAUAAGCAUAUAUAUAACCCAAAGAUCAUUCGUGCUAUCACGAGAUAUAUAGUUAGUCACACCCUUCAUGAUAUUUAGUCUACUGAAUCAUAACCACGCUCUGAUACCAAUUGUAACGCCCGGCGAUUUUGUAAGCAUUUAAAAUUAAUUUCCUACAAUUUGGUAUGUAAAAAUAAGAGUUUUUUUUUUUUUUUUUUUUUACACUGUAACGGAAUUUCUACCGAAAUUUUGGCAGAGCCUCCCCUAUACCGGGGUCCCAAGUUAUCAACAACUCAUCCUAUACAUAUCUCAUGUUCAUUCCAUCAUCAACGCAUAUCCAUAUCGCAUUGCGACCACAAUUAUUAUUAAUCAUAAUAUUUUGCAAAUCUAGGAUUCAUUUCGAACAUAUAAUUUACAACACAAAAUAAUAGUAAUAACUUGAUUAAAAACAUUAAUAUUACAAGCAUAAAUUCUAAAGGUCUCUAUGAUUAAGAUAAAGGAACACUAACAUUGUUCCUGUCAUAUAAUUAUCUAAAGAAAAUACAACAACGUCCAUUUCAUCCCAGAGUCACACAAAAGAAAUAAGGAUGCUAACCCUAAGCCAUACAAAAGGAUUGGACAUGCUAAUUCCUUAAUUCAUACAAAAGAACUAGACACCUAGGACACUACUCCUGACAGGAAUGACAAAGACCUGCAACAUCAAAAUAAAGAAUAAUUAUAUUAAAUAAAUGAAAUACAACCAGAUAAUGGAGGGUCACCACUACAUGUAACUACGCAUAUGUGUACUAACUCGAUAGGGCAUAAUCAUAAUUGAUCCGCAAAAGAAGAUCCUUUACUACAUCUAACGCCUAUCCUUCCACAACCUACUUAUGGUUUCCUUUUCGAUUAUCAUACAUUAAUUUUUGUCUGAUUUACCCUUUUUCUUAUCCGCCCCAAAUUCUGAGGCAAUCGCUGCCGACACUAAUAACUCCUACUAGUGUCAUUAGUCACCCUUACCCGGAUAGACUAAUCAAUUCCUUAGCAAUGCCGGCACCAACUUAAUCGAUCGAUGCCAUUGAGCUAUUUCCAACCCAAAUAGUCAAUCAAUUGCUCUCCAUCACUUGGAGAUGUUUCCGGAAAUGCCGAUGCCAAGUUCUCUUGACAUCAUUAACUUCCUCCUCAGGAAGUUAAUCAAGUUAUAAUGGGUUUGCCGAUACAGACAUUAUUUGUUAGUAUCAUUAACUACUCGUGAUACGAAUAGUUAAUCAAGCUCAAUAUUCAUUAUAUUUCCAUCAAGGUCAUGCCGAUGUUAACAAUAUUUGUUAACAUCAUUAGCCGCCCCUAUUCUAGGUCGGCUAAUCAAGUCCAUAGGCGGCCGUUUUUCUUUUUCACAUAUACAUAAUAUAGACCCAUAUCCGAACUCCGCAUCUCGGAGUCUACGACCAAAAUUCAGAUUUCAAAUCCAUGUUUGUUUCACCGUAUCUUUCCUUUUUUUUAGUCAUAUUCACCGGGUGGGCAUAUUCAUAUAAUAAUAAUAUUAUUUCUCGUGCUUGUAGGCAACAUUCACAUAGAAUUAGUAUUUGUUUCCUUGUCCGUAGGCAACAUUCACAUUGUAAUAACAUUUCUUGCUCAUUGGCAAUGUUCACACAAUAAUAAUAUUUCUCCUACUUGUUGGUAACUUUCACGCAACAAUAUUUGUACUGCCCGUAGGCAGUGUUCACAUAGCAAUAUUUCUCAUGAUACACAUUAGUACAAAAUACACAUAAUGUCUAUCAUAUAACUAGCAUUACAAGAAUUUAAACAAUUUAAAGAAGCAAGGGGGCAACCCUUACCUUGAACUCCUGUUGUACUUGCACGUGAGAAAUCCGGUCCCACUCUGUAUGCUUCUCCUACAUUCCAGUAGAACAUCCUGAAUUAGUACUCAGACCCCUUUUCUGAUUCAUUCAUCAUAUGUAUUAUUUCACAUGCCCAAUUAGUUUCGAAAACAAGUUCAUGAAUAAGCUAUUUUUAGUCAUCACUUUAAUUCAUUAAAUCAACAUCCAUUCUCACUAAUAUUAAAUGUCCAACCAACUCUUUCUUCUACCUUGGCCGAAUAUAGACCUUAUUUCUACAAUAAAUCCUUUUGUGUUUAUAUUCAAGAUAACAUUAUCAAUUCUCAUCUAUAUUGGCAUGAUAUAAUAUAUUCCACAUAUUUCAAGUCAAAUAGUAUUACCACACAUAUUACAUGUCCAUCAAAAUGAUCAAGAUUAUUAUUAUUAUUAUUAUUUUGCUAGAACUAUUCAUUAAGCACAACAACUAGAUGAAAGAACUUUCUUCCUUGAUAUGGCUACUUGCUAACAAUUCUUGGUCAAAACUUCCUAAACACUCAUGUUAAAUUUUCUUUUACUCAAUACCAAGCAUUGCUGAGCAUGUCAAAUGCCUUAAACCAUAACCCUUCCCAUGUUGUUUUCUUUUUGCCGAACAUGCUUAAAUGAAUUAUAAUGAAUUUUCUUCAAUUCCUUUCAUUAUCCACUCUAAGCAACAUUACCUCACCUAAACAUUUUCAUAUGGAUAUGAUCAUUAAUAAUUGUCUAUCUAGAGAUGUUCACAUUACAUAUAUAAUUUUAUUUGUGCCUCUUGCACAUUUUUCUUUCAAACUAAUACAUAUACCCACAAGUAUAUUCUUAUGGUUUCUUACUCCUUUCAUUGAACAAUGUAUAUUAAGAUGAUAUCAAUACUUCCUUUAAAAUAUUGUCACUAAAUGUUUAUUUCUAUUCUUCAUACAAGGUUAUUCAAAGCAAUCAUUUCUAUUUUUCAAGCAACAUUCACCAAACCAGAAUUUCUGCCUUGAAUUUCUUCUCUUGGCCGAAACUUGUGCUCCAUGUCCUCAUUAGUUCAUUCAUUUAAAUCACAUCAUUUUCUUCAUUUACAAUGUAUGUUAUCAUACAUAAAACAUAUACCAAUCUCUCAAACAAGAAAUUAUAAGGGAUUCAACAUUUAUUCAUACAAUUUCAAAGAACAUCAACACUUUUAACUUCUGUUCCAGCCCUGUUUUCCUUAAAUAUUUGUUCAAGAUCAUAAAUUAUUGAAAUAUAUCUUUAAUUUUCUCCUCCCCCCUUCAAGUCCCCUUAUGGCCGGCCCUAAUCUAGGGUUUUCUCCUUAGUUUACAUGAAGUUUUUCUUACCAUACAUUCUUUGAAAUUUGUUCUUUCCUUUAUAAAAUUUAUUGUUCACAAUAUUAGUUUUCAAAACAUUAAUAUGCACAAAAAUCCUAAGUUUUCAUUUGGGUUGUUCACCCUUUUCAACAAAGCUCACUCAAGACAACAAUGGAGAUUGAAGGGUUUUUCUUACCAUAUGAAUUAAGCAAGGAUUAAGGAUGAUUUUUUUUGACAACUCUAUACGUGUUCUUCUUGUUCUCUUCCUUGGUUGAUUCUUCUCCCCCUCUUUCUGCCUUUAGCCGUGAAUCUCUCUCUCUCUCUUUCUACAUCUCUAUUUUGUGGUCUUUCUCCUCACUUUCACUCUUCAUUCACUCUAGCACCGUAUGGAUGAAAUGCAAGAGAACACUUUGCUGGAUAUUUUGUAAGAGAGGGGGCUGCUAGGGGCUGUCUUGGCCGGCAAUAAUGGGAGAGGUAAAGUGACAAUCUUUUCUCCCAACUACUUGUACUCCCUCAUAAAUGAAAUUAGGCCUUGUUUGGUUUGGUUGUUUUUUUUUUUUUCAAAGCCGGUUAUUACAUUUAUUUUGGGUUGAUAACCGGGUCAAAUCUUCCCUUACAUGCUCUUCUCCAAAACUCACUCAUUUCACUUUUAUUAUUAUUUUACUCUUUCUUAUAUAUAUUAUUCACACUUAUUGACUGUUACAAAGUUGUUGUUGGGUGAAACUUUUAAAUGGGUUUCAUGUCAGGUUUUAUAAAAGAAAACUUCAUCUCUUAAAACUCGUCUUCAUUUUUGCUAAUAUUAUAAAUUUUAAUCCAAAAUUUAUAACGUUCAUUAUGACUUCCACCAUACUUUUAAAUUUAUCUAUAGAGCUUAUUCUCUCUCUUACCCGUUGUAUUUAUUAUUAUUUCUAUUAUUUAUUCAUUUCUUUUAAUAUUAAGUCUUCAUUACUCAUUGGGGUCAUUCUUUUUUUUUUUCUUUUUUUUUCUUUUUUUUUUUUCUGCGAUCCUAUGUUCAUGCGAGGGUUUACAUUCUUCCCUCCUUGUAAAAUUUCGUCCUCGAAAUUUUGUCUCUUGUUUAAACUUAACUCCAAAUUUAACUCAUUAUAUACUUAUCUCAUCCUCACUAUUUCCUUUCAACCAUGUUUCUUCUGUGUGCGUAGAUUUGGGCACCUAUAAGCAUCUACUUGCUCUGAUCUUGGUGUACGGGGUUUUUUUUUUUUUUUUUUUUUUUUUCAACCAUUAUGAUCUCACCAUUACACCGUAAAGAACUUAAUUAAACUGUACUAUUAUGUGUUGUUUAUAGCAGUAAUCCUUAUGUAGAAUCCCCCAUUAAAGCUAUUAUCUUCUUCAUACGAUUAUAUUAGUAGGAUUCAACCACCAUUCUUACACUAACAAGACAUCAUUAUAGCCUUUAAUCGCACAUCAUCAUGCUAUUUAGCAUAAUCUCUGUUUGUCCGUAGCUUAUUUAUCAGACAAUUGCCUCAAAAUAAUGAUUUUUUCUUCCUCACCCCACACACACUCUCUUAAACAUCAAAAGGGGAAGGUCAUGUAAGGGAGUUCUGAUGGAGAAAACACAAGAAGAGGGGUGCUCUUGGGAGCUGUCUGGUUGGCCCUGUUUGGGAGAGGAAGAGUCAAUUUCUUUUGACUCGUGGUAUUUAUAUCUCCCCUUAAAUAAACCGAGGCCUUGUUUCAUCUUGAUGCACGUCGCUCCAGUUAUUAAACCCUUCUCAUACUUGUAAUAUUACUAUAUACGAUCAUCGUUGGCUUAGUUUUAUGUAGUAUAACGAAUCUUAUCCCUUUUUUUUUUUUUUUUUUAUGUUUUAAAUACUCUUAUCCGACACUCGCUGGUUACAUCCCGUGUCAUAAAUUUUCAUUUUCUUUUCUCUAGUCUAUUUUAAACAAAUUCAACAGCAGGUUUCCUCGUAAUUUCAACAUAUUGGUCCCUUCUAUAACUUAUUUUCCACCAAUUGUGUUUUCCCACGGAAAUUAAACACCUACUAACAUCAUUCCAUCCUAAUCAAUAUGGCUUAAACCUUUUUCUAUACCUCUACAGUCGAAACCCAAAUCAAGAACCAUGGGUUUCUCCUCUUCUUUCCUUAUCCUUUCCAAACCCAAUACAUGUUCAUUGCACUAUAUAGUGGUAUAGUAAUUUUAUUUAUUCAUUGAUCAUGCAUCACUCAUUCUAUAAAUUCCCUUCGAAGAUGAUACUUCAUUGGAAUUUAUGUUUUGACACUCAUUACAACAUGUAAUUCUAUGUUCCUUCUAGUUCGCAUCAUCCAAUGACAUGUAUUAUAUACGUGUUGUUAGAUUAACUAAGAAAAUAAUCAUGAUCGUGGUUGUUGUUGUUGUUUUUUUUUUUUUUUUUUUUCCAGAAUGUAAGUAUGUAUUAAGAUCAAAAGUAACCAUACCAGAUAAUUAGAAAGUUCAAGUUCAUAUACAUAUACGAAUAUAAUGAAAACUAAAAGGGAACAAACUCCCAAUUAGAACAGAACCGAAUACAGCCAGGUCAUACAUGCAUUUGCCAACUAUCCGGGAAGCAGUGAAUGAGCAAAUAUAUGGUAUUCCAAUAAAAACAAGAGGGAACAUGCUCCCAGCAAAAGGCUAGACACGCAAGGCCAAACAUCCCAUGGUGAGCAGCAAAAGGUUAAGGAAGAAACCAAACAAGGAUUGCAGGUGUUAAAUUAACCCAAUCAGCAUCAGUAGACAAAAGUGAGGCAUUAUCCACAGCAGCAGCAACAACAAUAGAAGCUAGAGCAUGGAGCAAGUAAUGAACAACGCUGAGCACAAGGAAGCCCGACUACAAAGAAGCAGCUAGAACACGCAGAAAUGGAUGAAGCGGCCAUAUAAUCAAUCCAGCAGCAGAGUUUCUCAAAGCCGAAUGAUGAGAAGGCAGCAGCAAUCAUCACCUGCAACAGUUACCCACAACAGACCAGCAAACGGCUGGAAGAUGAAGGGAUACCUAUGAAUGCUCCAGAUGGAGCGCCACUAGAACAAAACAGAGACAGCAGAAAUAUUUGCAAAAGGCAGCAAUAAUAGCAUGAUGCAGGCCCAGUGACCUGCACCAGCAGCAGAAAAAAUGGCACCAGUAGGAGCAGCAGCAUCCAGGCUAUAAAAGCCAAAGCUGACCAGGACAUCAGCAUCCCUACCAAAACAGAAAUGCUCCAGAGACCACGCAACAUGUGGCAACAACAGACACACAGGACUAUUAGCUGUCCAGCAUAUGAGCAGGCUCUCAUAUGCAAUGGCGAAGGAAGAGUCAACCAGAACUACAUCAUUGAAAAAAGCAAGCCAUGCAGCUGCAGCAGAGGCCAGAGCAUAACCACAACAGCCCGACAAGAGUCAGUAGUAAGACUCUGCAUCAGCCAACAUUGAUAAGAAAUGAUUCUGUUCAUGAAAGUGUAAGACCAUAUAGAAUAAAACUUGAAAUUUGCGAAAGACAUCAGCAUCUGAAUGGCAAGUGCAUUCAACCACCAUUCUUUCUUUCUUUCUUUCUUUUUUUCCUGGUUCUGAGGUUGAUACUUCAAAAGGUAAGUUCAUCGUUUAUUCCAGUCAUAUGUUAACCUUUGCCCCAUAUCAAUAAUACCCGUAUGAAACUUUUACCAUCCAUUAUUCCUGUACCUAUUUUAGAAUUCAUUAUUUCCUAGUUACAACCCUUUUAUACUACUCUUUGAGCAAGACUUGGCACAAUUAUUGCUUUAAGUAUGAAAUACCAGAAACAGGUCCACUUCCCAUGCACAUUUUGAGACACACCUUGAUUCAACUUAUUAGUCACAAUAACAUUUAUUUGUGCCUAGACAAUUAAGUAUUCACUGUAAUCUUCAUACAUUUUCAUUUCUCCCCAAUCCCUUUCAUUAGGACAUCUAACAUCGUAUUGUAUCACUAUUUCAUUGAUAUUCUGGUUUUGUUCCAUUUCAGGAAUUCCAACUAUCAUCUGUCACAUUAUCAAGCAAGUUUCCAACAUUUAACAUUUUUUACUGAUACCACCGUCACACAUUGAUAAUUCAUUUCUUUAUUUACCAGCUUCACGACAAUCAAGCAUCACUUUUUUUUUUUUUUUUGCUAGUAUUAUAAGCAUAUAUAUAACCCAAAGAUCAUUCGUGCUAUCACGAGAUAUAUAGUUAGUCACACCCUUCAUGAUAUUUAGUCUACUGAAUCAUAACCACGCUCUGAUACCAAUUGUAACGCCCGGCGAUUUUGUAAGCAUUUAAAAUUAAUUUCCUACAAUUUGGUAUGUAAAAAUAAGAGUUUUUUUUUUUUUUUUUUUUUUUACACUGUAACGGAAUUUCUACCGAAAUUUUGGCAGAGCCUCCCCUAUACCGGGAGGUCCCAAGUUAUCAACAACUCAUCCUAUACAUAUCUCAUGUUCAUUCCAUCAUCAACGCAUAUCCAUAUCGCAUUGCGACCACAAUUAUUAUUAAUCAUAAUAUUUUGCAAAUCUAGGGAUUCAUUUCGAACAUAUAAUUUACAACACAAAAUAAUAGUAAUUAACUUGAUUAAAAACAUUAAUAUUACAAGCAUAAAUUCUAAAGGUCUCUAUGAUUAAGAUAAAGGAACACUAACAUUAUUCCUGUCAUAUAAUUAUCUAAAGAAAAUACAACAACGUCCAUUUCAUCCCAGAGUCACACAAAAGAAAUAAGGAUGCUAACCCUAAGCCAUACAAAAGGAUUGGACAUGCUAAUUCCUUAAUUCAUACAAAAGAACUAGACACCUAGGACACUACUCCUGACAGGAAUGACAAAGACCUGCAACAUCAAAAUAAAGGAAUAAUUAUAUUAAAUAAAUGAAAUACAACCAGAUAAUGGAGGGUCACCACUACAUGUAACUACGCAUAUGUGUACUAACUCGAUAGGGCAUAAUCAUAAUUGAUCCGCAAAAGAAGAUCCUUUACUACAUCUAACGCCUAUCCUUCCACAACCUACUUAUGGUUUCCUUUUCGAUUAUCAUACAUUAAUUUUUGUCUGAUUUACCCUUUUUCUUAUCCGCCCCAAAUUCUGAGGCAAUCGCUGCCGACACUAAUAACUCCUACUAGUGUCAUUAGUCACCCUUACCCGGAUAGACUAAUCAAUUCCUUAGCAAUGCCGGCACCAACUUAAUCGAUCGAUGCCAUUGAGCUAUUUCCAACCCAAAAUAGUCAAUCAAUUGCUCUCCAUCACUUGGAGAUGUUUCCGGAAAUGCCGAUGCCAAGUUCUCUUGACAUCAUUAACUUCCUCCUCAGGAAGUUAAUCAAGUUAUAAUGGGUUUGCCGAUACAGACAUUAUUUGUUAGUAUCAUUAACUACUCGUGAUACGAAUAGUUAAUCAAGCUCAAUAUUCAUUAUAUUUCCAUCAAGGUCAUGCCGAUGUUAACAAUAUUUGUUAACAUCAUUAGCCGCCCCUAUUCUAGGUCGGCUAAUCAAGUCCAUAGGCGGCCGUUUUUCUUUUUCACAUAUACAUAAUAUAGACCCAUAUCCGAACUCCGCAUCUCGGAGUCUACGACCAAAAUUCAGAUUUCAAAUCCAUGUUUGUUUCACCGUAUCUUUCCUUUUUUUUUUUAGUCAUAUUCACCGGGUGGGCAUAUUCAUAUAAUAAUAUUAUUUCUCGUGCUUGCAGGCAACAUUCACAUAGUAGAAUUAGUAUUUGUUUCCUUGUCCGUAGGCAACAUUCACAUUGUAAUAACAUUUCUUGCUCAUUGGCAAUGUUCACACAAUAAUAAUAUUUCUCCUGCUUGUUGGUAACUUUCACGCAACAAUAUUUGUACUGCCCGUAGGCAGUGUUCACAUAGCAAUAUUUCUCAUGAUACACAUUAGUACAAAUACAUAAUGUCUAUCAUAUAACUAGCAUUACAAGAAUUUAAACAAUUUAAAGAAGCAAGGGGGCAACCCUUACCUUGAACUCCUGUUGUACUUGCACGUGAGAAAUCCGGUCCCACUCUGUAUGCUUCUCCUACAUUCCAGUAGAACAUCCUGAAUUAGUACUCAGACCCUUUUCUGAUUCAUUCAUCACAUGUAUAUUUCACAUGCCCAAUUAGUUUUGAAAACAAGUUCAUGAAUAAGCUAUUUUUAGUCAUCACUUUAAUUCAUUAAAUCAACAUCCAUUCUCACUAAUAUUAAAUGUCCAACAACUCUUUCUUCUACCUUGGCCGAAUAUAGACCUUAUUUCUACAAUAAAUCCUUUUGUGUUUAUAUUCAAGAUAACAUUAUCAAUUCUCAUCUAUAUUGGCAUGAUAUAUAUAUUCCACAUAUUUCAAGUCAAAUAGUAUUACCACACAUAUUACAUGUCUAUCAAAAUGAUCAAGAUUAUUAUUAUUAUUAUUAUUUUUUGCUAGAACUAUUCAUUAAGCACAACAACUAGAUGAAAUAACUUUCUUCCUUGAUAUGGCUACUUGCUAACAAUUUUGGUCAAAACUUCCUAAACACUCAUGUUAAAUUUUCUUUUACUCAAUACCAAGCAUUGCUGAGCAUGUCAAAUGCCUUAAACCAUAACCCUUCCCAUGUUGUUUUCUUUUUGCCGAACAUGCUUAAAUGAAUUAUAAUGAAUUUUCUUCAAUUCCUUUCAUUAUCCACUCUAAGCAACAUUACCUCACCUAAACAUUUUCAUAUGGAUAUGAUCAUUAAUAAUUGUCUAUCUAGAGAUGUUCACAUUACAUAUAUAAUUUUAUUUGUGCCUCUUGCACAUUUUCUUCUUUCAAACUAAUACAUAUACCCACAAGUAUAUUCUUAUGGUUUCUUACUCCUUUCAUUGAACAAUGUAUAUUAAGAUGAUAUCAAUACUUCCUUUAAAAUAUUGUCACUAAAUGUUUAUUUCUAUUCUUCAUACAAGGUUAUUCAAAGUAAUCAUUUCUAUUUUUCAAGCAACAUUCACCAAACCAGAAUUUCUGCCUUGAAUUUCUUCUCUUGGCCGAAACUUGUGCUCCAUGUCCUCAUUAGUUCAUUCAUUUAAAUCACAUCAUUUUCUUCAUUUACAAUGUAUGUUAUCAUACAUAAAACAUAUACCAAUCUCUCAAACAAGAAAUUAUAAGGGAUUCAACAUUUAUUCAUACAAUUUCAAAGAACAUCCACACUUUUAACCUCUGUUCCAGCCCUGUUUUCCUAAAUAUUUGUUCAAGAUCAUGAAUCAUUGAUAUAUAUCUUCAAUUUUCUCCUCCCCCCUUCAAUCCCCUUAUGGCCGGCCCUAAUCUAGGGUUUUCUCCUUAGUUUACAUGAAGUUUUUCUUACUAUACAUUCUUUGAAAUUUGUUCUUUCCUUUAUAAAAUUUAUUGUUCACAAUAUUAGUUUUCAAAACAUUAAUAUGCACAAAAUCCUAAGUUUUCAUUUGGGUUGUUCACCCUUUUCAACAAAGCUCACUCAAGACAACAAUGGAGAUUGAAGGGUUUUUCUUACCAUAUGAAUUAAGCAAGGAUUAAGGAUGAUUUUUUUUUUUGACAACUCUAUACGUGUUCUUCUUGUUCUCUUCCUUGGUUGAUUCUUCUCCCCUCUUUCUGCUUUAGCCGUGAAUCUCUCUCUCUCUUUCUACAUCUCUAUUUUGUGGUCUUUCUCCUCACUUUCACUCUUCAUUCACUCUAGCACCGUAUGGAUGAAAUGCAAGAGAACACUUUGCUGGAUAUUUUGUAAGAGAGGGGGCUGCUAGGGCUGUCUUGGCCGGCAAUAAUGGGAGAGGUAAAGUGACAAUCUUUUCUCCCAACUACUUGUACUCCCUCAUAAAUGAAAUUAGGCCUUGUUUGGUUUGGUUGUUUUUUUUUUUCCAAGGCCGGUUAUUACAUUUAUUUUAGGUUGAUAACCGGGUCAAAUCUUCCCUUACAUGCUCUUCUCCAAAACUCACUCAUUUCACUUUUAUUAUUAUUUUACUCUUUCUUAUAUAUAUUAUUCACACUUAUUGACUGUUACAAAGUUGUUGUUGGGUGAAACUUUUAAAUGGGUUUCAUGUCAGGUUUUAUAAAAGAAAACUUCAUCUCUUAAAACUCGUCUUCAUUUUUGCUAAUAUUAUAAAUUUUAAUCCAAAAUUUAUAACGUUCAUUAUGACUUCCACCAUACUUUUAAAUUUAUCUAUAGAGCUUAUUCUCUCUCUUACCCGUUGUAUUUAUUAUUAUUUCUAUUAUUUAUUCAUUUCUUUUAAUAUUAAGUCUUCAUUACUCAUUGGGGUCAUUCUUUUUUUUUCUUUUUUUUUCUUUUUUUUUUUUCUGCGAUCCUAUGUUCAUGCGAGGGUUUACAUUCUUCCCUCCUUGUAAAAUUUCGUCCUCGAAAUUUUGUCUCUUGUUUAAACUUAACUCCAAAUUUAACUCAUUAUAUACUUAUCUCAUCCUCACUAUUUCCUUUCAACCAUGUUUCUUCUGUGUGCGUAGAUUUGGGCACCUAUAAGCAUCUACUUGCUCUGAUCUUGGUGUACGGGGUUUUUUUUUUUUUUUUUUUUUUUUCAACCAUUAUGAUCUCACCAUUACACCGUAAAGAACUUAAUUAAACUGUACUAUUAUGUGUGUUGUUUAUAGCAGUAAUCCUUAUGUAGAAUCCCACCAUUAAAGCUAUUAUCUUCUUCAUACGAUUAUAUUAGUAGGAUUCAACCACCAUUCUUACACUAACAAGACAUCAUUAUAGCCUUUAAUCGCACAUCAUCAUGCUAUUUAGCAUAAUCUCUGUUUGUCCGUAGCUUAUUUAUCAGACAAUUGCCUCAAAAUAAUGAUUUUUUCUUCCUCACCCCACACACACUCUCUUAAACAUCAAAAGGGGAAGGUCAUGUAAGGGAGUUCUGAUGGAGAAAACACAAGAAGAGGGGUGCUCUUGGGAGCUGUCUGGUUGGCCCUGUUUGGGAGAGGAAGAGUCAAUUUUCUUUUGACUCGUGGUAUUUAUAUCUCCCCUUAAAUAAACCGAGGCCUUGUUUCAUCUUGAUGCACGUCGCUCCAGUUAUUAAACCCUUCUCAUACUUGUAAUAUUACUAUAUACGAUCAUCGUUGGCUUAGUUUUAUGUAGUAUAACGAAUCUUAUCCCUUUUUUUUUUUUUUUUAUGUUUUAAAUACUCUUAUCCGACACUCGCUGGUUACAUCCCGUGUCAUAAAUUUUCAUUUUCUUUUCUCUAGUCUAUUUUAAACAAAUUCAACAGCAGGUUUCCUCGUAAUUUCAACAUAUUGGUCCCUUCUAUAACUUAUUUUCCCACCAAUUGUGUUUUCCCACGGAACAAUUAAACACCUACUAACAUCAUUCCAUCCUAAUCAAUAUGGCUUAAACCUUUUUCUAUACCUCUACAGUCGAAACCCAAAUCAAGAACCAUGGGUUUCUCCUCUUCUUUCCUUAUCCUUUCCAAACCCAAUACAUGUUCAUUGCACUAUAUAGUGGUAUAGUAAUUUUAUUUAUUCAUUGAUCAUGCAUCACUCAUUCUAUAAAUUCCCUUCGAAGAUGAUACUUCAUUGGAAUUUAUGUUUUGACACUCAUUACAACAUGUAAUUCUAUGUUCCUUCUAGUUCGCAUCAUCCAAUGACAUGUAUUAUAUACGUGUUGUUAGAUUAACUAAGAAAAUAAUCAUGAUCGUGGUUGUUGUUGUUGUUUUUUUUUUUUUUUUUUUUCCAGAAUGUAAGUAUGUAUUAAGAUCAAAAGUAACCAUACCAGAUAAUUAGAAAGUUCAAGUUCAUAUACAUAUACGAAAUAUAAUGAAAACUAAAAGGGAACAAACUCCCAAUUAGAACAGAACCGAAUACAGCCAGGUCAUACAUGCAUUUGCCAACUAUCCCGGGAAGCAGUGAAUGAGAAGCAAAUAUAUGGUAUUCAAUAAAAACAAAGAGGGAACAUGCUCCCAGCAAAAGGCUAGACACGCAAGGCCAAACAUCCCAUGGUGAGCAGCAAAAGGUUAAGGAAGAAACCAAACAAGGAUUGCAGGUGUUAAAAUUAACCCAAUCAGCAUCAGUAGACAAAAGUGAGGCAUUAUCCACAGCAGCAGCAACAACAAUAGAAGCUAGAGCAUGGAGCAAGUAAUGAACAACGCUGAGCACAAGGAAGCCCGACUACAAAAGAAGCAGCUAGAACACACGCAGAAAUGGAUGAAGCGGCCAUAUAAAUCAAUCCAGCAGCAGAGUUCUCAAAGCCGAAUGAUGAGAAGGCAGCAGCAAUCAUCACCUGCAACAGUUACCCCAACAGACCAGCAGAACGGCUGGAAGAUGAAGGGAUACCUAUGAAUGCUCCAGAUGGAGCGCCACUAGAACAAAACAGAGACAGCAGAAAUAUUUGCAAAAGGCAGCAAUAAUAGCAUGAUGCAGGCCCAGUGACCUGCACCAGCAGCAGAAAAAUGGCACCAGUAGGAGACAGCAGCAUCCAGGCUAUAAAAGCCAAAGCUGACCAGGACAUCAGCAUCCCUACCAAAACAGAAAUGCUCCAGAGACCACGCAACAUGUGGCAACAACAGACACACAGGACUAUUAGCUGUCCAGCAUAUGAGCAGGCUCUCAUAUGCCAAUGGCGAAGGAAGAGUCAACCAGAACUACAUCAUUGAAAAAAAGCAAGCCAUGCAGCUGCAGCAGAGGCCAGAGCAUAACCACAACAGCCCGACAAGAGUCAGUAGUAAGACUCUGCAUCAGCCAACAUUGAUAAGAAAUGAUUCUGUUCAUGAAAGUGUAAGACCAUAUAGAAUAAAACUUGAAAUUUGCGAAAGACAUCAGCAUCUGAAUGGCAAGUGCAUUCAACCACCAUUCUUUCUUUCUUUCUUUCUUUUUCCUGGUUCUGAGGUUGAUACUUCAAAAGGUAAGUUCAUCGUUUAUUCCAGUCAUAUGUUAACCUUUGCCCCAUAUCAAUAAUACCCGUAUGAAACUUUUACCAUCCAUUAUGUCCUGUACCUAUUUUAGAAUUCAUUAUAUUCCUAGUUACAACCCUUUUUAUACUACUCUUUGAGCAAGACUUGGCACAAUUAUUGCUUUAAGUAUGAAAUACCAGAAACAGGUCCACUUCCCAUGCACAUUUUGAGACACACCUUGAUUCAACUUAUUAGUCACAAUAACAUUUAUUUGUGCCUAGACAAUUAAGUAUUCACUGUAAUCUUCAUACAUUUUCAUUUCUCCCCAAUCCCUUUCAUUAGGACAUCUAACAUCGUAUUGUAUCACUAUUUCAUUGAUAUUCUGGUUUUGUUCCAUUUCAGGAAUUCCAACUAUCAUCUGUCACAUUAUCAAGCAAGUUUCCAACAUUUAACAUUUUUUACUGAUACCACCGUCACACAUUGAUAAUUCAUUUCUUUAUUUACCAGCUUCACGACAAUCAAGCAUCACUUUUUUUUUUUUUUUUUGCUAGUAUUAUAAGCAUAUAUAUAACCCAAAGAUCAUUCGUGCUAUCACGAGAUAUAUAGUUAGUCACACCCUUCAUGAUAUUUAGUCUACUGAAUCAUAACCACGCUCUGAUACCAAUUGUAACGCCCGGCGAUUUUGUAAGCAUUUAAAAUUAAUUUCCUACAAUUUGGUAUGUAAAAAUAAGAGUUUUUUUUUUUUUUUUUUUUUUACACUGUAACGGAAUUUCUACCGAAAUUUUGGCAGAGCCUCCCCCUAUACCGGGAGGUCCCAAGUUAUCAACAACUCAUCCUAUACAUAUCUCAUGUUCAUUCCAUCAUCAACGCAUAUCCAUAUCGCAUUGCGACCACAAUUAUUAUUAAUCAUAUAUUUUGCAAAUCUAGGGAUUCAUUUCGAACAUUAUUUACAACACAAAAUAAUAGUAAUUAACUUGAUUAAAAACAUUAAUAUUACAAGCAUAAAUUCUAAAGGUCUCUAUGAUUAAGAUAAAGGAACACUAACAUUAUUCCUGUCAUAUAAUUAUCUAAAGAAAAUACAACAACGUCCAUUUCAUCCCAGAGUCACACAAAAGAAAUAAGGAUGCUAACCCUAAGCCAUACAAAAGGAUUGGAACAUGCUAAUUCCUUAAUUCAUAAAAAGAACUAGACACCUAGGACACUACUCCUGACAGGAAUGACAAAGACCUGCAACAUCAAAAUAAAGGAAUAAUUAUAUUAAAUAAAUGAAAUACAACCAGAUAAUGGAGGGUCACCACUACAUGUAACUACGCAUAUGUGUACUAACUCGAUAGGGCAUAAUCAUAAUUGAUCCGCAAAAGAAGAUCCUUUACUACAUCUAACGCCUAUCCUUCACAACCUACUUAUGGUUUCCUUUUCGAUUAUCAUACAUUAAUUUUUGUCUGAUUUACCCUUUUUCUUAUCCGCCCCAAAUUCUGAGGCAAUCGCUGCCGACACUAAUAACUCCUACUAGUGUCAUUAGUCACCCUUACCCGGAUAGACUAAUCAAUUCCUUAGCAAUGCCGGCACCAACUUAAUCGAUCGAUGCCAUUGAGCUAUUUCCAACCCAAAAUAGUCAAUCAAUUGCUCUCCAUCACUUGGAGAUGUUUCCGGAAAUGCCGAUGCCAAGUUCUCUUGACAUCAUUAACUUCCUCCUCAGGAAGUUAAUCAAGUUAUAAUGGGUUUGCCGAUACAGACAUUAUUUGUUAGUAUCAUUAACUACUCGUGAUACGAAUAGUUAAUCAAGCUCAAUAUUCAUUAUAUUUCCAUCAAGGUCAUGCCGAUGUUAACAAUAUUUGUUAACAUCAUUAGCCGCCCCUAUUCUAGGUCGGCUAAUCAAGUCCAUAGGCGGCCGUUUUUCUUUUUCACAUAUACAUAAUAUAGACCCAUAUCCGAACUCCGCAUCUCGGAGUCUACGACCAAAAUUCAGAUUUCAAAUCCAUGUUUGUUUCACCGUAUCUUUCCUUUUUUUUUUUAGUCAUAUUCACCGGGUGGGCAUAUUCAUAUAAUAAUAUUAUUUCUCGUGCUUGCAGGCAACAUUCACAUAGAAUUAGUAUUUGUUUCCUUGUCCGUAGGCAACAUUCACAUUGUAAUAACAUUUCUUGCUCAUUGGCAAUGUUCACACAAUAAUAAUAUUUCUCCUGCUUGUUGGUAACUUUCACGCAACAAUAUUUGUACUGCCCGUAGGCAGUGUUCACAUAGCAAUAUUUCUCAUGAUACACAUUAGUACAAAAUACACAUAAUGUCUAUCAUAUAACUAGCAUUACAAGAAUUUAAACAAUUUAAAGAAGCAAGGGGGCAACCCUUACCUUGAACUCCCUGUUGUACUUGCACGUGAGAAAUCCGGUCCCACUCUGUAUGCUUCUCCUACAUUCCAGUAGAACAUCCUGAAUUAGUACUCAGACCCCUUUUCUGAUUCAUUCAUCACAUGUAUUAUUUCACAUGCCCAAUUAGUUUUGAAAACAAGUUCAUGAAUAAGCUAUUUUUAGUCAUCACUUUAAUUCAUUAAAUCAACAUCCAUUCUCACUAAUAUUAAAUGUCCAACCAACUCUUUCUUCUACCUUGGCCGAAUAUAGACCUUAUUUCUACAAUAAAUCCUUUUGUGUUUAUAUUCAAGAUAACAUUAUCAAUUCUCAUCUAUAUUGGCAUGAUAUAAUAUAUUCCACAUAUUUCAAGUCAAAUAGUAUUACCACACAUAUUACAUGUCUAUCAAAAUGAUCAAGAUUAUUAUUAUUAUUAUUAUUUUGCUAGAACUAUUCAUUAAGCACAACAACUAGAUGAAAUAACUUUCUUCCUUGAUAUGGCUACUUGCUAACAAUUCUUGGUCAAAACUUCCUAAACACUCAUGUUAAAUUUUCUUUUACUCAAUACCAAGCAUUGCUGAGCAUGUCAAAUGCCUUAAACCAUAACCCUUCCCAUGUUGUUUUCUUUUUGCCGAACAUGCUUAAAUGAAUUAUAAUGAAUUUUCUUCAAUUCCUUUCAUUAUCCACUCUAAGCAACAUUACCUCACCUAAACAUUUUCAUAUGGAUAUGAUCAUUAAUAAUUGUCUAUCUAGAGAUGUUCACAUUACAUAUAUAAUUUUAUUUGUGCCUCUUGCACAUUUUCUUCUUUCAAACUAAUACAUAUACCCACAAGUAUAUUCUUAUGGUUUCUUACUCCUUUCAUUGAACAAUGUAUAUUAAGAUGAUAUCAAUACUUCCUUUAAAAUAUUGUCACUAAAUGUUUAUUUCUAUUCUUCAUACAAGGUUAUUCAAAGUAAUCAUUUCUAUUUUUUCAAGCAACAUUCACCAAACCAGAAUUUCUGCCUUGAAUUUCUUCUCUUGGCCGAAACUUGUGCUCCAUGUCCUCAUUAGUUCAUUCAUUUAAAUCACAUCAUUUCUUCAUUUACAAUGUAUGUUAUCAUACAUAAAACAUAUACCAAUCUUCAAACAAGAAAUUAUAAGGGAUUCAACAUUUAUUCAUACAAUUUCAAAGAACAUCCACACUUUUAACCUCUGUUCCAGCCCUGUUUUCCUUAAAUAUUUGUUCAAGAUCAUGAAUCAUUGAUAUAUAUCUUCAAUUUCUCCUCCCCCUUCAAGUCCCCUUAUGGCCGGCCCUAAUCUAGGGUUUUCUCCUUAGUUUACAUGAAGUUUUUUCUUACUAUACAUUCUUUGAAAUUUGUUCUUUCCUUUAUAAAAUUUAUUGUUCACAAUAUUAGUUUUCAAAACAUUAAUAUGCACAAAAAUCCUAAGUUUUCAUUUGGGUUGUUCACCCUUUUCAACAAAGCUCACUCAAGACAACAAUGGAGAUUGAAGGGUUUUUCUUACCAUAUGAAUUAAGCAAGGAUUAAGGAUGAUUUUUUUUUUUGACAACUCUAUACGUGUUCUUCUUGUUCUCUUCCUUGGUUGAUUCUUCUCCCCCUCUUUCUGCCUUUAGCCGUGAAUCUCUCUCUCUCUCUUUCUACAUCUCUAUUUUGUGGUCUUUCUCCUCACUUUCACUCUUCAUUCACUCUAGCACCGUAUGGAUGAAAUGCAAGAGAACACUUUGCUGGAUAUUUUGUAAGAGAGGGGGCUGCUAGGGGCUGUCUUGGCCGGCAAUAAUGGGAGAGGUAAAGUGACAAUCUUUUCUCCCAACUACUUGUACUCCCUCAUAAAUGAAAUUAGGCCUUGUUUGGUUUGGUGGUUUUUUUUUUUUUCCAAGGCCGGUUAUUACAUUUAUUUUAGGUUGAUAACCGGGUCAAAUCUUCCUUACAUGCUCUUUCCAAAACUCACUCAUUUCACUUUUAUUAUUAUUUUACUCUUUCUUAUAUAUAUUAUUCACACUUAUUGACUGUUACAAAGUUGUUGUUGGGUGAAACUUUUAAAUGGGUUUCAUGUCAGGUUUUAUAAAAGAAAACUUCAUCUCUUAAAACUCGUCUUCAUUUUUGCUAAUAUUAUAAAUUUUAAUCCAAAAUUUAUAACGUUCAUUAUGACUUCCACCAUACUUUUAAAUUUAUUAUAGAGCUUAUUCUCUCUCUUACCCGUUGUAUUAUUAUUAUUUCUAUUAUUUAUUCAUUUCUUUUAAUAUUAAGUCUUCAUUACUCAUUGGGGUCAUUCUUUUUUUUUUUUUUUUUUUUUUUUUUUUUUUCUGCGAUCCUAUGUUCAUGCGAGGGUUUACAGGGGGGCUGUUUGGAAUUUAUUGAGGGGCCUAAUUGAAGAAAUUGGAAGUUUAUUGAUCAAUUGAGGGCUAAAUUGCAUAAAUCAGAGGCGGACAAGACUGAAAUUGGCAGGGACGCAAUUGAAAGGAACAAAAAUAAUUGGGGGACUGAUGUGAACGUUGGCGCAUUUCUGGUGCCACUUUUAAAUGAAACGGUGCGUUUUCUCCAAAACGACGCCGUUUCAUGCGUUUUUAAAAAAAAAAAGAAAAAGACCAAACGGUGCCGUUUUGAACGACACUGUUUCUCUUCUUCUUCCCCCCAUAGGUGUAGCAGAGAAGAGGAAAAUGGGGGUUUUUGUCCCCGCCUCUCUCCUCACGUGCCAUGGCCCGAUGCUCCACGCCUUGGGACCCCCGAAACCGAAGCCACUAGCCGACCACCCGCCGCGCCACCGAAACCGAGAGAAGCACCUUGGCAGCGGCGCCUGCCGACCGACCGACCAGCACGCCUCGUUCCCCCAUGCAUGCCCCGAUAUGCCUAUAAAUAGAGAAGGAGCAGAGUGAUAACGAGGGGGGGAGGAGAACCGAAGGAGUGACCCGAAAAAGAAAAGACAAAAAACCGAGACAGUGAGAGAGAGAGAGACCGGAGGAGAGAGAAACCACAACUUCAGAAACAACGACUGGAAACACAGGGUGGAGCAGCUUGGGAUAGUUGAAACCGAGAGGAGACUCAAGCAUUUGAAACAGAAGCAAACGAACCGAAGGAGUGGGUCUCGAUCCUCUUGAAAACCACCGCGAGCUAAGCCGCUGAUACCGCCGCCACCGUAGCCUCCGCCAGCAAGCCGCCGUCUCCGCUGCGCCAGGUACGCUACCCCCCCCUGCAUUUUCUUUCAAGGCUGGCGUAGUUUGGCCUCCUGCAUGCAGAAUCGUUUCUGCAUGCAGGAGGCACGGGGGGGGAAAUAAUUCCCCCCGUUCAUUUCUGUUUUUUUCUUUUGGGCCAGACAGGGUCUGGCCCAAUGAUAUGGGUUUGGGCCGGUCUGGUCCAGAUUGCGGGUCCGGCCUAGAAGACAAGAUACUGUUGGGCCGAGUCCGGCCCAACGUUUUUUUUUGGGCUGGAGUCCGGCCCAAUUAAUUGGGCCGGCCUAGCCCAUUUAAUAUAUUAAUAUUAUAUUAUUAUAUUAUGCAUGUAUAUAUAUGUAUAUAUAUAUUUUUUUAAAAGAAAAAAAUAAAAAAUAAAAAAUAUUUCCGAAAAAAUAAAAAAAUAUAUAUUGUUGUUUGCUUUUCACAUAUAUAUAUAUAUUUUUGUUUGUUAUAUACAUUGAUUUGUUUUUUAUACCAUGGGGAUAUAAUUUCAGUGUUUAACAACACCCGUUUUCGUCAAAAAAAAAAAUGUUUUUAAAAUAUAAAAUUGUUUUUUUUAAGAGUUGUGAAUUUUUCUUAGUUUUUUUUUCUUUUCCGGGUGAUUUACGAGUUGACGGGAUUAGAAAACACCAACACCAUAGCAAUUAUAGAGCAAACCAAACACCAAGCAGCUUACCUUAGGUAGGGCGUACUAGGGGUGCUGAUACCUUCCCUUUACACAACCAGUCCCUUGCCUUAGAAUCUCUGAAAGACCAGUUAGGGUUCCUAGUGACCAAAAUACUAGGUGGCGACUCCAAAGAACCAAAUCAUUAAAACACAACGAAAAUCGCCAGCCGAUGUCGCGCUCUUUACAAUUUUUUUGGUGGGGGGGUGUGACAGAAUGGCGACUUCGCUGGGGAAGUUAGGACUAAGCUUGAUUUGUUUGUUUGUUUAUGUUAUGUGUUAUUGGUUUUUGUUUUCUUAUGAUGCUUUGUUUAAAAGCUUUAGCAUAUAUCUUUACAUUCUAUCAUACAUGGCAUAGUCAUGCAUCACUUUAUUAUUAUUAUGUUUUGGAGGGCACACACAUGUAACUUUAAGUUUAAGUAGGGGACUAGCAGCUUGCCUUAUGACUUGAGUCAAGGUUUAAGUUUGUGUAAACCCCAACUCUUUGCUGAGUGUUUAGACUGAUAGUGAUUGGUACACGUGCCAUCCCACUAUCUGCUGGACCUCUAUAUCGCCUUUACGAGGGUGAUCACUGGAACAGCAAGAGACCCUCUUUUAGAGACCUAGUAGUAAACCUACCCUAUGUCUCACGUAAAAGAACUAGAACCUAUCCUUAGGGUGUAUGUUCCGAUAUAAAUCUUUUGCAUUGAAACAAGACUAACCCCCCAUGCAUUUUGAAUUGCAGGAUUUGUGAACGAAAUGACCAUCAUCAAAUCUUCCAUCAUAGAGUAUGUAAAGAAUUCUGAACUGUCACAAUUGACUGAAGGAGACUGCCUUAGAAGCGAUGCUAAGAAGAUGUCGCCAAUCAAGAACCUGAAUUGCAUAUUGAAUGAGGUGAACAAGUUAACGACUCAUUUUCAGAAUGUGGAUAAAGAUGCAUUUUUUAGGAAAUACGGGCGUUUGAUGGAAAUCGCAAAGGUAGAAGUUUUAAGCCCAGUUGUGCGAGCUUUAGUUCAUUUUUGGGAUCCAGACUACCGAUGUUUCUCCUUUGGAAGCAUAGACUUGUGCCCCACGAUUGAGGAAUAUGGAUUGUUGACCGAGUUUCCAAACGACCUGUAUCAGAUUUAUUCUCCUUUGAGAUCCGACAAGAUCAUCCCUGAGCUGUCAAAACUGCUCAGAAUCUCCAACUUGGAAAAGUUUCUGGAAAAGAAUGGCACCGGUUUGAAAUGGAGGAUGCUAGAGUUGGAAAAGGAGUCAGGAGUAGAAAAAGAGAGAAUGAUUGCCUUAGGUAUAUUUGGCCUUGUGUUGUUCCCAAGUCAGAUUGGUUUAGUAAGUUUGGAGGCCGCCGCUGCUUAUGUGGAGUAUGAGAACACACAGAUCAAUCCAGUGGUUGCCAUUUUAGCCGAAACAUUUUUGACACUUAACCAUUGUAGAAGGGCUGGAAAAGGGCAAUGAGAUGUUCACGCAACUGUUGUAUAUUUGGAUGGUUAGCCAUAUCGAAACAAAGAACCUGUCUUCAAUAAUUUUUGUGGUUCACCCAAAACCCUAAAGUUAGUAAGAAGAAGAGUGGGGAGAUCUAGACAACCAGGGUUGGGUUUAUAAAUUAGAAGGUUUACCUAAUAGCGAGCACCAUGGGUAACGACAAUGAAGGUCCUAAUGAGUUGUGGACAAAGGCGUUGGGUACCAUUGGUGGGGAUUACAAUUAUGUGAGUUAUGCCCGGCUUUAGUGGUAAGACAACUUGGGGCAUGCAGUUUUUCCCAGGACUAUGGGAAUUGCUCAAUUCUUUGUCUGUUCAAAGAUCCCAUGGCGAAAGAAGUUUUGGAGAUCACAAACAAGAUUGGAAGCAUCUAGUGUUGGUGGAAAUAGAAGGUUUGAGAGAUCCAAGUGUGAGCGAAGGAUAUGUAAAUGGAGAGCCUCAGCUGCUUCAGCCAUGCCUUGCGUAGAAACUAAAUCUCCUCAAGCUGUAGAGGAGCCUAUUAAGAGAAAGGAGGUUAAUAUUGAAGAUGAUUCAGCUGCUUCAGCCAUGCCUCGUGUAGAAGUCAAAUCUCCUCAAACUGUAGAGGAACCCCUCAAAAGAAAGAGGGUUAGCGGUGAAUUAGAAGGCAAGUGGACAAACUGAGAAUAGAGUUGAGCAAAGCAGAAAGGACAAGGCAACGUUGGAAGAAAUGAUGUUAGAAGAGGAUAAAAGGAGAACAUUUCUAGAUGAGCAAAUACAGUCUAGAGAUGCGAAAAUAACCAAGCUUGAGUUAAAGUUGGUUGAGGAGAAGAUUGCUAGGGAAAGAAGUGAGAAGGAGCUUAAAGGGUUGAGUUUGGAUUGGAUGCAAAGUUGCUCUGAACUUGAAGCAAUGGAGAUGGACUUUAGCGAUUGCCAGGAAAGUGCAAAAUAUUACCAAGAAAAAUUUGUGCAAGUGCAAUUGGAACUAAUGGAUAGGAUUAGGAGGUAUAAGGAUUUGAAUAAGAAAUAUAUGGAGUUGGAAAGCAAAAGGGGAGGAUUCGAGGAUGUUAAAGCAGAGUUAGCGGCCAAGAGGAAUGAGAUAAAAGUUAUGAGAAUAAAGCUCGACAAAGAACGCAAAAAGUCGAAGUAUUUAGACGAGAAACUAGUAGCAACGGAAAAGCACAAGGAUCGAAUCAACGCCAACAACACUGCAUUGAACAGAACUAACAUGUUGCUCAUAGAAAAAAUAACCAAAACAGAUGAGCAAAUGGACGAAGCUGCUGCACAUGCCCUAAUUAUCAGAAUCAAUGCGCGGAAUGUGGGAGGAGACAUCAUUCGCUAUCGCCGAAGCCUAGCUGAAACCGAUGCCUUUCUAGGGAAGAUUAAGAACCGUGGCUUCGCUUUCUUACCUCUGGCUAAAGAGUUUAUGGAGGAAAGAGAUUAGCAUGUUGUAUUUUUCUAAAAUGUAUUUUUAUCCAAGCAUUAAUGAAAAGGGCGUUGACCCAUCUUCUUAUGCAAAAUCUGUCUCUUGGUGAACAUGAUUCAAGCAAACGACUCGAAAGGCAGAACUCCUAUCAAAGCAAUGUGACAAGAGAAUGCUUAUAAUGGGAUGGUUGUUUUUUCGUUCACAAUAAAACAUGCAUGCAUCUGCAUUUUUCAAUCAUGCAUCCAUCACAUUCAUACCCAAUGAAACAUGCAUUUUUCAAUCAUGCAUCCAUCACAAUCAUACAUUUUUCUCAUACAUCUAUGCAUGCGCAGAUCGUGAAACAUAGGUCCCACAUCCAGAAUACACCAAACCCGGUCCAGAUCAAGAAUGGAAAACGAAGAAAGAGCUCAGUUAGAGUCACACUACCAGACCGAGUUGGAAUCUGUGAAAAAUGAAGUUUCUCGGCUAACCAAUCUGCUUGAGCAACUUUUAAGAGCCAAGAACGGAGGGAACAUCUACCCAACCACCUAUAGGAGCACCGUCAGUCCUGUCCCGGGGUUAUCUCAGAACUUGGGGGCAGAUUCAGCGACGGGGGCAGCACUUUGCACCUGCUAUUCCCAUUCAGCCCCCUCAAGCUCAUAUCACUGUAGAUUUAACAGCCGAGGGGCCUUCCGAUAAUAGGUCCACUGGUUUGUGAACGAUGACAAGAUAUCAGCAUUAGAAGAAAGGUUAAGAGCAGUCGAGGGGAUUGGUUUGACCCCAUGCGAGCGUCGGAAAUAUGCUUGGUACCAAACCUCACGGUACCAAAAGAUUUUAGGAUACCAGAGUUUAUAAGGUACACUGGGUUGGAAUGCCCAAACACUCACCUUCGAUCUUAUUGCAAUAAGAUGGCUGAGGUGAUUCAUGACGAUAAGUUAAUGAUCUACUUUUUCCAAGACAGUCUAUCGGGAUCUGCGCUAAGUUGGUACAUGAGGCUGGAUAAUGUCAAGAUUAAGAAAUGGAAGGACUUAGUGGAGGCUUUCCUAAAGCAAUACAAGUUCAAUUUGGAAAUUGCUCCAGAUCGAACGAGCCUCAUGUCAAUGGAAAAGAGAAGCCAAGAGUCAGUGAGGGCUUAUGCGCAAAGAUGGAGGGACGAGGCCACGCACGUGCAACCCCCUUUGAUAGAAACGGAGAUGGUGACUUUGUUCGCCAAUACAUUCAAGGCACCUACUAUGAGCAUUUAAUGGGUAGCUCAUCUCAACAUUUCUAUGAUGUUGUACGUGUGGAAAGGAUAGAGCAAGGAAUUAAAGCAGGGCGCAUAGCGGAGCCUUUAGAGAAGAAAGGUUUUAUGGGAAGGAAAAGAGAAGGGACGUUAACAAUUUGGAAGGCGGGUACAAAGGCAAGUAAAUUUCCACAGUCCACAAGCACCUACCUCUCAAUUCCACGCAUAAACUUUAACCAAUCUUUUUCACCUAACCGAACAAAUAACCAACCAAACUACCAAAUCACUACCAAAGACCCCACCAGGAUACACUUCAGAACAACUGCCGCCUUACCCAUGCCUUUGAAGGACAUGUAUGCCAAACUUUUGAGCAUUGGACAAAUAGCUCCUAUCCCUACACUACCACUACAACCACCAUUCCCAAUUUGGUACAAGCCCGAUUUGACUUGCGAGUACCAUGGGGGUAAUCCCGGGCAUGGGAUUGAAACCUGCUAUGCAUUCAAGAAGAGGUUAUUGGAGCUUAUUAAGUUGGGAUGGGUAUCCUUCGAAGACAAGCCCAAUGUUAAUUCAAACCCAUUGCCUAAGCAUGCUCCAAAUAGUGGUGGAAUAGGCAUGAUCGAAGUGGGAAAUCAAUGCAAGGUGUUGAAGGUGCCGAUGAAAAGGUUGUACGACAUGUUAGUACAAUCAGGAUUUCUAGGAAAGGUAAGGCAAUUGGAGAGAGUGACUACUGUGAGUUCCACGGAAGAGAUGGACAUCACAUUGAGGAUUGCGCCGAGUUUUGCGAAAAGAUCGCAAAAAUGUUGAAGAUGGGACAAUUGAGGAUUGAACCCAUGGAGAGCAGGUGUGAUGAGCAUGAUGGAAGGCAAGAUGAGAUGGCAGGAGUUUGCAGGGUCCAACAGACUGCUAAUGGGCCCCCAAGGCUGAUCUUGAUUAAACCGUCCUGCACAAAAGAGAAUCACAAUGCCAUGCCGUAUAAUUAUGGGUAUGCCUCCAAUUCGAGCGCCUCUUCCUUUGUUCCAGACGGAGAUAAGUGGUUUGACCAGGAGUGGUCGUUGCUUUACGCCUGAAGAAUGGAGGAAGGAAAAGGGUAAGAAGUGGUAGAUCUGGACAAAGCACCAGAAGUUAAUAAGCCGUAACGGAAGAGGAGUCGAAUGAGUUUUUGAAGUUGAUCAAGCAUAGCGAAUAUUGCAUAGUGGAUCAACUAAAAAAGACUCCAGCUCGGAUCUCCCUUAUGUCCUUGAUACUCAGCUCUGAGCCGCAUCGAAAUGCCUUGCAAAAGGUAUUGAAUGAGGCAUAUGUACCCAAGACAUUGAGCAUAAAACCAUGGAGCAUUUAGUGGGAGGAUCCAUGCAACUAAUUACCUCUACUUCACGGCUGAUGAGCUUGAUGCUGAAGGUACCGGACACAACAAGCCUUUAUACAUUACUGUUAGGUGCAAAGACUGCCUCGUAGGGAAGGUGCUCGUCGAUAAUGGCUCGGCCCUCAACGUGUUGCCAAAGCACAUUCUGGAGGAAAUGCCGAUUGAUGAAUCUCAUAUGAAGCCAAGUACUAUGAUGGCCAGAGCAUAUGAUGGCUCACCUAGGCCAAUACUUGGGACUUUAGAAGUGGAGCUAUAUGUGGGACCGCAAAUGUUCCUAGUGACACUUCAGGUUAUGGAUAUCCACCCUUCCUAUAGUAUGUUGUUGGGAAGACCUUGGAUCCACGCAGCGGGGCAGUAGCUUCGUCAUUGCACCAAUGCCUGAAGUACAUCAUGAAUGGGAUGUUGGUAACUGUCAAGGCUGAGGAGGCAAUAUCCAUGAUAAAGAAUGUGGUUGUGCCUUUCAUCGAAGCGGAGGAUUGCAAGGAUAACAAUAUCCAUGCUUUUGAGAUCGUGAACACCGACUGGGUGCCGGAGAACACCGUGCUAAGAAGGCCAAGGAUCUCAGAAGCAGCAAGGAUGGCAAGUCUAUGUUUCUUGAACCGUGGGGUCCCACGUCAAUAUAACCUCGCUUGCGGAAUACCAGAAGGGGCUAAUCCGACAAGGAAGAGAAAAGCUGAUCAAAGAUUUGGGUUAGGAUAUCAACCUAACCAAGAGGAUUAUCGUUGGGCUGCUGAUCGGAGAAGGACAAGAAGGAUGGCUAGAAUUAAAGGAAGAGAUCUUGAAGAAGAACAGCUGAAAUCCCUCCCCUUAGCGUAUCAUUCCCAAGAGCUGCAUACAUAGUGCAACAUGAUAAGGGAGCUGAAAGCCUGGGUAGAGCUGGCAAUAUGAGCAUAAACACCUUGGAGGGAAAAGAAGGAAAAGGUGAUGCGAAAGCAAUAGCGGGAAAAGAAGAUGAAGUGCUGCCACAACUGACGAUCCAUACACUAGAAGAAGUCUCCGCCAAGACCUUUGUGCGCAAGUUGGCUCAGGCGAAAAGUUUCAGAAUUGGGUGACCCAAGAAGCUCCAGUGGUUUUCAAAAUGUAAACCAACUUUGUUUGCCUUAAUGUUUUUGUCAUUGCUUAUGUUUGCUUUUUUUCUCUAGUUGACAAUCAAGGCUCAUGAUGUCAGCUAGAUUCUAUGUUUGUCAUGGAGCCCACCUUUUCCUUUGAAUGAAUGUGAGAUCAUGCACUUUUUCAAAAAUUGUUUUUAUAUAUAUGCAUUUACACCAAGCACUUCCCGCUUUCAGGAAUCCUGAAAGCGGAUCUCCUACAACAUCACAUACAUUAGCAUCAAGAAUAAAUGGCCAAACUUGAACGAGCAUGUAAUAGCUAUGGAAGAAGAAGAGUGGGAUGAAAGCAAUAUCAGUGAAUUCACCAGGCUAGUAGAACAACAGGAACAGACUUGGAAGCCUGCCGGAGGAACUCGAAACCAUCAAUGUGGGCAAUGGUCAGCUCAAGAAAGAGUUGAAAAUAGGUACCCUAAUUACUUCUGAACAAAGGAUAAAAAUGAUCACCCUAUUACAAGAAUAUUCAGAUGUCUUUGCUUGGUCCUAUGAAGAUAUGCCCGGUUUGGAUACAAGUAUUGUAGAACACAAGAUACCGUUGGAAGAAGGUUAUAAGCCAGUCAAGCAGAAACUGAGGAGGGCCCAGGACGUCUGGAUCAAGGUCAAGGCAGAACUCGAAAAGCAAUGGGAUGCUGGUUUCUAGAAGUAGUUAGAUAUCCACAAUGGGUAUCUAACAUUGUUGUGGUGCCUAAGAAGGAAGGGAAGAUUAGAGUUUGUGUGGAUUUUCGGAAUUUGAAUAGAGCUAGCCCUAAGGAUGAUUUUCCUCUACCACACAUAGAUGUUUUAGUGGAUAAUGCUGCCCGAAGUUCCACUUAUUCCUUUAUGGACGGUUUUUCAGGAUACAACCAGAUAAAAAUGGCUCCAGAGGAUAAGGCGAAAACAACUUUUGUCACACCUUGGGGGACCUACUGCUACAAGGUCAUGCCAUUUGGGUUAAAGAACGCAGGUGCAACAUAUCAAAGAGCAAUGGUGACUCUAUUCCACGACAUGAUGCACAAAGAAAUUGAGGUGUAUGUAGAUGAUAUGAUUGCCAAGUCUAAAAAGGAACAAGAUCAUGUGGAAGUUUUGAGGAAGUUAUUUGAGAGGUUGAGGAAGUAUGAACUAAGGCUUAAUCCUGCAAAAUGUUCAUUCGGAGUUAAAUCGGGCAAGCUGUUGGGAUUUGUGGUAAGUGAUAGAGGUAUAGAGGUGGAUCCGGAUAAAGUAAGGGCCAUCCAGGCCAUGUCGUCCCCUAAGACGGAGAAAGAAGUAAGAGGAUUCUUGGGAAGGUUGAAUUACAUUGCUCGGUUUAUAGCUCAGCUAACAACAACAUGCGAGCCUAUAUUCCGACUACUAAGGAAAAAGAAUCCUGGAACCUGGAAUGAGGAGUGUGAGGAGGCAUUCAAUAAAAUCAAGCAUUAUUUACAAAAUCCACCUUUACUGGUUCCUCCUGUAUCAGGAAAACCUCUAGUAUUAUAUCUAACCGUAACUGAAGUAGCCAUGGGAUGUGUAUUGGGUCAGCAUGAUGAAACCGGAAGGAAGGAAAGAGCUAUUUAUUACUUGAGUAAGAAAUUCACUGAAUGUGAGUCCAGAUACACGGAGAUAGAAAGGCUUUGUUGUGCGUUGGUGUGGGCGGCAAAGAGGUUGCGACAUUACAUGUUAUACUAUACCACUUGGUUGAUUUCAAAAGUGGAUCCCUGAGGUAUAUUUGUAAUAAGCCUUUUCUCUCAAGUCGAAUUGCAAGGUGGCAAGUUUUAUUAGCAGAAUAUGACAUAGUGUAUAUGACAAGGAAAGCCGUAAAAGGGAGUGCAAUCGCAGACCAUCUGGCCGAUAAUGCUAUUGAAGAUUACGAACCUUUGGAUUUUGAUUUCCCUGAUGAAGAUAUAUUGUCAAUAGAAAAGGAAGAAGAGAAGACAGAUUGGUGGACCAUGUUUUUUGAGGGGCAGUAAAUGUAUAUGGUAACGGGGCAGGGGCGGUAAUAAUCUCUCCUAAUAAGAAACAAUACCCAGUUUCGGUCAAACUACAUUUCGAGUGCACCAACAAUACAGCUGAGUAUGAAGCUUGUAUCCUCGGUUUAGAAGCGCAUUGGAGUUAAAAUAAAGAAGAUAGAUGUAUAUGGGGAUUCAAUGUUGAUCAUCUGCCAGGUAAAGGGGAAUGGCAAACCAAAGAAGAAAAGUUGAGGCCGUACCAGGAAUACCUAUCCAUGCUAGCAAAGGAAUUUGAAGAAAUUAGAUUCACCCAUCUGGGAAGGGAGGGGAACCAUUUUGCGGAUGCUUUGGCCACACUAGCUGCUAUGACUACCAUUGACUCAAGUGCAAGGUACAACCGGUACACAUUGAUAUUAGAAAUGAUCCAGCUCACUGUUGUUUAGUUGAAGGAGAGAUGGACGGACAACCUUGGUAUUACGAUAUCAAGAAUCUGUGCAGAAUCAGGAAUAUCCGGUGGGAGCUUCUAAACGGAUAAGAAAACCUUGAGAAGGUUGGCUAUAGACUUCUAUUUAGAUGGAGAGAUUUUAUAUAAAAGGUCAUUUGAUGGAACCCUGUUAAGGUGUUUGGAUGAGGCAGAUGCUAGAAGGCAUUAAGAGAGGUCCAUGAGGGGAUUUGCUCAACCCAUGCUAGCGGGCAUAUGAUGGCAAGGAAAAUCCAAAGGGCUGGUUAUUUUUGGAUGACACUAGAAAAAGAUUGUAUCGACUAUGUCAGAAAAUGUCACAAAUGUCAAAUUUACAGUGACAAGGUCAAUAUGCCACCAGCUCCUCUGUUUAACUUAACAUCUCCAUGGCCCUUCGCGAUGUGGGGAAUUGAUGUGAUUGGACCUGUAAACCCAAAAGCGAGCAAUGGUCAUAGAUUUAUCCUCGUGGCUAUUGACUACUUCACAAAAUGGGUAGAAGCCGGGUCAUUUGCUCAUGUGACACAAAAAGUGGUGAAGAAAUUUAUUGAGAGAGAUUUGAUAUGUCGGUAUGGUCCACCAGAAAAGAUUAUAACUGAUAAUGCCCAGAAUUUCAACGGCAAGAUGAUAAUAGAGCUCUGCACUAAAUGGAAAAUCAAGCAUUCCAAUUCUUCGCCAUAUAGACCAAAGAUGAAUGGGGCGGUAGAAGCUGCUAACAAGAAUGUCAAAAAGAUUAUUCAGAAGAUGGUAGUCACCUAUAAGGAUUGGCAUGAGAUGUUGCCAUUUGCCCUUCAUGCAUAUCGCACCGCAGUUCGAACCUCGACAGGGACUACCCCAUAUUCUUUGGUGUACGGUAUGGAGGCAGUGAUGCCUUUGGAAGUGGAAAUCCCGUCGUUAAGAGUGUUAAUAGAUUCCGAGUUAGAAGAGGCCGAGUGGGCCAAAGUGAGACACGAGCAACUGAACCUGAUCAGUGAAAAGAGGAUGGCCGCAAUAUGUCAUCACCAGCUUUACCAGAAACGAAUGGCUAAGGCGUAUGAUAAGAAGGUUAGACCGCGGUUGUUUCAAGAAGGGGAUCUAGUAUUGAAGAAAAUAUUGUCAUUACCCGGAGAUGAUCAAAGCAAAUGGGCACCAAAUUACGAGGGUCCUUAUGUAGUAACAAGGCAUUCUCAGGAGGAGCGUUGAAGUUAGCUAGAAUGGAUGGAGAAGACCUAGCUCGACCUGUGAAUUCUGACUCUGUAAAAAGAUAUUACUUGAUGUAGCCCUAAAUCAAUAAAGCAAAGUUUGGCCAUUGAUUUCUUUCCUUUUGCAUUGAUCUCACAACAAUCAUUUUUGCAUUAAUCCAACAGUGCAUCUCAUCACUCAUUUAAAAGUUUAGCAUCGACUGAACGAAUUUCUUCUCUAUAUAAAAGCUCAAACUAGGAUCACACCCCUACACUGGGGGCAAUACAAGAUGUUUUAUAAAAGUUUUACGGAAGCCUAUAGAUUUGAAAACCAAGCUAAAGCAUUUGACAAAAGCAUGACAAAAAGGCAAUAACAAGUCUUACAUUUUGAGAAAAGGACUACUUGAGGAAAGUCAAAGACUUCUUCUCCAAGAAUAUGAUAAGUAAAAAGGCAACACGAGAGAUGAAUCCAGCAUACGACUUCAAAAGCAAGCUCAUGUUAAGAAAGAGCUUCAUGAACUAGAAGAAGAUGAUGGGGCCUAUGUUUCAAAACCAGGUACGAAUGCAUGCAUUGCAUCUAAUCAUAAAUCAUUGCAUGUAUGUUUUUUAUCGUUACAGGAGGAGAUCUUAGUGCAUUCCAACAAGAUUGUGGACGAAGAAGGAAUCAUUGAGUUGAUUCUAGAACAACAAGAAGAGAAGAUAAUAUUUUUCAAACCUGCCAGCAGGAAGAACGACAUCGAUAGCAAUCGGUAAAAGGGAAUCGCAGAUGGGAUUCCAAGUUGUUUGGUUAAAAGAGAUCGCCAGAAGGGAUCUCGUUUUCGAUGAAGGUCGCCAGAAGGGACUUCAUAUUUCAGUUUGAAUAAAAGGAAUCGCCAGAUGGGAUUCCAAGUUGUUUGAGAUCGCCAGAAGGGAUCUCGUGUUUCACUAUUUGGAGGUCGCCAGAUGGGACCUCGUAUUUCAGUUGGUUAAAAGGAAUCGCCAGAUGGGAUUCCAAGUUGUUUGAGAUCGCCAGAAGGGAUCUCGUGUUUCACUAUUUGGAGGUCGCCAGAUGGGACCUCAAUUUCAUGUUGGUUAAAAGGAAUCGCCAGAUGGGAUUCCAAGUUGUUGAGAUCGCCAGAAGGGAUCUCGUGUUUCACUAUUUGGAGGUCGCCAGAUGGGACCUCAUUUCAUGUUGGUUAAAAGGAAUCGCCAGAUGGGAUUCCAGUUGUUGAGAUCGCCAGAAGGGAUCUCGUGUUUCACUAUUUGGAGGUCGCCAGAUGGGACCUCAGUUCAUGUUGGUUAAAAGGAAUCGCCAGAUGGGAUUCCAAGUUGUUUGAGAUCGCCAGAAGGGAUCUCGUGUUUCACUAUUUGGAGGUCGCCAGAUGGGACCUCAUUAUGUUGUUAAAAGGAAUCGCCAGAUGGGAUUCCAAGUUUGUUUGAGAUCGCCAGGAAGGGAUCUCGUGUUUCACUAUUGUGGAGGUCGCCAGAGGGGACCUCACACUUAACGUUGGUUAAAAGGAAUCGCCAGAUGGGAUUCCAGGUUGUUUGAGAUCGCCAGAAGGGAUCUCGUGUUUCACUAUUGUGGAGGUCGCCAGAUGGGAUUCCAGGUUGUUUGAGAUCGCCAGAAGGGAUCUCAUGUUUCACUAUUGUGGAGGUCGCCAGAUGGGACCUCACACUUAAUGUUGGUUAAAAGGAAUCGCCAGAUGGGAUUCCAGGUUGUUUGAAAUCGCGAGAAGGGAUUUCGUGUUUCACUAUUUUGGGAGGUCGCCGGAUGGGACCUCAUACUUCAUGUUUGUUAAUAGGAAUCCCAGAUGGGAUUCUAAGUUUGAUUAAAGGAGAUCGCCAGAAGGGAUCUCGCAUUUCGAUAUUUGUCAAAAGGAGUCGCCAGAAGGGACCUCAUAUUUCAUUUUCGCUAAAGGGAAUUGCCAGAUGGGAUUCCGAUGGCCGAAGAGGAUUGUUGUAAAGAAAGAGUUUCAGAUCGAUCAAGCUUCGACCAGAUCAGUUUUCGGGAGUUUAGUUGGGACUAUCUUUAUAAAACUUACUACGCAAAACCUUUGCUCCGUAAGCUCUAUAAAGAGGGGGCAUCUGUUGUAACCCAUUUUUGGGUCCCCGCAAAAAAAAAAAAAAAAAGCCAAAGAAGGUUAGAAAAAUAACAGGAGGCAGAAGCGCUCGGAAAAUGGUCAGAAAAUUGGUCAAGGAGUAUAAAAUACAAAGAUUGGAUUUUUGGCAGUAUAUUCUUGAAGGAUGAGGGCCAUUUAGAAGGAAAUUUUGAAUUUUGAGGAGAAAAGCCCAAAUUUGGAUGUUUAUGGACUUAAUUGAAUUUUUUAAUUGGAUUUAUAGGGGAUUUGAUUGCAAGAAAAAUUGAUUUUUAAGUCAAUUUGGGCUUUAAAUAGAAGAAAUUUAAGUUCUGGGGCCAAAUUAUAUUUUUAGGAUUUUAUUAAGUCAAAUCAGGGGCUUAAUUGCAUAAAUAUUGAAGUUUAAUGGCCAAUUAGGGGUUUAAUUGUGAAAAUCCGAAACCAGGGACCAAUUUGGAAAAGGCGCAAAGAUAGGGGGGCUGUUUGGAAUUGAUUGAGGGGCCUAAUUGAAGAAAUUGGAAGUUUAUUGAUCAAUUGAGGGCUAAAUUGCAUAAAUCAGAGGCCAAGGACUAAAGUGGAAAAGGCGGCCAACUAGGCGGACGAGACCGAAAUUGGCAGGGACGCAAUUGAAAGGAACAAAAAUAAUUGGGGGACUGAUGUGAACGUUGGCGCGUUUCUGGCGCCACAUUUAAAUGAAACGGCGCGUUUUCUCCAAAACGACGCCGUUUCAUGCGUUUUAUUUUUUUAAAAAAGAAAAAGACCAAACGGUGCCGUUUUGAACGGCACUGUUUCUCUUCUUCUUCCCCCUGCAGGCGUAGCAGAGAAGAGGAAAACCGGGGUUUUUGUCCCCGCCUCUCUCCUCACGUGCCAUGGCCCGACACUCCACACCUUGGGACCCCCGAAACCGAAGCCACUGGCCGACCACCCGCCGCGCCACCGAAACCGAGAGAAGCACCUUGGCAGCGGCGCCUGCCGACCGAGACCAGCACGCCUCGUUCCCCCAUGCAUGCCCCGAUAUGCCUAUAAAUAGAGAAGAAGCAGAGUGAGAGAGGGAGGAGAACCGAAGGAGUGACCCGAAAAGAAAGACAAAAAAGAGACAGUGAGAGAGAGAGAGACCACAACUUCAGAAACAGCGACUGGAAACACAGGGUGGAGCAGCUUGGGAUAGUUGAAACCGAGAGGGGACUCAAGCAUUUGAAACAGAAGCAAACGAACCGAAGGAGUGGGUCUCGGUCCUCUUGAAAACCACCGCGAGCUAAGCCGCUGCCACCGCCGCCACCGUAGCCUCCGCCAGCAAGCCGCCGUCUCCGCUGCGCCAGGUACGCUACCCCCCCCCUGCAUUUUCUUUCAAGGCUGGCGUAGUUUGGCCUCCUGCAUGCAGAAUCGUUUCUGCAUGCAGGAGGCACGGGGGGGAAAAUAAUUCCCCCCGUUCAUUUCUGUUUUUUUCUUUUGGGCCAGACAGGGUCUGGCCCAAUGAUAUGGGUCUGGGCCGGUCUGGCCCAGAUUGCGGGUCUGGGCCGGUCCGGCCCAGAAGACAAGAUACUGUUAGGCCGAGUCCGGCCCAACGUUUUUUUUGGGGCUGGAGUCCGGCCCAAUUAAUUGGGUCGGUCCAGCCCAUUUAAUAUAUUAAUAUUAUAUUAUUAUAUUAUGCAUGUAUAUAUAUGUAUAUAUAUAUAUUUUUAAAAAAAAAUAAAAAAAUAUUUCCGAAAAAAUAAAAAAAAAAUAUUGUUGUUUGCUUUUCACAUAUAUAUAUAUAUAUAUAUAUAUUUUUGUUUGUUAUAUACAUUGAUUUGUUUUUUAUACCAUGGGGAUAUAAUUUCAGUGUUUAACAACACCCGUUUUCGUCAAAAAAAAAAAUGUUUUCUUGCGUGUUGCAUACGGCCAAUACUCUAACAUGGUUUUGAAUUUUCUUUUUUAUAUACAAAAAAUAUUGGAAGCUUUGAAGGUGUGUUUUCGCAUAGAUUUCUUAAACACAAAUCAUUUUCUUGCAUUUGUGGAUUUUACAACAUGUUUGUAAAACUCCAAAGGGUAUUGGCCAAUAUUCCAAAAACUAUAAAAAUCUUAUUUUGGGAGGAGAAAUUGUAUUUUAUUAUUCACCGCUAAUGUUUGGAUGAAGAAAUCUUUAUAAGGAUGAACAUCUAAAAUAUUAUUGGGAGUAAUAAAUCAGCACACAUGUUGGAAAGAAGCUUUGGUUGUAAUCGAGGAUAUUUCAAAAAAAAUUUUACUCCACGGUUUACGAGUCGUAAAAAUAUAAAAUUGUUUUUUUUAAGAGUUGUGAAUUUUUCUUCGUUUUUUUUUCUUUUCCGGGUGAUUUACGAGUUGACGGGAUUAGAAAACACCAACACCAUAGCAAUUAUAGAGCAAACCAAACACCAAGCAGCUUACCUUAGGUAGGGCAUACUAGGGGUGCUGAUACCUUCCCUUUACGCAACCAGUCCCUUGCCUUAGAAUCUCUGAAAGACCAGUUAGGGUUCCUAGUGACCAAAAUACUAGGUGGCGACUCUAAAGAACCAAAUCAUUAAAACACAACGAAAAUCGCCAGCCGAUGUCGCGCUCUUUACAAUUUUUUUGGUGGGGGGGUGUGACAAAGUGCAUCAAUUAUCAACUAAAAUAUAACAAAAAGGAGAAAAAGAUAGGUGAUGUAGAGAGAGAUGAGUGUUUUAGAGCUAUUUAGGGUAUUUUUGAGGGUGAGAAGAGAAAGUACGAGAACUUAAAAAUAAGUUUCAGAUGGCAUUUGUGAUAUGUGAAAGUGUGUUAGUUUUUUAAUUAUUUUUUUUAACUGUGUUACUUUAUCUUUUAUUUAACUGUUUUAAAAAACAAAAAAUCUCCAAUAAUAGAACUCUAGUUUUCGUAUAAUGACCGGCUGUAAUUUAGUCAACAUGAUUUAAAGAAAAACAGCCUUUUCCUCGACGUUUGAAUUGGAGCAGCGAAGGGCUUUGAAAUUAAUAAUUUCCUGAACCAAAACUUGUCUCCUGGGAGAAGCAUUAAACAAGUUUCCUUAGCUGGGCGACCGACCAAAUUUCAAAUACAAGACUAUCAAGUUUCUUUAGCUGGUCCCUUCGUUAACUAUCAAGAGUGAGCGAGUGUUGGAAACGCGGCAAUAUUAAUUAAAUCAUUAAUGGAAAUUAAACAUGGAUAUAUAUAUAUAUAUAUAUAUAUAUAUAUAUAUAUAUAUAUAUAUAUAUAUAAUGAAAAUGAAGUUAGAGAAUCAAAUCUUCAGAUAAAGCCUUAAUUAAUGAAAUCUUCUGAUCCAAUGUGUAGCUAACAAUUGAACUUUUCUUCAUGUGCCUUUUCCUCAACUUUUGAAUCGGAGCAAUGAAGGACUCAUUUGUUCAUGAGCACAUAAUUGAGAGUUGAAAUUGUUAGUAUUAAAAAUGCAACAAAAACAUAAAGAAGAAUACCUCAUGUUUCUUUUUCAGGACUUAAAAAAAAAUUCAAAACGAGUUGAAGAUGGAAAAAAAUUCAAAAUGAGUUACAGAUGGUAUUGCGACUCGUGAAAAUAUAUUAGUUUUUUUAAUUAUAUUACUUUACUUUUUUUUUAAUUAUAUUAAAAACUAAAAACACUCCAAUAAUUGAACCUUAGUUUUCGUAUAAUAACAGGCUGUAAUUUCGUCAAAAAGAUAAAAAGAAAUCAGCCUUUCCUCGACGUUUGAAUUGGAGCAGAGAAAUUUGAGGAGAAGGAGCGACGGUUAAAUUUUUGGAUUCAAGUGCAAGGGAAACAAAAUGGAAAUGAGAAAUUGAGUGAGGGAUAAUGAAUAAAAAAUAAAGCAGUUCGUAGUCUUAGCUUUCUUGACUCAAAAUUCAGAAGACCACAAAUUAUAUAUAUAUGCAAAAUAAUGUAUAGUUUGCCAAACUACGUAAUAAUUUACUCUACAUGGUUUAAAAAGGAUUAGAAGUAGAGCUCUAGCACAUUAAUCACAUUAAUCCUCGCAAGACCAAAUAUUAAGUUCACACUUUUAGCAUUACAAAUUGGUAUACCGACAAAAAAAGCUUGACUAACCCUGAUUUGCAAUGUCCUUUAAGUAAUUUCAACUUAUAUUUUAAACAUAUUCUAGCCAAGUCGAUCACAUAACAUUUUUGAUAAUUUGUUAAGGGGCAUUUUUGAUGUCGUAGUUAGGAAUUCAUGGCUUCCUCUAUUAUAAGUGAUAUAAUUAUCAGUAUUGAUAAUAAUACUAUCAUGAAAGUAUAAUAUUUAUAAAUUAUAAAUACUCUUUCAAACAACACAACAAAACACAAUUAUAAUUUAUUAAUAUCUUAUGAUUAAUCAAAAUCCAUCAGGCGCGGGGGGGGGGGGGGGGGGGGUGGGGGUGGUUUUGAGAACUUAAAAUUCAAAAUGAGUGGAGGCUAGUUUUUUAAUUAUUUUUUUAGCCGUGUUACUUUACCCUUUACUUUAAUGUGUCAAAAAACAAAAAAUCUCCAAUAAUUGAACUUUAGUUUUCGUAUAAUGACCGGCUGUAAUUUGGUCAAAAAGAAUUAAAGAAAAACAGCCUUUUCCUCGACGUUUGAAUUGGAGCAGCGAAAGACUUUGUUCAUGAGCUCAUAAUUGAGUUGAAGAGGAGAAAUUUGAGGAGACUUUGGAUUAAAUUGUUGGAUUAAAGUGCAACGGAAACAUAAUGGAAAUGAGAAAUUGAGUGAGGGAUAAUGAAUAAAAAAUAAAGUAGUUCGUAGACUUAGCUUUCUUGACUCAAAACUCAGCAAGACCACAAAUUAUAUGUAUGCAAAAUUGUUGCAACGCAUUUUGGCCCCCAUACAAAAAAGAAAAAAUACAAAAAAAAAUCAAAAAUAAAAAAAUUAUACAAGAAAUAAUAACAGUAAAAAGAGAAUGUUAGAACGCUCAAACUAUGGUAAAAAAUUGAUCGAGGAGGUUCAAAAAUACAAAGAUUAAAAUUUGACGAUAUAUCGUUGAUCGAUGAAAGCCUUGUUGAUGAUGAAAAUUUAAUUUGAGGAAGAAAAGUUCAAAAUUAAAUAUAUAUGGACUCAAUUAAAUUUUAUUGAAACAAUAUAACUUUGAGAUGGUUAGAAAUCAAACUCUCUUUUUUCCCCUAUAUAUCCAGGAUAAGUUUACAAGAUUUGUGAUUAGAUAAGUGCAUCAGAUUAGAUUCCAUGCAAGCACUUCAGCAUUGGCUAUAACAGCCACUAAUUAUUAUCAGUCCUAGUAUGAGAAAAUUGAAGAUAUCUAGCAGGAUCAAACCUUAUAUUUCAAUGCCAGAUAGGUAAUGCCAUGUCUAUUCUUCCUUGUAUAUGUUCAUAAACAAGAGGAUGAAAGAAGGGAAGAGGUUCAUAAACAAAUGCCAGAGGAUCUUAGCCAAGUCGCCAAAAGGAGGCAAGUACACUUGCAAGCCUUGUGCUGCUUCUCAUAAAUUCUCACAUUGCCCGAUGCUUGAAUUCACUUGAGAGAUGCAUUUUUUCUCUCUCUGAAUGCGUUGCUGGUUUCAUUUUUCCAGAUCACCCUGUUGGGGAUUCCGACCGGUGAUCUACUGAUAAUUGCUCAACGGAGGGGAAGCACACUGACAACAAUAUUUUACAUGGUUACACCAAAGGAUCACUUCAACCAGAUGGUCUCACACAUCACAUCUGAAGAGUGUUAACGCUCAUCUCUGGGAACAUUCCCCUUCGAGCGUAUCAACCAUGCUCGGUCCGGAAUGAUUUAUCAAGCCUCACACCAAGGCUUACAAUACCCCCUCAAACGAAAUUUUUAUUUCCAAGUGCGAUGAAAUUUUUAUUUCCAAGUGCGACAGUCAUAAUCUGAGUAUCUUAAUAUGAUCACUAGCUCACCACUCUUCCAAGAGUCUACUCAUCCAGGAGUUGCGCCUACCCUCUGUUCCACCUUAGAAACCACGCCUUACUUCUCCAUGAGUCUCUCGCUCUUAGUCUCAAGAGUUCAGGUCGCUAUCCACCUUUAACCAUGGGGGCAGCCCAUUAAAGGUUGAUCCAUAUCUGUCUUCAUACUCUGAGUAUUACAAUGUCAUCUCUGAGCUCACCACCUUGACAAGAGUCAACUUGUUCCCGGAACCUGCGCAUGCCCUCUGCUCAUUCAUAACAGUUGCGUCUUAAUGCUCCACAAGUCACACACUUAUUGUCCAAGGCAAAUGUCUUCUAGCUCAUUGAUCUUUAGCAUGGGGGCAAUAUCCAUGAAAGUCAAUCCUGCAUUUGUCUUCAUACUCAUGAUAGCCACUUCAUUGACUAUCCAUUUGUCCACUUAUAUCUAGCCAUCAUAUCGACUCUGGGGCGUUCUCAACUGGGCUCAUAUCGUGGCCCACACACCUUCUCCUUGGGUGUCUCCGCUCGUCGUCAUGCGGAGAUCUAAAUCUGGGGCUUCUAUCAUGGCCCAUACACCUUCUCCUGAGGUGUCUUUGCCUUUCAUAGGCAGUCACAUCCUCCUUCAGCUGGGAUGCUUCAGCGACUCCAAGAUUCUCUACCACCAUGUGGACUUGGGAAAGAUCAAGGCCACUGAAUACAUAGAAAGUGAAAGUUGCGGAAUACUCCUCGCAAUCCUCCACCUCGAUUUUUAUGUUUGGAGCUUCUACGUCUUUCUGCUUGAUAGCUCCACCUACACCACUCUUUUUGGUGCCUUCGCCUUUCAUAGGCGAUCGCCUUUUAUCAUAGGCGUUUGCACCUCCUCAAUUAGGUGCCUCUACAACAACUCAUCUUUCCAUCCUUGCAUGCAUUGGAAAGGUCCUCGCCUGUUGUCUUCAUUAAGAGCAUAAGAGACUUCAUGUUGUACACAGUCUCUGCUCUGAGCUUCAUCUGGGAACUCUUCUUCUCCUUGCACCUGUUGUCUCAUUACAGUACCUCGUUGGAUCCUACGGGUACUCUUGCACAAUCUCCGUGUGCCCUCGUGCAAUUUCUGUUCUCCAGAUUUUCUCCUUAUUCCUUGCUUAUGUUUGACAGCAGCUCAUCCUGUCACAACAACUGUCCAAGUCAAAAUAGGGUGCCAAUCUUUAUCCCCUUGUUGUAUUUCUCUUCCAUUAUCAGGGUCUUCAUCAAUUCUCCCCUCGAGAAAUCACAUUCACCGAAUCUAACUUCUUUAGAGAAAUCACUACUUCAUCAGAUCCUUGAUCAUACGGAACCCAUCUGUUCCCCUUGUGCCGUCAUCCUGCUAGUCUUCAACCGUUUCAUUACAAACUGCUAUAUAUAUGAAAAUAGUACCGUAUGGAUAAUCCUUCCACUAAGUAAGUUCCCAGGAAAGAUUGGAGGGGUCACACUGGUCCCGCUUAAAACACAAUCUCCUAGACAGAACUUUUUAGGCCAUAUCUAUCCAUCGUACUGUCUUUCCGUAUAUACAACCAUUUGCUAGCUUUGUUGCGGCUUUCCUUUACAAGUGAUCUGGAAUACAGGUUUAAUACAUGAUUUCUCAACAUCUAGCGAGACUACCAGUGCUUAGAUUCGUCAAGAUUGGUCUUCAUCAGUUUUCACUCUCCACCUCAAAUCGUCCACAUAACCGGGUGUCCAGAGUGUCCCAAUUUUGCCUUCCAUCAAGGUAAUUAAAUUCGUCACUUAACAGUUCAGCACAUGUAAUUUGGUAAACAUGUGCACCUUCUUCUUUUUCAUCUCCAUUGACCUCCAUCAAGACCCUUAGAUGCCUCCUGAUCGGGCAAUCUCUCUUAAUAAUUAACCACCACCAUUUCCUGGUCUCGCAUAUCAAUGAUCGGACCGUACCAUUGCAUCCAGAAUGAUCAAAUUAGCUGGAAACAUGUCUUGAAUCGUCCAAAUCGCACUUCAGACGGCUAAGAUUUGAUCAAAACAAUUCUGGCCUGAUCAACGGCUCAGAUUCAAUCUCAGAUCCGGUUGCACGUAGAAUCUGCUGCACAAAAUCCUUUCCCUUGGCUCGCGGCUCGGCUCGGCUCCCAUUCGGCUCGGCUUGGCUCGGCUCGCAGCUGAUGACAUGGCAUGUGGGUCCCACGGUGCUGACGUUUCUGCUGAUUGGGCGAUGACAUGGCAUGCCAACUCUGCAUGCUGACGCCAUACUGACAUCAUGAUGACGUCAUCUCUAUCCGGGUUUGUCACGUGGGUUGGGUCGCCUGGUAUUCGGGUCGGGUCAGGCCAUCCGGGCAAAGAAGACGCGUGGCGCGCGUCUGCGCGCGUGGCCAGCCAUGCCCGACGUCCGAUUUCGACACGGUUUUCAAUUGUGGCUUCGUCUCUUCCUCCUCUACACAGUAGUAUGGUCAAAACACAAUUUUGACAACUUUCAUUUUUGAGCAAAAAUCAAACACCACUUUAAACCAUCAGCUCUGAUACCAAUUUUUGGGGAUUCCGACCGGUGAUCUACUGAUAAUUGCUCAACGGAGGGGAAGCACAUUGACAACAAUAUUUUACGUGGUUUGGCAAAACCGCCUACAUCCACAGGAGAGAGUCAAUAUUAUUUAGAGAUUGAGAAAUGAUACAAUAAGUACAUGGAGAAGGAGGAUCACAUCUACUUUACUCAACUCUCAGCUUUCUUUACUGCCCUUGCAGCUGCUGCAAUGGCUGCUGCCAUUGCAGCUCUUUCUUCUCUCUAUUCUCUUCACAUGCUCACACUCACUCCUUUGCUCUCAAGAUACAUGCCUCUUUUAUAGGCAAAAACAUGGCUGAAAACAUGGCAUGAAUUAUGCCAUAAUUCAUGCUUCCACUUGCUUGGUGGUGGGGUAGCCCCACUAAUAGCAAUACCUAACACACCCUAUAAAUCUAAAAAGAGUGGCUCAUCUGUUAUUCUUAUAAUAGUUAUACCUAGUAGCAACAAAAGUGGGAAGAAUAUUACCAGAAAUAAAUUUGUUCUAAAGUCUUGAAUUGAUAGCUGCAAGUUGUCUGCAAGAUCAAAUCCCUUACAUUUGUCUACAAUGCCUCCAGCACCUGAAUUCGUUUGUCACUUGCUCCCCUUUGAAAAAGGUAACAGCAUUACCAGCUCAAACCCUGAUUCUAACCCUUGAUUGAUUGAACAUGGAGCAUGAUCAUUAUAAAUUGUAUUGGUAAAAUCCUGCCCCAGUGGUGUUUAUCCAUUGUUGAACCUCUUGUGGACACAACCACAGCCAUGAGACCUCAUGUACUGGUCUUCAUCACGCCUUUCAACAUUCUCCAGAUGAUGGAAUAUAAAGUGCAUUAUCUGAUAUAAACAUGAGUUUUUUAUCCUGAAAAAUGUAGUUUUAGCAAAUGAAAAGUUUAGGCACCUACUUAUUUGUUUUUAAAGAUUUUUGAUGGUUGGGGGUUCGAUUUAGUCAUGGAAAAGUUUUGGUAAUUGUUGCCUGUUGUGUUCUAUCCAAAUCCAAUGACUUCCAUCGCAAUGGAUAGAAGAUAGUAUGGUUCCUCAAGAGAACUAGAAGAAAUUAAACAAAGUGUCUUUAUGGACUACAAAAAUAUUAUCCGGAGGAUUUUAUUUGUUUGAGCUUGCUGUGGAUUUUUUAACCCUUUACAAGGCACCUAGGGCAUUGUCCCAGUCAGACUUGCGGAGAGUUCUUGGCACAUCAACUAAGACUAAGGUUGCUGUAAAUGGGUACAGUAAGCCAAUGCUAGAAUAGUCUGUUACGUGAUUUACUCAACUUGAUAUUGUUGGAUUUAUUGUUACUGAUUUGUUAUAACUGCCUAGCUCUAGAAUCUGUUCAUAGUCAUGACAGCUGGUUUCCCCUUCUUCUUUAACCGUCUUCUAAGAAACAAUAUAUAUAUAUGAUUUACUCUCUGACCUUAGAGAUAAGGAGAACAGAGAUUCACAUUCUCAAAUUCUAUCUUUUUGAAAUGAUUGUCAGAGAGGUCGAGCUUUUGAAGAUGAUGCAGGGAGAAAAAGGGUGCUAUUGGAAUGGAGGGUGCCAUAAGGAAUGCUGCAGGAGAGGUCCAGUCCAGUGACAGGCCCGGUUUUCAUGUCACAAGUGACCCCAUCCCACGAGCAGCAGUCUGUACUAUCUAUCCAUGACUCUGUUUUUGGAAAAGGAUAUUGACAGUACUCCAAUGAGGCAGAAGGAUUGUUUGAAUUGAAGGAGAGAAAGAGAUUGGUGAUGAGCACACAAAUGAGAAGAAGAGGAGGAGGAGGAGGAGGAGGAGGAGUGAUUUGAGGAGAGUGGAGAUGAAAUUGUUGAAUGGAAAUGGAAGAGAAACAGAAUGAAAGAGAGAGAUUGAGAGAGGCACAGUUGUGAAAACCCCAUUACAGGAUUCGAAGUAUAAUUAGGAGAGAUGAGAAAUAAAGAAAGGCAUUAUUAGUAGUAUUUAAUUAUUAGUAGUGUUAUCUUCAACACUAUGAAUCUGCCACUUUAGUGUUGUUCCAAAGCCAACUCCACUCGGUAUCACUUGAGGCACAACCUUUAUUGAAAUAACACUGCAAUAAAAACAAUAUAUAACUGUAGUUAUGAUUAUUUAUAAAAAAUCAGAAAGGAAACAACUUACAGAACGAACUUUGAAGAUACUGACUGCAUUGUUUAGUUUCUUCUUGCACCAUUUCUACUAGCUUUCUUCUUUGUUCUGAUUGCAUUAAGACUCCAUUGAUCUUCAACCAUCUUCAGAAACCAUGCAGGUCUUCUUGUUUUAAACACGACAUUUUCAUUAUGACUCCAAACAUAAACCCACAUCCAUACCCAAUUGCCACAGCUUUCCAUCCAAACCCAUCUUCAAGCAAUGUUGAAUCAUCUCCUGCAAUAAAGUUUGAUGGCGGUAAUGGUGGUGCCUCGCCAUUGCUACAUUCUUCUGGCAUUGGAAAUCCACACAAACCGGAGGUUCCUUCGAAUGAGCGAUGAUCAAACGUGUUGAACUGCUUUCCUUUGGGUAUGGGUCCUUCAAGCUGGUUAUGUGAAAGGUCUAAGACUUGAAGAAAUGUUAGAUCUACCAACUGUAUAGGAAUCCUUCCAGUUAAUAAAUUUGAAGAUAGAUCUAAUGAUUCUAGAUUGGUAAAAGUUCCUAAUGAUGAUUGGAUAUAACCAGUAAGGUAAUUGUGAGAGAGGUUAAGUUGUUGGAGUCCUUUAAGCUUUCCGAUCAAAUUUGGAAUCUCACCGGUGAAACUAUUACUUGACAAAUCAAGUACUCUGAGGAUACCUUGAAUUUUUACAAACUCAAAUUCCAAUCCUUUCCACGUCAUUUCUAAGGAAUAGGCAUAAAUAUUGGCAAAGCCAUAGUAAUUGCUCAAUGUCAUGUAACUCGUAUUUUGAUCCGAGGCCAUCAUUGCUUCAAAACUAUUAAAAAACCCUGUUGGUAAUGGUCCACUCAAAUUAUUGCUGGAGAUGUCAAAAAUAUGUAAUUUAGAGAAUGAAUUAUAAGUAGUCGGAUCCUUCACAAAACCCUGGAGAUUAUUGGAUUUUAGAACAAGAACCUGCAACUUUGAAAGCCUUUCUAGGAAAUGGGCGAAUGUAUCCUUAAUCUUAUUGUUGCCAAGAUCAAGAAUUUCCAACAUUAUGCAAUUGAUGAUAGAUGAUGGUAUUUCCCCUUCCAAUUCAUUGUCAUUGAGUUUGAGAUAUUCCAAGUUAUUCCUCUCUGAGAAUGCUAAAGAGAUAGUGCCUUGAAGAUUGUUCAUGCCUAGAUGCAAAAUUGAGAGAGUGUUGCUGAAGUUGCUCAAACACUGUGGAAUAGAACCACUCAGACUGUUGUUGGACAAGUCAAGGAUCUCAAGGUAUUUCAGCUUGCAUAUAGAAUAAGAAAUCUCACCAGUCAAUUUAUUGUUGGACGCAAGAAUAAGGACUUUCAAAUACUCUUGGUUGAAAAUUGAGCUUGGGAGUGGACCAUGGAAUUGAUUAUUGCUCAAAUCAAGGUAUUACAACGAAUUAUGUUGGAAUUCACUUAUAUGGCCUAUGAAAUGAUUGUUUUGAAGGUCCAAAUAACCUAAAGAAGGAAGAGAAAACAAAAAGGAUGGUAUUGUCGCAUUGAAAAAGUUACUAAAUAAAUAUAGACUCUCUAGAUUUGAAAGGUUUUCAAAUGAUGACGGGAUUUCACCGCUUAAAUUAUUAUGUGAGAGGUCUAACAUUCUAAGCUGUGUGAGAUUACCAAGAAGAGCUACAUUUGUCCUUCGAAUGUCACAAUUGCGAAGCCAUAUGUAUUCUAACGACUUGAGCUUUCUGAUGAAGUCAUUUUCUAAAUAAACUGAAAUUCUUGUAUCAGAAAGCUCCAACUACCAGAGGACAUUACUCACAUUGGAGGAAGGAAAAGAGCCAGUGAGGCCUUCGUUGUCUGCCAAAAUGAGGGAGUCAAGGUUUGGUAGAAGAAAGAUGUUACUUGGGAACUCCCCUUGCAAUCCACAAUCCACAAGUGAAAGCAAUGUCAAAGAAGAGGACAAAUUCGUUAAGGAAUUAGGUGCAACCAAAGACAUAUCUAUAUAAUCCAAGUAAAGUACUGUUAGCUUGGUAAGGUUUUGAACAAUCUUGGCAAAAGAGACUGUUUCUAGACUUAGAUGUUUGUUUGAGAUAUCAAGUGUGUUGGGCGGAAUCCGGUGACCGGUGAUGUACUGAUAAUUGCUCAAUGGAGGGAUAAGCACACUGAGACACAAUAUUUUACGUGGUUCGGCAAAACCGCCUACAUCCACGGGAGAGAGUCAUUUUAUUAUAGAUAGAGAAGGGAUACAAUAAAUACAUGGAGGAGGAGGAUCACAUCCACUCACUCAACUCACUCAACUCACUCAUUGCUGUAAUGGCAGCAGGGUUGCUGCCCAUGGUAGCAGCUCCUCUUUCUCUCUUCCUCUCUAUUGCACUCACAACUCUCACAUUUAGCUCUCAAAGAUGGUGCCUAUAUAUAGCAUGAUGGUGCCACCAACUCCAACCUUAUUUUCAACAAAGGUGGAUGGUCAAAGUCAAUGUUAGGUUGCUGCACAUUAAAUGGCAACACACCUAACAAUCACCCCCUUUGACAUUUAUAUGGGCAAUUGUCCUCUUGCUUCUUCAGCACAAUCUUGCAUCCUACAGUUCUUCCAAGCUUACCAUUCCGAGAGAGUCUGCGGCCAAGUUUACAGGUACUUGUCAAACCUUUCAAUCACCAGAUUCACCAAAGCACACCCUUGCUUACACCAAAGGAUCACUUCAACCAGAUGGUCUCACACAUCACAUCUGAAGAGUGUUAACGCUUGUCUCUGGGAACAUUCCCCUUCGAGCGUAUCAAUCAUGCUCGGUCCGGAAUGAUUUAUCAAGCCUCACACCAAGGCUUACAACACCCCCUCAAACAGAUAUUCCAAGUGCGAUAGUCAUUAUCUGAGUAUCUCAAUAUGAUCACAAGCCCACCACUCUUCCAAGAGUCUACUCAUCCAGGAGUUGCGCCUGCCCUCUGUUCCACCAUAGGAACCACGCCUUACUUCUCCAUGAGUCUCUCGCUCUUAGUCGUAAGAGUCCAGGUAGCUCUCCACCUUUAACCAUGGGGGCAGCCCAUUAAAGGUUGAUCCAUAUCUAUCUCCAUACUCUGAGUAUUACAAUGCCAUUACCGAGCUCACCACCUUGACAAGAGUCAACUCGUUCCCGGAACCUGCGCAUGCCCUCUGCUCCUUCAUAGCAGCCGCGUCUUAAUACUCCACAAGUCACCCACUUAUUGUCCAAGGCAAAUGUCUUCUAGCUCAUUGAUCUUUAGCAUGGGGGCAAUAUCCAUGAAAGUCAAUCCUGUAUUUGUCUUCAUACUCAUCAUAGCCACUUCAUUGGCUAUCCAUCUGUCCACUUAUAUCUAGCCAUCAUAUUGGCUCUGGGGCGUUCUGAACUGGGCUCAUAUCGUGGCCCACACACCUUCCAUCUAAGGUGUCUCCGCUCGUCGUUAUACGGCGGUCUGAAUUUAGGGCUCCUCUCAUGGCCCUCACACCUUCUCCUGAGGUGUAUCCGCUCGUCAUCAUACGGCGGUCUGAACUGGGGCUCCUAUCCUGGCCUCCACACCUUCUCCAAGGUGUCUCCGCUCGUCGUGGAGCGGUCUCAUCCUCCUUCAUCGGGAUGACUCCAGUGGCUCCAAGAUUCUCUACCACCAUGUGGACUUGGGAGAGAUUACUGCCACUGACUACAUAUAAAGAGAAAGUUGCGGUAUACUCCUCGCAAUCCUCCACCUCGAUUUCUAUGUUUGGAGCUUCUACGCCUUUCUGCUUGACAGCUCCACCUACACCAACUCUCUUUGGUGGCUUCGCCUUUCAUCAUAGGCGGUCGCCUUUUAUCACAGGCGUUUGCACCCCCUCAAUUAGGUGCCUCUGCAACAGCUCUCUUUCCAUCCUUGCAUGCAUUGGAAAGGUCUUCGCUGUUGUCUUCAUCAAGAGCAUAAGAGACUUCCUGUUGUAAACUUUAACAGUCUCUGCUCUGAGCUUCAUCUGGGAACACUUCUUCUCCUUGCACCUGUUGUCUCAUUACAGUACCGUUGGAUCCCUCGGGUACUGCACAAUCUUCGUGUGCCCUCGUGCAAUUCUGUUCUCCAGAUUUCUCCCUAUUCCUUGCUUAUGUUUGACAGCAGCUCAUCCGUCACAACACCUGUCCAAGUCAAAAUAGGGUGCCAAUCUUUAUCCCCUUGCUGUAUUUCUCUUCCAUUAUCAGGGUCUUCAUCAAUUCUCCCCUCGAGAAAUUACAGUCACCGAAUCUAACCUUCUUUGGAGAAAUCACCACUCCAUCAGAUCCUUGAUCAUACGGAACCCAAUUGUUCCCCUUGUGCCGUCAUCUUGCUAGUCUUCAAUAGUUUCAUAACAAACUGUCACAUAUACGAAAAUAGUACCGUAUGGAUAAUCCUUCCACUAAGCAAGUUCCCAGGAAAGAUUGGAGGGGUCACAACGGUCCCGCUUAAAACCCAAUCUCCUAGACAGAACUUCUUAGGCCAUAUCUAUCCAUCGUACUGUCUCUCCGUAUAUACAACCAUUUGCUAGCUUUGUUGCGGCUUUCCUUUGCAAGUGAUCUGGAAUAUACUGGUUUUAUACCUGAUUUCUCAACAUCUGGCGAGACUACCAGUGCUUAGAUUCGUCAAGAUUGGUCUUCAUCAGUUUUCACUCUACACCUCAAAUCGUCCACAUCUCGGGUGUCCUGAGUGUCCCAAUUUUGCCUUCCAUCAAGGCAUUUAAAUUUUUCCAUUUAACAGUUCAGCACAUGUAAUUGGGUAAACAUGUGCACCUUCUUCUUCUUCAUCUCCAUCGACCACCAUGAUGACCUUCAGAUGCCUCCUCAUCGGGCAAUCUCUCUUUAAUAAUUCACCACUGCCAUUUUUGGUCUCGAAUCUCAACGAUCGGACCGUACCAUUGCAUCCGGAAUGAUCAAAUUAGCUGGAAACAUGUCUUGAAUCGUCCAAAUCGCACUUCAGACGGCUAAGAUUUGAUCAAAACAAUUCUGGCCUGAUCAACGGCUCAGAUUCAAUCUCAGAUCCGGUUGCACAUAGGAUCAGCUACACUGGAUCCUAUCCCUCGGCUCGCGGCUCGGCUCAGCUCAAAUUCGGCUCGGCGUGGCUCGGCUCGCGGCUGAUGAUGUGGCAGGUGGGUCCCCCUAUGCUGACAUGGAUGUUGAAUAGUCAAUUGCUUGCUGACUAUGUAUGCUGAUGUCAUCCUUGCAUUAUGCUGAUGUCAUGAUACCGUCACUGUUUAUAUCUACUGUUCACAUGGGUCGGGUCACCUGGUAUUCGGGUCGGGUCAACUCAUCCGGGUGAAGAAGACGCGUGGCAUGCGUGGGGCGCGUCUGCGCGCGUGGGCAGACGCCUUGCCGGAGAGUGAUGGAGAGUGCGGCCAUAUCCGACGUCCGAUUUUGACUCCGUGUUCACCAGUGGCUUCGUCUCUUCCUCCUCUAUACAGUGGGAUGGUCAAAACACCAUUUUGACAACUUUUAUUUUUGAGCAAAAAAUCGAACACCACUUAAACCAUAUGCUCUGAUACCAAUUGUUGGGCGGAAUCCGGUGACCGGUGAUGUACAAUGUGCAGCAACCUAACAAAGUGAAACCAAUUUGGAGAGAUGAGAGAUUUCCGAUGGAACUUGGCCAGCAAAAUUUGAAUGAGUUAGGUUAAGAUGCAUCAAAUUGGAAAACUGGCCAAAUUGAGAAGAGAUAUUGGAGAAGUUGAAAUCGUUGUAAGAGAGGACGAGCUUUUGAAGAUGAUGAAGAGAGAAGAGAGAAUUAUUGGAAUGCAGGGUUCCGUGAAGCAUGCUGAAAGAGAGGUCCAGUUCAGUCACUUGCCCGAUUUCCAGGUCACAAGUGACCCCAUCCCACAAGCAGCAGUCUGUACCCUCUUUCCACGACUCUGUCUUGGGAUGUUGAUCAUAUUGAUAAUUUCUAGCAAACCAAAAGGGAGUAAUCUGAAUGGAAAAGGAUUGUUUGAAUUGAAGCAGAGGAAGAGCUUGGUGAUGAGCACAUAAAUGAGUAGAAGAGGAGAGAUUUGAGGAGAAUGAUGAUGAAAUUGUUGUCAGAAAAUUCAAGAGAAACAAAAUGGAACAGAGAAACUGAGCGAGGGAUAAUGAAUAAUACUUCAUGUUGGCUUUUCAGGAUUCAAAGUAAAUUUGGAAUUUUGAAGGAAGGAAAUGUGGAAGUCGGGGAAAGAUGAGAAGUAAAGAAAGGCAAUAUUAGUAGUAUUUAUAGACAAACCAAUCUUAGGACUCAGAUUGUGCUCUAUUCCUUCAGUUUCUGUAGUAAAAAAAACGAAAGAGAGACAUCCUUGACUAUACUGACAGGAUGGGUGAAUGUGUAACACAUUUAAAGACGAAAUCAAAGUCAUUAUUAAUGUUUGAUCUUCAUACGUGAGAGUGUAGGUCCCUUAGUUGAUGCUAAAACAUGGAUAUAGACAAUGAAGUUUGAGAAUCUAAUUUUCAGAUAAAACCUUAAUUAAUGAAAUUAAGUUAGAUCUUCUCUAACAAUUGAACUUUUGUUUUCGUCUGAUGUCAUUUCCUCAACUUUUGGAUUGUAGCAAAGAAAGACUUGCAUGGUUGAUCAAAAGCACAUAAUUGAGUUGAAGGGGAGAGAUUUGAGGAGUGGGAUGAUUAAAUUGUUGUAUUAAAAUGCAACAGAAACAAAAUGAAUAAUACUCUUUACAGGCAGUGAACAUUAAAGGAGGUUUGCUUUAAUUUUGUUUGUUUGUAUGUUUGUUUUUUUAUUAUUUUAUUGUUGCUAAUGAACUCUUCUUUGUUGCUUCUCGAUAGGUUGCUUUUAGAGUAAGCAAAAUAUUUUUUUCCCCUUGGUAUUGUGAUCAAGGAUACUACAAAGAUUCCAAAGCUUUUUUUUUUUGUCGAAGAUUCAAUUUAGAUCUUCUCCACCUUAAAUUAGGUAGCUAACAAAUGAACUUCUGUUUCCAUGUAAUUUGGUAAAAAAGAUUUUGUUUUGCUCUCCUUUUUCCUCAACUUUUGUUCUUGAGCACAUAUAAUCGAGUUGAAGAGCUGACAUUUGAGUAGAAGGACGAUGAAAUUGUUGUUUUAAAAUGCAAGAGAAACAUAAUUAAUAAUAACACAUGUUCUUUUUCAGGAUUUAAAAAUUAAAAAAAAAAGUUAAAACGAAAAUCUGCAAUAUGUUUUUCCAUCACUAUUUUACAGACAGUAAGGUUCCUAUAACUUUCCUUCUUGACUAAAAAUUAUCCUAAAUAAUGGCCCGCUAAAUUGUUCUUGCUAGACCAAUGGAAACCAAGGCAAAGUGAUAAUUACAUAAAGCCAACGGAGCACUGGCGACUUUGUCUUUUUAUUCUUUUUCAUGACCCAAAAGUCUUCAUUGACGAGACCAAGAAUGGGAAAACAACUAUUUUUUAUUAUUAUUGUCGGCAAUACAUUUUUGGAUGUUAUUCAUGCAUAAACAGUAUUUUUAAUAGCUUAAUUAUAGAGAAUAAAUUUGAUUUUAUCAAAAUAGAAUACUCCAUAUAUAUUAUAUUAAAGAUAAAGGAUAGUAUAGAGUAUUAAUAAAACUUAUAAUAAAAAUAUUCAAUUUAAUACUUUUUUAGAAAAAAAAAAUAUUUUAUAAGCAAAAACUACCGUAGUUCUAAACAAAUAUGUCAUUGACGGGAAUAAGAAUAGGAACAUGACAGUAUUGAUUUUUAAUAUUAAAUAUUUUUUUAGGGUUGCUAUUUUUCUAAAUUAAUUAAUCCUUUUACUAUUAAAAAUAAUUAAAGAGUUAUUUGACAAAUUUUGAUCAUGCUUAAUUUAGUAAUAUUUUGUUUUUUUUAAAAAAAAUACUUUGCUUGCUUAUCAAUCUUUCAAUUUAUAUACUUUGAUUUUUCCAUUUUCUCAUUAUUAUAGUUGAGUGCUGAAUAACCAAAUUUUAAACAUAAGACUACUAAUCAAGUCUAUAUAUUGGAGAAGACGCGCUGCCACUGUUUAAAUGCCCAUAAACCUUCCAGUCACUAUUCUUGCAGUUGCAAAAGGCCUUCCCUGCCGUUCUUGUAGAUUUUUGGGUUUUAUUUUGUAAUUUUUGAAUUAUAUUUUAUUUUUUUAAAAUAUGUUAUUUUUUAAUCUAAAAGAUAGUGUAUGAGAAAAACAUAAUAAAAGGAGAUGUGGAUGUGUGUGUGUGUGUGUUUUUUUUUUUUAUGUAUGUUAUUGAACUAUAAAAUCAAAAAGAUAAAAAAAUAAAUUUAAUAUUUUAAUUUGUAUAUGGUCAAGUAUCUAAAAGACAAAUAAAAUCAUGUUUUAUUUUUUAUGAAAAUGUAAGAAUAUGUUUCUACAUAUAUUCUGAGAUUUAAUAGCUGAUUUAUUAAAACUUUAGAAUUUGGCUAAUAUUAAAAUUUUCAAAUCACAUUAAAUCACAAAAGCAAAUUAUUUCAGGUAGGGUGCGCUAGGGGUUCUAAUACCUUUCUUAGCCAUAAUCAAUUCUUUACUCGUAAAUCUCUGACAACGAUUAGUACACUCGGGUUUCCUAAUAACCUUCAAUCAAAUACUAGGGACUAAUAAUCUUCAAUCAAAUACCAGGAACUAAUAGAAACUUGAAAAAACACCCUAUUAACCCACAAAAUCAAAAACAAAACGAAAUUCAUGCAACUAAAUAUGUUUUUGAUUGAACUUCUGUUUUGGCCAAAUGAUCUGUAACUUUAUUCUUUUCUCCAAGAAUAUGUGUGUAAAGUUCAUAGAAGAAAGGAUACUACAACCAUUUGAAAUGUCAUUGAAAUAUAAAUCAGGCUAUACAAUCUACCACAAUUCAGCCUUUAUAGAGUGCAUAGAAACAAUUAAUAUUCAAUUAAAAAGUUUUUGAAUUGUCAAAAUCCUAGCCACAUUUCAUUCCGUAAUGCCUCUAUAACAAGAAAAGACACAAAAAAAUAAUCCCCUAUAUGAUUUUAGAAGUUGCUGAUUAUUCUUAUUAUGCAAAAAUUGAAUUAAUUCUUAUGGUAUUAAAAAUAAUUAAAUAAUCAUUUGACAAAUUUUGAUCAUGCUUAAUUUCGUAAUUUGUUGUGGUGUAGACCUACUACAGUUAUUGUUUGACAAAUAUACAGUUUGCAAAUUGAAGAAGAUAUUUCACCAUUCAAAUUACUAUUGGAUGCAAGAAAAACGAUUUCCAGCUGGUUCUCUUGUUUGAAAAUCAAGCUUAGGAUUGUACCAUACAGGUGAUUGUUACUCAAAUCAAGGUAUCUCAAUCAAUUCUGUUAGAAUUAACUUACAUUACCUGUGAAUUGAUUAAUUUGUGUCUCUAAAACAAUCUUAAUUUUGAACACCAUUUUAAUUAAUUUAAGAACUGUUUUUUAAUAAAAAAAAACUUAAAAUAUGAGAUCAUGUAUCCAGAUAAUUAAAAUAAAAAAUUGAUAAAGAAAGUCAUCUUCACCAUCUUAUGUUCACUCCAAUCUAAUCAAAUUCACAGUUGUACACCAAUAAAUUCAUUGAGUGAAUGUAGUCAACACGUUGUUGCAUUAAUUAACAUCACUGAACCAUUACUGGAAAACAGAGCAGCGUACUUAAUAAAACUGAAAAAAGAUUGAAGUUUCAAGGUAUUUGCACUCAAGAUUCAUAAGUUACUGUUGGAUUCUCAAGACCUUUCCUUUCCACCAUCAAAAAGGAAUUAGUACAUAGCCCCGAUCCGAAAGACCAAAGAGAAGUCUAUAACAUUAGAUUGUGCAUCGGAGCAGAUACACUGACAGGAUGGGUGAAUGUGUAACACAUUUAAAGACGAAAUCAAAGUCAUUAUAAUAUGUUUGAUCUUCCUCACUGCUGGGAGAAGCACGAAAACAAGUUUCAUACAACAUGGAUAUAUAUAGACUGGGAGUGUGAAACAUCCUAAGCUGGGUGAAGACCAGAUUUGGAAUUCAAGAUUAUCAAGUAGCAAAUUAAUUUAUGGAGCGAGUGUUGGAAACGCGGCAAUAUUAAUUUAUGGAAAACAUUUAUAUAUAUAGACAAAAUAUAGAUUUUAUGGGCCAUUUUUCUUUCCAUUAAUAUAUAUAGAAUGUAACAAAAGGUGGGGAUAUUACCAAUCUAUAAGUUGUUAAUAUCACUCCUCAUUUAUUAUAAGUUUUGUUAAUACUCUAUAUUAUCCUUUAUCUUUAAUAUAAUGUGGAGUAUUCUAUUUUGAUAAAAUCAAGUUUAUUGAAACAAUAUAACUUUGAGAUGGUAUUGCGACUCGUGAAAAUAUAUUAGUUUUUUAAUUAUAUUACUUUACGUUUUUUUUAUUAUAUUAAAAACUAAAAACACUCCAAUAAUUGAACUUUAGUUUUCGUAUAAUAACAGGCUGUAAUUUGGUCAAAAAGAUAUAAAGAAAAACAGCCUUUUCCUCGACGUUUGAAUUGGAGCAGAGAAAUUUGAGGAGAAGGAUCGACGGUUAAAUUGUUGGAUUAAAGUGCAAGGGAAACAAAAUGGAAAUGAGAAAUUGAGUGAGGGAUAAUGAAUAAAAAAUAAAGUAGCACGUAAACCUAGCUUUUUUUUAUUAUAUUAAAAACUAAAAACACUCCAGUAAUUAAACAUAAUAUGAAUAAUAAAAAAUAAAGUAAAAAUAAAAUUGUGCAGAAUAAUGUCCCACUAAUUAACUGUUGUGUCUAGACGGAUGGAAACCAAGGCAAAGUAAAAAUUACGCCAAGCAAUGGAGCGCUAAUGACUUUGCACAAUUAAAUAUUACGUAAGUGAUGUAACCUCCAUCAAAAUAUAGAAAUUCUAAAGUUUUGUAUUGACGGUUCAAUUAUAGUAGGGCUAAAUCAACUCACAUGAAAAGCCCAGUGAUAUAUGGACCUAAAAAAAAAAAAAAACCUUAUGCACACAAAAACUCAAAAGAAGUCAAACUAGGGAAGUAUAGCAAAAUGCUUUCCCAUCUUCGCUCUAAUUCUAAGAGCAUAUAAAUUUUAAAAAAAAUUGGCUAAAGAAUAGCAAAAUGCUUUCCUAUCUUCGCUCUAGGAGAACUCUGCAAUAUUACAAGUAUUUUUAAUACUCUAUAUUAUCCGUUAUCUUUAAUAUAAUAUGGAGUAUUCUAUUUUGAUAAAAUCAAGUUUAUUGAAACAAUAAAACUUUGAGAUUGUUAGAGAUCAAACUCUCUUUUUCACCUAUAUAUCCAGGAUAAGUUUACAAGAUUUGUGAUUAGAUAAGUGCAUCAGAUUAGAUUCCAUGCAAAGCACUCCGGCAUUGGCAAUAACAGCCACUAAUUACUAUAUAUCAGUCCUAGUAUGAGAAAAUAGAAGAUACAUAGCUAGGAAUAUCCUCUAUUAAAAGGAGCCUAGCAGGAUCAAACCUUAUAUUUCAAUGCCAGAUAGGUAAUGCUAUAUAUGUCUAUUCUUCCUUGUAUAUGUUCAUAAACAAGAGGGUGAGAGAAGGGAAGAGGUUCAGAAAAAAAUGCAAGAGGAUCUUAGCCAAGUUCCCAAAAGGAGGCAAGCAUACUUGCAAGCUUCUCAUAAAUUCUCACAUUGCUCGAUGCUUGAAUUCACAUGAGGGAUGCAUUCUCUCUCUCUCUGAAUGCGUUGCUGGUUUCAUUUUUCCAGAUCACCCGAGAAAUCUAAAAAGAGUGGUUCAUCUGUUAUUCUUAUAAUAGUUACCAAAAAUGGAUUUGUUCUAAACUCCUGAAUGGAUAGCUGCAAGUUGUCUGCAAGACCAAAUCCUUUACAUUUGUCUAGAAUGCCUCCAGCACCUGAAUUUAUUUGUCACUUACUCCCCUUUGGAAAGAGGUAACAGAGUUUGGUGUUUGGAACUAAAGCUCCCAAUUACCAGCUCAAACCCUGAUUCUAACCCUUGAUUGAUUGAACAUGGAGCAUGAUCAUUAUUAAUUGUAUUAGUAAAAUCCUGCCCCAGUGGUGUUUAUCCAUUGUUGAACCUCUUGUGGACACAACCACAAGCAUGAGACCUCAUGUACUGGUCUUCAUCAUGCCUUUCAACAUGCUCCAGAUGAUGGAAUAUAAAGUGCAUUAUCUGAUAUAAACAUGAGUUUUUUAUCCCGAAGAACGUAGUUUUAGCAAAUGAACAGUUUAGGCAGCUACUGAUUUGUUUUUUAAGAUUUUUGAUUGCUGGGGGUUCGAUUCAGUCACUCAUUUGCUCACAGAUUAUGAUGGUAACCAUCUCAGCUCAAUAUCUUUUGCAGCUUCUUUCAGUCUCUAAUGAGUUCUUGAGUUUUUGCCAAAUCUUAAACCAUGUUGUCAGCUCCUUAAUCUGAGCUAUAGAUAAAGUUAGAUGCAGGGUAGUUUAAUCCUAAUCACACGAAAGAAAGUGUCAGGUGUGCAGUAAGAGCGAGACCCCUUUUCUACAAAUUUUCUGAAUUCUAAUGAAAUCUACGGCAAUUUGGAAAAAAACCAACUCUCUGGCAGGAGGGAGAAGAAAGAAGCGUGGAAAACAGGAUCGUUCUCAGGUAUCAUUAGGAAUUGCUUCUAGGAGGAAAAAGUAUAAGGUUAGGUUUCUUAUUGUUGGAUUCAUGGAGUUAUUAUGGGUUGGUGGAAACUGGAGACCAAGUUCGUUUCGGAUAUAUUGGAACUUUUGUACAGUCGUGUUGACCUCUGGGCUGGUGCUAUAGUACUGUUGUCAUUGUUUAUUCAACCAUCCAGUUAUAAUAUUUCCUAGUGUCUUCAAACUUGCCAUUUGUUUUCUAGGCUGUCUAUACUUUGAUGGCUGCUACCAAACAACAAAUACUCAGUUUCUAAUGUCAACUGAAUAUAUGAAAAUAUCCAUCAUAUGGAGUGGAUUUAAGUUUCUGCUUAUCAUAAACUAAUGGCACAUGAUUAGUUCCAUUUAUGUGAGUCCACCUUUUUUGAAAAUGAUACUAUGUGAACGCUGAUGGCUGCUAUGUUCAGUAUUAGCCUCUUGCGUGACUGACUGGGAGGGGUUCAUAGUUGGAAGGAAUUAAAUUUGAAGACUUGGCCUUGAACCAAAAUGAUUGCUAUAACUGGAAAAUAUAGAUAUUAGUUCUUUCUAUGCCUGAUGAAAUUUGGAUUCGAAAACCAACUUUUCAAUUAUGAAACCUUCUGAUUGCAAUUGCUCUGUAGAAGAUGAAUUGCCUCUCUUGUGCUUGAGCUUUGUCUUGCAUUAGCAAAACAAUGAUGGUUUAAAAUUAUUGCAUUGUUAUUCUAAAACUUGCUGUCACCCACCGAUUAUGUUGAGUGAAAUUUAGUUUCACUCUGAUAUGUGAACAUUCCUAACUAAGAUUAAGCAUUCCUAACUUGUCCUUAUUGAAGGAUCUUUAUUAGCAGCAAGAUUUUGUUGGAUGCUCUAUUAACUUUACAAGAAUUGUUUCAAUCCGUUUAUAACUCUAUAACUUUCAAAAUACUCCUAGAAACAGAGAUGUAUUUAAGUUAUUUUAUAGUUAACACAAACUGGUUACAUGCAUGAAUUCUUUUUCAUAGAAGUAUUAUGUAAACUACAAAAAAAAAUAAAAAAAAAAUCCAAUACUAUAUAUGAAUUCGCCACCCUAUUGUUGAUCCACUUGAUAUCUUGUUUGUACUUACUGCAAAAUUAGAAAGGUAAGAAUGAUCAAAUGAAAUAGUAAAGAAAAGAUAGUCUAACAUAAACUGUGAACAUAAAAUUUGAAAACUCAAAUGCUUGCAAAACUUACCUGAAAAUAUCAAUUUCAUUAUUUAGUUUCUUCUAGCACCAUAUCUGCCAGCAUUCUUCUUUGUCUUUCUGCUCUGGAGAUUCCAUUUAUCUUCAACCAUCCUAAGAAACCAUGAAGGCUUUUUUGUUCUAAACACAACGUAUCCCGUUGCAACUCCAAACACAAACCCGCAUCCAUACCCCAUUGUUAUAACCUAAUUUUUGACCAUUUUUUUUUUUAUUAUUAUUUUAUUUAUGGAAAAGGAUGAAAAAAUUGAUGAAAAAAUAAUAAUGAUGAUGAAAUAAAUGAAGAAUGAAUUAAAUUUUGGGUUAAGGGCAAUAUGAAUGAAAGUUUUGAGGUUUAAUUAAACUUUGGAAUUAAUCUAAUUAAGUUUGGAAUUAAUUUGUUUAAUUAAGGGUUUAAUUGAAGAAUUGAUAAAUUUUUAGACUUAAUUAAGCUUGGAAUUAAUUUAAUUCUUCCAAUCAAGGAUUUAAUUGGAGAAUUGAUAAGUUUUGAGACUUAAUUAAGCUUGGAAUUAAUUUAAUUCUUCCAAUCAAGGGUUUAAUUGGAGAAUUGAUAAGUUUUGAGACUUAAUUAAGCUUGGAAUUGAUUUAUUUAAUCCAAUUAAGGGUUUUAAUUGGAGAAUUGAUAAGUUUUGAGACUUAAUUGGACUUGGAUUUAAUUAAAUUAAUAAAAUUAGGGACUUAAUUGAGGAAUAUCAAAGUUUAGAGUUUAAUUGGGGUCCAAAUUGCAAAACUUAAAAUACAAGGACCAGCUUGAAAAUGGCGCGGAAAUACAAGGAUCCAAUUACAUUUUAUCCAGGGGCUUGAUUGCAUGAUUUCAGAACUUCAGUGACUAGAUUGCAAAUGGCCAUUCCCAUCACACAAACGGCGCCGUUUCUAGAAACCAACCAUCGCCUUCUUCGUCUCCUUCCACAGGAACGGUUUCUGCAGUAAUGGCUUUGAAGCCGUUUCAAUUGCAGAGAUGCUUGACAUUCCCUGGCUAUAAAGCCAGAGAAGAUGAGAGAGCGCGAGAAAAAGGAGGGGAGUGGGGGUGGAAGAGAAUCACAGAAACGAAAGGGGAAGAAAAGAGACAGAAACAGGGGACUGAAAGGGGGGAAACAGUGGGAUUUUGGACGAGAAACCGAGGAAAAACUUCAGCUAAACCCAGACAAAAAACCAGAGGAGAAAAACUGGGGGAUCACAGAAACGAAAAAAAAACACAAACGAAGCAGACCCAAGGGGGGAAAGAAAACACAGAACCGAGAGUAUAAAUCCAGAAACGAAGAGAAAUAAACAGGGGAUAGACAGGGGGUUAGAUAGAGAGAUAGCAGAACAAAACAAAAAAAACGACAGAAAAGAGAAAUCAAAGAGCAACACAGAGAGGGGUUUAGUUUUGCCAUUGUUUUCGUCCCUGCAGAAAAACCCAGAAUCAACAACCAAUUCACAGCGGGCCGGCCUCUCCAUCGUCUUCUUGGUUUCAAAAGUCGCUGAAAAAAAACGAAGAGGCAACGUAGAAAAGUGAGCACAUAAGGAGACAAGCAGAAGGGAAAAACAUAAGCAGCCACCGUGACCAGAACCAGUGUCACUGCUGCCUUCGGUUUUGCCAGAACCAGGUAAGUAGGCUUCACUUCCCCCACUUUUCAUUUUAAUUCUCUCCCUUUACCUGCACAUACACGCGUGAUUUAAUUCACGCGUGCUUUAUGUUGCCCAGCCGGGUCACUGGCUUGGGCCAGUGACCGGGCUGGGCUGGGCUGGGUCCAGCCCAAACAAUACAAAAAAAAUAAAAAAAAUAGAAAAAUAAAAAAUGUGUAUGCAUGAAUAAAAAUAAUGUAAAUUUAUUGAUUUAUUCACUGACGCCAGAGUCAGGAAUAAAAAUAGCAGUUUAAAUUUAUAUUAUUUUUAUUCAUUGUAUUUUUAUUUUAUUUAGCUAAAAAAAUAAAAAAUAUAUGCAUGCGUAAAAAAUAAAUUUAUUUUUAUUUAUUCACUAGCGCUAGAGUAGGGAAUAAAAAACAUUAAUCUAUUUUUCUCGUAGCUACGAAUUUUUACCAACGCUAGAGUUGGAAUUAUUCGAGCUCGAAUAUUCACUGGCGCCAGAGUCAGGAAUAUUUAAACAAAUCAUCACAGCAUAAACUAAUAAACAUUUAGCAAUUUAAGACAAAACCAGCAAUGCAGUUUGCCUUAGGCAGAACGUUUAAGGGGUGAUAAUAUCUUCCCUUUUUACGUAACCAAUCCCGAACCAUAGAAUCUCUGUUGACCAGUUAGGGUUCCUAGUGACCAUAAUACUAGGUGGCAACUCCUCAAACGAGACAUUUUUUUCUAAAAAAAACCGGAUGCUAGAAUCUGUUCUUUUUUUCAUAAUUCAAGAGAAUUAUUAUUUUUUAGGGCCGCCGCGAUGUCGGGUGCGACACCCAUUGUCACAGCUUCCCAUCCAAAUCCUUCUCCAAAAAAUGUUGAAUCAUCUCCUUCAUCAAAGCUUGAUGGCGGUAAUGAUGGUGCCUCAUCACCGUAACAUUUUUUUAGCACUUGAAAUCCACAUAAACCCAAGUUUCCUUCAAAUGAGCUUGCAUCAAAGGUGUUGAAUUGCUCUCCACUUGGUAUGGGCCCCUCAAGUUGGUUAUGUGAAAGGUUUAGAAUUGCAAGAAAUGUUAGACCCCCAGCUGCGUUGGAAUUCUUCCGGUAAGCAAAUUUGAAGAUAGAUCUAAUGAUUCCAAAUUGAUCAAAUUUCCUAGUGAUGAUUGGAUAUGGGAAUUAUGAGAAAGGUUGAGCUGUUGGAGUGCUUUAAGCUUUCCCAUCACUUUUGGAAUCUCUUCGGUGAAAUUGUUAUUUGACAAAUCAAGUACUUUGGAUCUUCGUAAACUCUAUGGAAUAGACAUAGCCAGUGUAAUUUGAUGCAUUCAUGUAAAUCAUGUUCUGAUCCGAGGCCAUCAUUGCUUCAAGACUAUUGAAAUACCCAGUUGGCAAUGACCCACUAAAAUCGUUCCCAGAGAUGUCAAGAAUCUGUAAUUUAGAGAAGGAAUUAUGUGUAGGCGAACCCUUCACAAAACCUUGGAGUUUAUUCGAUUUUAGGACAAGAAUUUAGAGCUCUGAAAGCGUUUCUAGAAAGUAGGGAAAUGUAUCCUCAAUCUUAUUGUUGCCAAGAUCAAUAACUUCCAACAUUGUGCAGUUGAUGAUAGACGACAGUAUUUUCCCUUCAAAUUCAUUUCCAUUGAGGUUGAGAUAUUCCAAGAUAUUAUCCUUUGAAAAUGUUGAAGGGAUAAUGCCUUGAAGAUUGUUUAUGCCUAGAUGCAACACUGAAAGCAUGCUGCUGAAGUUCCCCAAACAUAGUGGCGUAGAACCACUCAAGCUGUUGUUGGACAAGUCCAGGACCCGAAGGUAUCUCAGCUUGCAAAUAGAAGAAGAAAUCUCACCUGUCAAUUUACUAUUGGACGCAAGAAUAAGGGCUUGCAAGUUCUCUUGUUUGAAAAUCGAACUUGGGAUUGGACCAUGCAAGUGGUUAUUGCUCAAAUCAAG
rnacentral:lncRNA from 1 species